UUGUUUUUUAUAAGUUUUUGAGGUCCAGUGAUGGCUAAUUCUGCUCGUCUUCUCGUUUUACCUUUCUUCAUUGCACUGUCACUUUCAUGCAUGAAUGUAGCUCAAGGGGCGGGGACGGCUCGCCGUCUCUUGCAGGCAACAACGACGACCCCACCAAUAUUUCCAAAUUUGCCUCCCUUUCGUGGCUUCCAGUUUCCUCCUUACAGCGGACCUUUCCCGGAAUAUAGGUUGCCGCCAUUUCCAGGUAUUUCAAACGUCCCUCCUUCAGCACCUGGCUUUCCUGGCUCUUCAGCACCUGGCUUUCCUGGCUCUUCAGCAUCUGGCUUUCCUGGUUCCUUCCCUUCGUUCCCUGCUCCACCAACAUUGCCCAACACUACCCCUUGAAUCCACUGAAUUAAAACUAUCACCAUGAACGAUUACGCGUUCAUUUUCUAAAUAAUUAGUGCUAAAUAAAGGUUAAUGUUUGUAGGAUUUAAUCUUCUUUUUUUUUUGGGGGGGUGGAAACUUUGGCACACUUGGUUUGCUUUUGGAUCAAAUAAUCAGAGCAUAGAUUGUAGUAUUGAUUAAUGUUGUUGUUGGAUGCAUUAAAUGUGGGCUUGUUUGUAAUCUCCCUCUCUCUUGCAUUGUAGUUCUGUGUUCAUAUAAGGGAAUGAGAAUCUAUAUCUAUCCUAUUAUGUUUAAUCUUAUUAUAGUACUGUUUUAUGUUUGCUAUUUGCAUAUUUUGUUUCUAUUAAUUUAAUUGGAUAGUCGGAUGAAGCAAUUAAUUAUGAUAUUGUUAUAAACGGUUUGCAUUUUAUGGAUAGAUUCUAAUCAUAUUUAUAAAAAGAAUUACAUUUAAUACAUUAACAUAAACUGAUUGCUGGUCGUACAAUAAACCCAAUAUGGGAAACUCUAUAAAAAAGGAAAAUGCAGCAAACAAGUGUGGUGGAAAAAUUGAAAAAAAGAAAAGAAAAGCGGAGCACAAUAUAUGCCCAAUAUGCAAAAAGCGAAGAGGCACGGUAGAGCAAAGGUGCACAGUCCAAACACUUUGGUGGAAGUGGAAAACUUCAAGGGGUAGUUCUAGCAGGUGGUGGGGAGAAGGAUGGAAUGGUAGUUGGCAAAGUGGGGAUUGAAGGCAAGCUGGGCAAGGGUGGCAGGGUAGGAAUGGUAGGCAGUGGAGGAAGAGCGACGGGGUUGGGUAUAGAUGGUUGCGGCAGGGUGGGCAUCGUUGGCUGUGGGAGAUUUGGAAUCGAUGGCAACGGUGGCAAUGUUGGCAGCUGAAGAAGAUGACGCGCAGCUAGGCCAACGUUGACGCUUGAAAACGAUAAAGCCAUGAACAAUGCUAAAACAAAGCAAUUGAAAGAGGCCAUAUUCGAGAGGUUUGAAACUGAAAAAAGGAGUUGUCUUGAUAAUAUAUAUAGUUUGAGUGAGUGAGGAAGGCGACAGAGAGGCCCUGGUGUUUGGGGCUUAAAUAGGCCUUGGAACACUGGGAAUUGGGCACUCUGGUUGGAGAUAGGAAAAAGAGAGGUUAGCUCAUCUUCUCAUCUGCAUUGGACUGAAAAUUGGUGAACUACUGGUGCAUGUGGUUGGCACAGAAGCUACCUGAAUGAAGCACUGAAGUCAGCCACUUGACCAAAUCAUGGAGGUUACCAAUAAAGUCGGGUUAUCUAACAUCAGCUCAGCUCAUUGGUUCUUCUAACUUAUGUUUAUGAUUGGUACCGUAGAGAAUCAUUUAAUUAUAAUAUACAUACUAUUGAAGUUUCUACGUAUCACCGAAUGAUUAAACAGCUUUUCACCUGAAUCCUAAAGUGUAUCAAAAAACAUUGGGUUCUUCCUUUCAAGAAAAAUAAAAUAAAAUCGGACAGCAAUAUUUUAAUGAACGAAAAACUGGAAAAUAGGGAAAAAAAACAUUUCAUUAAUUUCCAAUAUUAUUCUAAUUAAUUUAUUAUUGUUAACUACUAAAAUAAAAUAACAAAAAAUAUUAUUUUUAUUAACGCUUAAUAAAAUAUUUGGUACCUGAACUUGACAUUUUUUUUUUCUAAUUUGGUAUUUAAACUUGACAUUUUUUUUUCUUACAUUGGUACUUGAUCUUUUUUUGGGUUCAAUUUGGUACUUAAACUUGACUCUUUUUCCUAAUUUGGUACCCAAUUUUUGUUUGUUCGAUUUGGUACUUGAACUUGUCAAACGUUUUACAAAUUACUCCAAUAUGCUAACAAUAUUGUUAUUUUUUUAUGAGGUAGCAAAUAUAAUCAACGUAUAAUCGAUAUGUGACAAAUGAUAUAAUAUAUAUAUUCAAUUACUUUUAGUUUUAUUUAUUUAAUUAUUUAUUUAUUAAUUGAAAAUAAUGAAUUUCUUCUAAUUUAAGUUUUUAAAACUCUUUUUUUCUUAUUUAAUAGUAAUUUAUUAAUCAUAGCUCAAUACCUAUUUUUGUAACAUGAAUUUCCUCUGAUGAUACUGACAAUACUUUUGUAGCAUAACAAAAGAAAAACAUCGUUGGUGUUUUGCGUAAUUUGUAUAACAUUUAAUAAAUUUAGGUACCAAAUUAAACCUAAAAACAAGCUUAGCUACCAAAUUAGGAAAAAAAUGUCAAGUUCAAGUAUCAAUUUGGACCCAAAAAAAUUUAGAUACCAAAUUAAAAAAAAAGUGUUAGGUUCAAAAUUCAAAUAUCAAAUUGAAAAAAAAAAGUACCAAAUUAAAAAAAAAAGGAAGAAGCUAUUCAGAUACUAAAUGUUAUAUUAAGUUUUUAUUUAUUAAUUAUUAUCUUCAAAAUUUUCAAAAAUAAAAUUGAAUGGAAAAUUUUAGUGGUAAAGCUUAAUUAACAUAAUGAAAAAAAAGUGAAUUAAAUAUUAAUUUAUUUUUUGCACAUUUGAAAUUUAACCCCUAGGAAAUUAGUUUCUCUAUAUUUUAUAUUUAAAAAUGAAAAUUUAAUUGUUGACAGAAUUAAAAUUCUUCUAUUAAAUUUAGGUUUAUUGUAACCAUUUUUUUGUUAUAUGAUUACGAAAUAUUUCUUUCAUUUAAAAAUGUCACACUAACAAAUUUAACAAAUCUGAAUUUAAAAAUCUGAAAAAUAGAAAAACUAAAUUCCUAAAAAUAAAAUGUAAAAUUUAAUUCUAAAUAUACGAAAAGUAGGAGAACUUGAAAAAUAUUUUAAACUAUUUUUAUUGAAUAAGCAUAUUUUAAACCAGGUUAACACCAUAUCUUAAGGGUAAGGUCUCAUCCACCAUUGGUGAAAAACACUCAGUACUACUGAGUUAGUAAUUAUAAUAAAGUUUUAGAUUCGAACUCAAUCUAAUUCGAUUUAUGAAUAAAUUUACUCGCUAUCUUUCUAAGUUAGAUAUAAUAUACAUAGAUUUUAAAUUAUUAUUUUUUCAUUGGCUUUCCAAAUCCCCCUUUAAUCCUGUUUUGAGAUCUGGUUCAGCUUUGGAAGAUGAAGAUAUAGCUACUCAUUUGUCUCCAUUAUCUUGUCUAUCUUUAGUUUUUUUUUUUUAUUCUUUUUCUCUCAGCAGCUAAACUUGUUUAUCACUGCUUUUAGUAAUGGUUAAUCACAGUUUCUAAUUUCUCAUUUUUACAAAAAGUUAGUGAGAAGAAUGAAUAUCAAAAGGGAUUAACAGAAGUACCAAUAAAAGUGGAAUAAAACAUAAAUAAAUAAUCCCAUAAUAAGCAACAACAAUGAAUAAACUAAAAGUACAACUCCCAAUUUUACAGACAAACAUAUAAUGGUAGAUGAAAAGUAAAAAAAAAGAAAAGAAAAAUCAGACUUAAUCUAUAACAUCAAACACAAACAGCUAAUAAGUGGGUAUAAAUGAUAGGACCAUAAAACAUAAAAUCCAAUCCGUAGGCAUCCAGAGUUAAGGCAGAAGAUUCAUGGAGUAGACGGUGCAGGUGGCGGGGAGAGGAAUGGGAUAGAAGGGAUCGUACUUGGGAUUGUGGGAAAGCUUGGUAAUGGUGGCAAAGUGGCCCUUGGUACAUUCGGCAAAGUGGGCAUGUUAGGCAUGGCGGGGAGUGGAGGCAUCGCGCCUGGCCUCGGCAAAGAUGGUUGAGUCGUUGGCAAUGUUGGUAUCGUUGGCAUUGGCAGAUUUGGGAUCGCUGGCAAUGGAGGUAACUGAGGCAGUUGCAGAAGAUGACGGGCUCCAAACCCAACAUCAAAGCUUGCAAAUGACAAAGCCAGGACAAAGGUCAAGAACAUGUAAUUGAAAGAAGCCAUUUUUUGUGUAUGUGAGAGGAUUCACUGAAGAGAUUUGUGAUGGUUGGAGUGAAGAAAAGAAGGCCUGGUGGGGGGGAUUAUAUAAGUUUAAUGCAGGAGGGUUGGGAUGUCUGGUUGGUAAGAUUUGGUUCAGGUUGUGAUUUAUGGUUGGGAAAAUGUGGAAAACUUAAUUAUUUUGCAUGUCUUUGUUAGAUUAACUCCAAAUCCAUCUUCUUCUGAGAAUUGUCAAAUUUAGUUGCAAUGAGUCACCAAAGUGUAAUAUAUUAUUAUAUCAAUUAUGGACGGAGUCAAAUUGUUCUUUGAUUUGUUUAAUAAGAAACUAGUUUUGGAUCCCUUCUGGGUUUAAACAAAGGCUAAUUUCUCUGUUGUUUGCCUCGUAGAUUAUGUUCUAGCUUGAUUUUUUGGAUCGAUAUUUAUAAAAAAUAUUAUUGGUAAAAGUAUCAUAGAUGGCUUUGUAUUAGGAGUUUGAUUGCAUUUUAUCCCAUUUAUUAAAAAAAUAAACAAAUUAGUCCUUAUACGUUAAAUUAAAGAGUAAACUAGUCCUCUCGGUUAGAAUUUUCAUCUAUUUAUACAAUUAAAAGCUAACGUGGUUGACGGAAUAACCAGAUAGUUAUACUUGGCUUGCCACAAGUACCUCAUGUCGACGUACAAGAACUAGUUAUUAACAGUAAAAAUGAAUGAAGUUUUUAACAGAAUGACCAUUUUGUUUUUUAAUCUAAUAUAAAUGGAUUAAUUUGCUCAUUUUUUUGUAAUCCAACUCUUAAUGUAAGGGCCUCCAUACUACUUUUACCAAAUAUUAUUGCAUUUUAUUUUAAAUAACUAUUUUCAUUUUGGUAUAUCCAUAACUAUCCUAAUCCAUUUUAAGUUUUGAGUUUGAUCUUGUUUAGGGUAUGUGGUAUUUAUGUAAAAUCCUCCCAAAAAUGAUGAGUCCAAAAUUCGAACUGAAUCCAAAUGUCUAGGAAAAAUAUCACUGCCACUUUUUCGAACUAUUUAUCGAUAAAUAAUUAUUUGUAUCUAAUCUUGUGCAUAAACUUAUAUAAUGAUAGUAUGCCAUACAUUAUACCUAGUUAAAACGUUUUAAAAAUAUAUAAAUAAUUAAAAUUUUUAAUUACUAACUUUAAAGUUUAAAUCCUUGACUCAGUUGGCGCUACGAGUUAAUUAGGCACCAAUUCAAUUGGAAAAGAAUUAAAAUAUUUGUAUAUGUACAAAAUAAGUUGUAUUAUUACGAGGAUAUACUUUUAUUUUUGGUAAAUUACACCCAAUGUCACUAAAAUGCUAGUAAGUUUAUAUUUUGGUUACUCAACUUCAAAAAAUUACAAAAAUGGUCAUUGAACUAUUUAAAAAUUUUCAUUUAAGUCAUUGGGUUAUUAAAAUUGUUGCUAUAUGGCCUUAUCUAUUUGCACUACCUGCAACAAUCAAAAGCUUUCCUUCUCCUUAUCUUCUACAAUUCAAUUCUUUUUCGUUGAGACAAUUUUGAACAUUAGGAAUCUGUUCAUCAAAUUCUAAACACUUUCUUCUCUGAUCUCUAACACUGAUCGUCAAAUUGACUAGGAUAUAAGGUAUGUUAUUCUACUCGUCAAUGGGUACUGAUCCACCAUACCAGUUGUUGAAUUGUCACUUAGAGUUCACUAGUUAAACUCGUUAUAAAAAAAAUUAACAUCCCAGUAACUUAAAUAAAAACUUUUGAAUAGUAAAAUGACUUAAAUGAAAACAUUCAAAUAGUUUACUGACCAUUUUGCAACUUUUUGAAUUUGAGUGACCAAAACGUAAACUUAUUAAUAGUUUAAUGACCUAGGGUGUAGUUUACCCUUUAUUUUUUUAUUAUUUUUUAAUACAAAUAAUAACAAAUUCUAAUAUGGUGAAAUUUGAACUCAUGAACCAAUUUUUAUAAAACCGCAAUUUUUACCACUUCAACCAAAAUUUUAUUUCAAUUAUUUUUAUAAAUUUUAAUAUUUUUCACUCAAAUUGAUUGUAUAUAGACAUAGUCGUGUGGUGGUGUGAGUGUGGUCGUGUGGGCCACACGGGCGUAUGGGUUUUGGGCCAAGCCAUGUAGGCCACACGGGUGAGGCCAAUCUGGGCGUGUGGGCCCACACAGGCAUGUGGGCCUAUAAUUCUGAAAUUUUUCCUAGAGUCGCACGAGUCAUUCUGAUCGACUGUGGGCCAACCGUAGGGUCGGUAAAGGCUAGUCAAACCCUAGAUUAUGUGAUAUGAUAUCCUGAUAGUUUGCUCUGAGUAGGACACUGUUAUGCAUGUCUAAUUAUUCUGCUAUAUAUAUGAUAUCUGUAUGCGAGCAUGUUAAGCAUGAUAUUUCUGAAUUCGUAAUCUGUAAUUAUGUUUGGGGUGUGAAUUGUAUAUGUGGAGGAAGUAUUCUGUAUGGCGACCUUCGCCUAUAUUCUGGCAACUUGGCUGCAUAUUAUCUGAUAUGUGUCAUACCGACACAACAUGGUGUGUAGGAAUUGGUGGGUGUUUUUUUAACCCCACAUGAUGUGAUGGGAUGGUCGGAGUUGGUGUGUAGAAGAUGGGGGUAGAAUUUUGUAUAUCUGUUCUGCAUAUCUGAUUCUGUUAUUUGUAUCUGUAAAAGACAUAGAUCCGAAUCUGAAUCUGACCGUAUAUGUGAUUUCUGUAUGAAUAGCAUGUCUAUUUCUGUUGGGUGCACUCUGAAUUUACGAAAAACUCACAUUUGUUUGUCUGUUUUGUUCAAGUAAUCCACGGACUUAAGCGGAUCGGUGUGACAGAGCCUCUCGGUGACCACGAGUUCGUAAACGGUUUAAGAUUAAGGUUAAUUUUAAUUUAAGGUUUAUUUUGGAAGUUUUGUAAUAAUUGGACUCUCCGGACUAUUUAUUUUAAUUUUGGGAUUUGAAUUUUUGUUUUAACACUGUAUUUGCGACGGUUAUCUAAACGUGGUUUACUAAAACAAGGUUUUCUGAAAAUACGAACGGGAUUUUUAAAAUUUAAACGGUUUCUAAAACUUCCACUAUAAAGAAUACUUUGGCAAAUGGAUUAAUUAGAUAAGCAUCAGGCAAUAGUUGUAAAAUUUGGACGAUUUGCCGAACAACUUUACAAAGUUUUGUCGAAAUAUCACUGUUUUCAAAACCCUUCUUUGUGACAUCUUCGGAUUCGAUCAUAAUGUUUAGGCCGGGUCUGGGGUGUUACACUCACUUCGUUUUUAGCUACAAUAGGAGCAGUUCAAUACGAAACAAUGUCAUUUAUCCAUUUUAAUACUAAAACUAAUAAAAACAAGCUUAAAUAUGCAUGGUUAAUCAAGUUAGCAACUUAAGUUUUCUAGUCCGAAAUUCGCAUAUCUUUCGACUCGAUUAUACGUUUCCAAUUCCGUCUUCACUAGAGUACUCACUGCUUCACAAGCUAUCAUUUAGCACCAAUAUUACACAAAGUGGCCAAUGUUCUCUACUUCCUCUUUAACAUGGUCAAAUAUACCAAGUAAACUUUCCAUCCAUUUUUAUUUCUUUUUCACACUUCUAACAAGCUAGAAUUCAUCUUCUAAUCAUUUCCUAUCCAAAAAUAUACCUAUUUCACUUAAUUUUUCUAAGCUUCCAUCAAUGUUCUUUAAUGGCAACUUUCAAAAUACUUGAUAAAAUAAAAAAACUAUUGGUAUAUAUAUGUAAAACAAACUUCAAAGAUUCAAAAUCUAGAAAAAAAUUGAAGAAAAAUCAUACCUUAUACUUGAAAUUGAAGGAAAAUAAUGGAAGCAAUUUUUUUCUUUCCCCCAUUUUUUUGGAGUGAAAAAGAAAGAAAGAUGAGAAAGAUGAACAUAUUUCUCUCUUUUUCACUUAUUAUAAUAUUAAUUAAUAAAAUAUUAUUACUUAAUAAAAAAUCAUUUAAAAGUGAUCAUGAAACCAUUGAUUUUUUGAAGUAAUGGUAAAAUUGUCAUUAAGUCUUUUCCAUCAAAAUAAAAAUAAGAUAAUUACACUUUAGUCUCUAAAAUUUUCUAACUUAUUCAAUUUAAUCCCUGAACUCGAUACUGGAUUCUUGACUUAACUACAUGCUCCUACUAAUAAUCCUCUGUGUUUUCAUGCCUGACUGUUUCCUCUAAAAACGAUCACAAUUUCUUAUACUACUAUUUAUUUAUAAAUCACUUACUCAAAAACUUCUACCAUAAAUAUUCUUCUUCUCUCGUUUUGUUUUUUUAAAGUGGGACUUUUAAUUAGAUCAAAAUGAGUUAGAAACCACUUUAAAACAAAAGCUUAGCUAAGUAAUAUGAGAUCUACCAUUUUCAAGCCAAGAAUCAACUUAAAAUCAAGUGAUCUAUUGGAAUCUUGAUUAAAUCAUUUAAAUCUCAAAUUGAAAUAAAGUUUAAUCAUAAAAAGUUAGAAGCUCACCUCGAUUUUGUAAAAUCAACGAGCUAUUGACCUAAUUCGAGCUAAAACAUAUGAAGAUCUUUUGAGGAUUUAAGGAUGAAAAUGUGAUUAAUCUUUGAAAUUGAAUGAGGAUUUUGUGUUUGGAAAGCUUGAAAAUAAAAAAGAAUGAACUAAUUUCGGGAGAAAAGCAUUAAUUUGGUGUUUGGCAAAAUUGUUUAAAGAGAUGUAGAAGGGAGGGAAGGAGAUGGUAGGUCAUUUAUAUAACCAACCAAAUUUUAAAAAUUGGGCUUUUUCCCAUUUGACCACCUACAGUUUCCUCCCUUUUUCCAAAUUGGUCAUUGUUUUUCAAUUAUAACCAAUUUCAAAUCUAUUUUCAAAUCAAAUCUCGUUUUUAAAAUCUAUUUUAACCAAAUUAAUUCCCGAGCUCUUAAUUUUAACCUCUUAACCUAAAAUCUUUAAUUUUAAUUAUUUUAAUAUUUUAUAUAAUUAUGCCUAAUUAUUUAAUUAUCUAACUUAAUUACUGUUUCCAGUUCACUAACCCAAUUCUAUUAAUCUAAUUUUUAGGAUGUGACAACUAAACAUUUUCACAUGAUCAUCAUUUCAAAUACCAAUAUGACAUCAAGCAAAGUUCACCAAAUGACCAAAACAUAAUUGCCAAUUCAUAUCAAAACAUGACACAACCUUGAAGCUUAAAAUUACAUACCAUUUUAACAUUUAUGUGACCAUUUCAAAUCACAAACUUAUAAAUACACAUUUAUAACCAAAACGCCUAUUUACAUGCCACUAUUAACCUAUCCCAAAAUGAUAAAAAAAAAAUCUACCGAGUCAAUGAACAGAUAAUGUGAACUCCAACUUGAUUCCAGGCGACUACAUAAUUUUUUAUGAUCUACAAGAAAACAAACAAAAUGGACAUAAGCAUACAUAAUGCUUUGUAAGUUCGUGCAGAAUUUAACAUGACUUACCCAAAUUUAACAUAACUUAAUUAUUGAACAUACAAUUAUAUAAUUAAGAACCAUGAUAUUCUUUGAUGGCUUAUGUAAACCACAUACCCAAUAAGGUUAGUUUCCUCACAAUUGAGACAUAAAACAUUUUCAUUCUUAUGCAUCACACACAAGUAAGCAUACUUAAUACACAUUUCACCAUUCACAAACAACAAAAUCAUACUAUCAUUUCCAUUCCGUAUGUCUCGUUUUUACCCGAUAAACUAUAUAGCGAAAUUAUGUUGAAUACUCGGGAUAGAAAUGCUUACACGAAUUAUGGGUCGAGAUGGUAACAUUACACACAGUUGCUCAUACGAGCUGUGAAGAUUCUGCAGCAAAUGCAAGACCUUAGCCAUCAAUAAAACAUUCAAGACCAGCACUCAAAACUGUAAUAACCUUAAUGAUAUGUUAUUCGUACCCUAGUUGUUCAUUAAGUUCAUAAGGAUCUCAAUUUAUAUCCAUAUCAAUCAGACCUUUGAACAUCAUCAUAUGCACAUGAAUGCAACUAUAUACAUUCCCUUUUUCAAUUUCAAACAUCAAUUAUACCAACUUUUACAAUUUAGUCCUUCCAAUAAUCAAAACUAUUUUUUCAAAGAUAUUCAAUUACAAGUUAUAUAUAAGUAAGCAUAUCAAACCAAAAAAGUAAUUAUAAAUCAGUUUAAUUAUUAUAUGAACUUACCUAAUAAAAAACAACAACAAACAUGACACUAAGGGAAAGUUAGCAAUUUUUUCUUUUCCACGUUUAUCUAUCGAUUGAUCCGUUUCUUGAUUUAUAUAAUGAUUUAAAUCAAUAAACAAUUCCCAAUGCCUUAUAAUGUCUAAAUAUAUGCAUAUGACCCUUUAAUAACAUUUAAAAAUAUUUCAUUAAACUUUUACCUUUAAUUCAAUUUAGUCCCUAAAAUCAAAAGUUACAUAUUUUUCACAAUUAACCCCAAGACCUUAGAGCCAACUUUAAUAUCAUCCCAUAACAGUUCCCAAUCAACUAAAUUUAUAGGAAAUUCAUGUCAAAUUUCAACAUAUUAACAUUUUAGUCCUUAUACUCAAAACUAUCCAAAUUCACUUUACAAAUUAGUUUUAUUUCAACACCAAGCUUCAAGCUUAACCAUUAACAUCCAAAAGGAUUUAAGAAAAACAAUGGUAACUUUUCAAAUUUAUAGUAUUUUUACAAAAUAGUCCAUGAGUUAGUUAGAUUAAGCUACAACGAUCUCAAAAACAUAAAAUUUACUAAAAACGAUCUUAGAUUUAACUUACAUGCAAUGACCAAAACUUUAAGGUGGCUUGAAAGUUUUUCUUCUUCCUUAAAUUAUGGUUUUUUUUCGGAGGAAAAGAAAAUGAAAAAGAUGACAUGUUUUGUUUUGUUUUAUUAUAUUAUAUUUUAACUUUACUUUUGACUAAUAAAAAUCUAAGCCCUAACCGUACGUGCCAUUAAAUUAUGGUAUAUUUACCACAUAAACCCUUAUACAUUUACUAUUCAAACCUUUUAACUAAUAAAAAUCAAUAUCGAUUAACUUAUACGACUUUUACGAUUUAAUCCUUUUUCCUUAAUUGACCAACCAAACAUCAAAAUCAUUGGAUCAAACUUUAAUAUGGCACUCUAUUAGACUCGUAAAUAUUAAUUAGUAACAUCUAAGGACCCACUCAUCAGAAUUGUGGUCCUGAAACUACUACUUUCGACACCACUGAAAAACUGGUUGUUACAAGCAUAGUUAAUGCCUCCAGUUAGUAGCUAAAUCAUAUCUUUUGAGAGCAAAACUUUUUAUAUAUAAAGAUAUGAUAUUUUAUAUGAAUCAACACUUGUACGCAUCAUGUCAAUAAGUUGUGAUAAGUACUCCCAUUACAAUUGGCAUUUGGUUAGUAGCCAAAUACAACCCAUUUUAGAAUUUUUGAAUGUACAAUAUAUGUUUAAGUUGCUCCAUCAUAAUGAUGCGAUCCCGGUCGCAUCAUGUUACGACACAACUCGAUGCUACCGAGAUUGGUCCAAACUCGAGGGGCCCAAGUGCAAAAUGAAGCUUUUAAUUUUAGUUUGGUAAUUUGGCUGCGGGAAAAUACGGACUUUGAUUCAUUAAUUUUUAGUUAUUUUAGUUUGUGUUUUUAAUUAUGUCAUAGUUUACACAUCAUUAAUAUGUGUUCUGCAUUUAAUAAAGUCAUGCAUUAUGUAACUUUCAUGUUAGUUAAUUUUUGCAUCAUUAAAUUAAGUCAAAUUAGUUUAAUUAUGUAACUUUCAUGUUAGUUAAAUUUGCAUUUCAAAAUCAUGCAUUUAAGCAUCUUAGUUUAAUAAAUGAGUUGCUGAACAUUUAUUCAACUCAUCUUAGUUUUAAUUAAUAAGUGUUUUUGUUUAACUUUAUUUAAUAAGUGUUGUUCUUAAUUAAUCUAGUUCCUAGGAUUAUUUAUUGAUGCAUGAGUUAAGUUCAUUUAAUUAUGCUUCUUUAAUUAAACUAGUUGCUGGAAUAAUUAUUGCAUAUAUGUUUUAGUUUAUUUAUUUAAGUAAGUUUAGUGUGAGUUAUGAUUAAUAAGUGUUUUCAUGUGUUUAAUAAACUCAUUUUAAUGUGUUUAUUGCAGGUGACUUUUUAGCUUAUAGUGGUUACAAUUCAAGGCUGUUACACAUUUAAUUAAGUGGCUGUUCAAGUUCUUUUGAGUUACAAUUAAAGGGGUUGUUAUAAAGGGAGCUUAAAAAUCAUUAAAGGAGUUUUUAAAGAGCAUUUUAUGCCCUUUAAAAUUCAGCAGCAACUCUUCCACUUCCAGCCGUUUUUGGAGCUUUCAAGAGAAAUUAAUCAAGCCUUUGAAUGUCAUUAAGGAGCAGGUUAAGAGAUGGUGACUAUUCAACUAGCCAAGGACAACUCAAGAGUCAUUUUCUAAGCCAUUAAAGACAUUCAAAUCAGCUGAAUUAAAGUGAUUUUAUGGAAGGAGUUAUUUGGUUCAAAGAAUAAGAAAAGACAUCAGUUUUUUUAUGGCACAUUAAGUGGAUGUUUUUGACCAUUCAGUUACCUUGUUCUAGCAUUAUAAAUAGAUGUAAUCAGCCAUAGAGGGAAGAACUUUUUGCUGAAUAUAGAUGAAAUAUUUGAAUUGUGAGCUAUCCAAUUCUCUUUGUUCUUUCGGAAUUGAUUUGACUUAUCAAGCAUAGCUUGUGGCGUCCAUCUAUUCUUUGUUGCUGAACUUAUCACCUUUGGUGUGGCGUUCAAUAUACCUUUGGUUCCCAUCAUAGUUGAUAGUGGGUCAAGGUUCCUUGCUGUUUCCUUUAACCGAAAAACAACUGAAGACCAUUUUGAGAUUCGGGUCAACAAUUCGUUAUUGUUGGUUCAUUUUUUUUGGUCUUAGCCAUUUAAUUUGUUAUUGUUUCCUAUCUAUUUUAUUCAUUACCUUUGUUUGAAGUCAUUAACUCUAUUUUGUUACUUUUAAACCGAAACAAUUCUAUUCUACUCAAUUCACGAUCGAGCAUCACUAACGACUCGAAUCAAUCACGAAAUGAGUUCGUAUCACAUAAUGUUGGGAAUAUAUAUAUUAAUUAUGAAUGUUAUUAAAUGUUUUAAAUGAAUUGGAGAUUCAAUUAUGACGUGAUUUGUGAUUACUAUUUAAUUUGAUAGUUUUUCCAACAUUAGGGGGAGAUAAAUAAUAGAUGGAUAAAUAAAUCACUUUAUUGCAAAUUAAUUGCCAGAUGCAAUUACUAACCUGAUGAGAAUAAGCAAGUGUUAUAAAUCGGCUAACGUCUUUAUUUGAAUUGAAGUCCCAGUAGGACAAUGUGUUCAAAUGAAAGUAAUGUGUGCCUGAAGCAUGGUAGAUUAAUUGGUUCCAAAGGUGAAAAUUCCCGUAGAAAAAAAUAAUAAAUCAAGAUGGUUUUAUAUUGGAGGUGAUGAUCCAAAAGAGUCCUAAGAUAUAACUAAUUAUUAAAACUCCGGAAGAGAUUUAGAUGCCUAAAAUUGAAGAUGGAAAUAGUGAAAAUAAAAAGAUAUCGAUAAGUAAUGUCAAUACGAAAAAAUAUAGAAUCGUGAAAAAUAGAAAGUUGUCGGCAACAAUUUUGUAUGCAAUAGUAUUGUUGAAAUUAUGAAAGAAAAUGAGGAUCUUGAAUAAAACUGUUAAAAAUUAUAGACAUGGAAUUGAUUAGCCCAAAUAAAAUGACGCAAUUUAAGUAGAAUUAAAUUUGGGAAGCUUUUGGACCAGUCGUCCAAAUAACUAAAGGUAUAAAGCGAGUGAGGGUACAAAUGAAGUAGUUUUGCGAAAACAAAGAAGAAUUACAAAGUUUUUUAGUAAGUCUUAGCAUUGAUUAUGAAAAAAUAUUCUUUUGUGGUGGAUGCAAUAACAUUGAGGUAUCUUAUUAGUAUGGCAAUUUAUGAAAAACUUGACAUGCGUCUAAUAAUUGUUGUUACAAUAUUUUAUAUGAAUCAUUAUAUAGUAAAGUUUAUAUUAAAAUCCUUGAAGGAUUUAGAAAGCUAAAAGCAUAUAAAAAAUUCAUGAGAAAUUGUUUAAUAUGUUUGCAUAAAUAUUUAUAUAAAUUGAAAUGAUUUGAACACGUGGUAAAUUCAACUCGGUGAAUAAUAGCUGAAGGAAGAUUAUAAAAUGAUCCAAAAUCCACGUAUAUAUUUUUAUAAAAGGGCCAUGAUUAAAGUUUGUUGAUUAUUGUUGGAACUCCUAAUGAUAUCAAAAUAUUUUUCCCCAAAAUUAUUCCUCACGCAUAACCUUCAGAAGAAUGAUGAUAUAAAUAUUUAAUAAAUUAGUUCAAGCUAUUAUUUGAAAAUCUAGUAUUCAAGAUUGAAAUACGUAGAAUUUAAGAUAUCAUGUGAUGUUGUCAUGAGGGGGACUAAAUAUGAGCUACUCUUUUUCUCUUAACCAAAGUUUUGUCCCAUUGGACUUUCUUGGUAAGGGUUUUUAAUGGAACGACAUAUUAUGCGUAUUAUAGAUAUCUGUACUUUUUUUUCCUUCACUAGAAAUUUUUUUCACAUAGUUUUUAUCUUAGUAUGGUUUUAACCAGAUACAUUAUCUACCAAAAGACACCCAAGGAGGAGUGUUAUGGAUAUUUUAUUAUUAAGUGGAUGUUCAUCAAGGUCAAGAUAAAUUUGAUGUACUUUAGGACUUCAAUAGUCAUUAGAAGUAAAAUUUUAUUUCAUUUAUACUUCUUAUUUUUAUAAAUAUAGACUUUGGAGACACAUUCUCGUUGAUGAAUAAAAGAACAUUCUCUUUUGCUAUUUAUAUUUCUAUUUAAUAAAAAAUAAGUUUAUUUCAUGUUCAUUUGCAUUUUUUAUGCUUUUAAAUAUAUAUUUUUCUAUUUUUCAAUGCUAGUUUCAAAUCUGAUAUUUUUUUAAUUAUUAUUAGUUUAUAUUUUAAAAUUUUUCUAGGUGUUUCUUAAUUCAUGCUUAUGUAAUGAUUAUAUUUUAUUUUAAUAUAUAUUAAAGAUUGAUUUCCACAUCACUCAUGAGAUAAUUUAAAGAAUAAUUUACAAGUUCACUCAAAUGAUAUUUUAAUACCUUUACUAAAAAAAAUUUAAAAAUUACAUUAUUAAUUAUUUUAUUUUAUUUUUCAAAAAUUAUAUUUAAAGACGAUGGUCGACAUCUUGAGAAUAUCAAGAGGCCAUCUUAUUUGAUGCGGAUAAAGGUGUUUAUAGAUCAGGCUAGGUCAAGUUUGAGUCGAAUUUAAGUAUGAUAUUAAUAUAUUUUAUACUUACUCAAGUUUAACUUAACUAGAAAUACGGGCCUAAAAUUCUUCCCAAGCCCGUCUAUGCUUAUAAAUGGUUAAUCUAAAUUAAUUUUAUGACUGCUCAUAUUAUUUUUAAAAAGAAUUAAAAAAAUAUAUUUAUAUUAUUCUUAAUUUAAUAUUUAAUAAAUUUAAAUAUUUUUAUUUAUUAAAAUUUUAGAUAUACUCAUCUUAACAUUUUUUAGUAUUUACAUUAUAACAAUAUUAUACAUUUAAUUUUUAUGUGUUAUAAAUUACAUGAUAUAUAAAAAUAAUAUAAUAAAAAAAUUAUAAAUUCUUAGAAAAAGGUCCAGCUUGGUCGGGAUCGAGCUGGACCCAUAUUUUAAACGAAAUGAAUUUUUUGCCCAACUCCAAAUUUUAUAGGUCUAAUAUUUUUGCACAAACCCUCUCAAGUCCAAGUAUUUAAAUCCUUUUAAAUUUAUAAAAGAUAUUACGUUUUUAUUUAUAAGUAGUUUAAAAUUAAUAUAAAAUAAUAAUAAACAAAAAAGUUUAAUGCUUUUAAUUUACUUAAAUAAAGAAGUUUUGUUCUAUUACAUCUCUUUUUAAUUUGUCAUAUUGGUACCUCUAAACUAUUUAGCUAAGAAAAUAUAAAUUCAAAAAUUAGAAAUUUGAAGAGUUGGAAAGAAAUUCAGUUUUAAAGAGAGAUGUUUUUGGGUCUUGUUUAAAAGAAAAUUGCUUUAGAUUUUGCUCGAUUUGAUGAUUCUUGGAAAUUCAAAAUCAAGUUUUAAAUGCUAUUGGAUUGUUGCACACCGGAGAUAAAAUUGAACUCUGGGCAGCUCUUGAAGCCACCUUUGGAUCAAUCAACUCUCUAAACUAUUGUAAAGUGUUUUUCUCAAAAUUUUCAGAUCUUAUUUUCGAGUUUGAAAUUUAUGGAUACACGAACUUUUUUCAGAGAGCUUUUGAUAGGUAAUAAUUUAUGAUUAUAAUUACAGUUAAUCAUAAUAUCCCCAAUUAUCGAUAAAAGAAAUUCUAGCUUAAUGUUUUCUUGGAUUUACUGGAUUUGUAUAUGUAUUAAUAUCCAAUUAUCAGUGUUUUUCCCUAAAUAUUUAUAUGGUUUUAUUACGUUGGGUUGAUUGUGUUGUUGCCGUGAACAGGCAUGAGGGAGGUGAUAGCUGAUUUGGAGUACUUUUAUUUGGACUACUUAGUUGCAGGUUUCUGUUGGUACCUUCUCCAGGCUAUGGACAUCGUUGCUGAGGAACUAAUGUUCUUCUUCCAGCCGCUGCUGCCCCUCUUUCACGGCUUUGCUCGUUCCUUGUUUUGCCUCGUCUUUAUUUGCUUUGAUUCUUGAUUUGUUUCACUAUAUAGUUUGAUGAUUAAACCCAGAUUAUUUUAUAAUAAUCCCGAUACGAAUGUAAUCUUUCAAAUAUAAAUUUAAUUUUUGGAUUUUUUUUUAAAGCCAAAGAGAACUUCAGUUGAGCCAAUUAGGUCUUAUUUAUGGAACAACUACAUAAACAAAACUAGUAACAGUAAUAUAAACUCUUUCAGACUGAAAUCCCUACGCCACUUAAUACAGUACUCAAUCUUCGAGCGACGGUCGGUGUUGAGUCAGCCCAGAAUGAAGAAGGCUUCAUAUUACCAUAAUUGACGGUCAGAAAGAGCUUUCAAGCUGGUGAAAGAUGUAAUCAAGAAUUGUUCUGGAUCCAUGAAUUACAGACGUAAACUGGCAUCUUUAACAUAUGUAUCCCGCACAUAUUCAGGCAUAGAUAUGGAACUAUAUGAAAAUUUUGGAAAAGUAAUUGAACAUACUAUAUUCAACAUCAAAGCAGCAAUAAAGAGGCAGAAAGGGAAGAGGAGAAGCAAUACAUUAUUAUCACACUUAACGAUUAUUCUGACUCGAAAGAGAAAGAGAAUCAAUGAGAAAGAUUAUCACCUAUAUUCCUUUUGACUGCCAAGUAUGAAGAUGGAGGCAAUCUUCAAACCAAAAAUGCCUCAUGGUUUUAUGUGUUCAACUUUCUACCCUAUCCUCUCAAACAGCCUGUUCAAAACAAUGACAAAACAUGAUGCUACGAUAUAUACUGUCGAAUUCAACUUGGAAACAACUAUGAAACGAGAUCCCAAGUAGCUCCACAAGCAUACAAUUACAUUAACUACAAUAGUCGCUGAAAAAAGACAACAUAAAACAAGGAUCUUACUUCACUAUGCAGCCCUGAUUUUAUCGUCCCCCACCAACUGCGAGCAUAUGUAAGCUACUCAAAAACUCUUCAAGACCCUCAACAUAUCCACUAUUUGUCACCCCUCUUUUGCUCGGCUCGGCUUCCGGCACCAUCGAUACACCUCUGCCAUUGCCGUUCACUCUCUCACUCCUUUGCGUCUUAGCGUUUCUCACCACAGAUCCUUCCCCUUUGGCUUUCUUCUUCCUCCUCUCCUUCUGCCACUUAUCAUCAUCAUCAUCAUUAUUAGUAUCCUCAGCAGAAGAAAUUUCUAUAUAUAUAUCAUCUUCAUCGUAAAACACUCUUGGGGCAGAUUUCUGGGCACUAGUUUGUUUACCUGCAUUCUUGUUGUUAGGGCAAGCAAACAUGGUUGAAACAGGUGACCAACGGGGGAAAUUACCGCCCAUGUUCUCACCAUUCCCCGAAAAUCCUAAUGGGAAAAACCCCAUAGUACACAAAUACGUUUCCUUUCCGUCCACAGGCGGCGGCGACGGAAUCACAACCGCAUGGAAGGCUCUCCUGCAGUUCUCAGCCUGACACCUCAGUGUGCAAUCCUCGUAAACCUUUGGAUACUCGUAGAGAACGUAACAGUACGGACAAGCCGUCCAGAAAGUCAAUGACUCUGAGUCGGGGGGUUUACUAGGCCGAGUCGAAUCGGUCUUCCAGGUCACAUCGGUUGUGUCUGUCUCACUAUGCUCCGUAGAAGGAGGAGUUGCCUGAUUAAUUUGACCCAUCCGAGUCGACUCGGUCUGAUCAAACUGACUGGAGGUAGCGUUUCCUGACUGAUCCAUUUGGCUCAUCGGAAUAGGCCCAAGACGAUUAAUCCAUGGGAGGAUUAGUGUGUUUGAAACUAAUUGAUCCUGUCUGUCCCAGCGAAACCGAUUUGAUUAAAUCUCCCUCCACCAAGGCGACACAGAGGGUGGGGCGAGUUGACUCGGGCAGAUUGGUAUUUAAACUGAAUUGCCCUCCUUGUAAUGUGGCAUAUCCAUCUCCGCUACUGCUUCUUACCACGGAUAGUGGUUGCGCAACUUGCGGUUGAGUUCCUUUGGGCAGAGGUGGCAGCAUCUGCGUUUGCAGUGCUUAAACUGGGGUUGUUGUUGUUGAUUGAGUUGACUCAGGUGUCCAAACUGAAAGAAUCUCAUCUCCUUCUUCGAAGGACAGGACAACACAUUCCAAGCUUCGGAAAGGAAAGAGAGCCGCAGGAUUCAAAGGGGGGGCGAGUUUCCUGUACUGAGUUGUUACGACUUCCAUGGAUUGAGUUAACGGAACCGAACCAAUCAACAAAACGAUUGAGUUAAAGGAACCGAACCAAUCAACAAAAAAGGAAAGAAACGUGGCUUUUUAUAUAAAUAAUAAUAAAAUUAAUUAAUUAUGAAAAAUAUUUACGAAAAAAGAAUGUUUGCUACCAUACCCGCGGGUGCCGCCUGACAUGUCGGCAACAUCACUUCCCUUUUUUCAGUCAAUCAUCUUUUAAUCAUCAUCGUUUAAAAAAAAUUUUGUGUCGCCAUCAUGUCAAGCGACACCUAUAUAUAUAUUUAAACAUAUCCAUGAAAAUAUGAGUAUUCACAAUGAAAAAAAUAUUUUUUUAAUGGUGUCAUCACGCUGUCAAGGUGAUGCGGUCGCGGCUAACCAUCCCUAAAGUUUGUUGUACAACGCACCUCAAUCUCCAUGCAACUGCUUAUUGGUCAUCUUCUUAAUCCACCAUGCUUUCCAAUAUGACAUUCAGUACUGGAAUUGUGCUUGCAUGUCGACAAUCAAGACCGAUACAAUAAUUGUGGGCAUGUUAUUCACCAAUGUCAUGAUGCAAUUACAAAUAGUUUUUGUAUUAAGUUUGCGAUGGCCUUGCGUCAUACGUGCAAAAGUGCAUGUAUGACACCCAACAAAUUUUCGGAUCUCCCACAAUUGCAACAUCUGGAUAAAUGCAUCUAGUAACCACCAGUUGCACCUUUCUACCGACCUCCAACACUCCCCAACAUAUAAUGUCGAUUUAGAUACAACGAUUUUUUAGUCGACCGACACCUUCAUGCUAUAUUGUUUGAUGGAAAAUAUGCAGUCUUCAUUGGUUGUGAAUUAUUGGCCUACAAACAACUCUUCUAAGUCCAAAACUGCUAGCAACCAAUGAAAAGAUAUUAUAUCUGGGUACUCAAGAAACUCGGAUGUAUGUGCCACAUCAAGAUCUACGCUCAACAUGUGGGCCCAAGGUCAUUGCAUAUUACAAUGCUACAGGUCUGGUUCUUGACCGAAGGGGCGUAUACAUUUUCAUCAUUGUCUGUGCCUUUAUCGUCGAUAUCAUCCGAGACCUUAUCCAGAUCGGGGUCACCAAAAUCUUCACCCUCAUUAUCAAAACGACCAUCAUUACCGAGUCAUUCUCUAUCAUUUGCAUCUGUCUCAAUUACCGUCGGAUGCAUCUGUAAAUGGGGACCCGAAUUAGCGUUGUUAUACGCAGUCGGAGCAUGGUGUGGAUUUUCGACUAGUGUCGAUGUUGCUUCAUAACCGCACUAUUCUGCCCUUCUAAUAUUCUAAUUGAAGUCAAACCCAUGUACAAAUGAUCGCCUAUCGAUAGACACUCUCGGAGCCUCCAUACACGGGUCUUGAACUCCAUGUUAUUAACUUAGUGGAGUGACAUUUUGAACGGGCUCUACAUCUUCUAACUCAACCAAUAGCUCAACUAGUUCAACGUUCACGUUCCCAGUCAAGCAAUAAAGUGUGAUAAUUGUCUCCAUGUCUUCAUCAUCUACAAGUUUCAUCUUAGUAUAUUUGCAUAGAUUUGACAAAUUUGGAAAUUUGUAAAAUAGUCUUGACAUCCACCUCCCACAACGUUGAGUAAUUUUUGCAAUAAUCUUUUCUUUCAUAUCUUUGAAUUUUACAUUCUUAUUAAGCAUCAUCAUUAUUUGCUAGUAAGAUUCAAAUAUAUAACCAACAAUUUCUUGUAAAAUUACCCCCUCAAACUAAACAUAUAUGAAAAAUUGGUUAUUCAGCUUCGAUACUAAAUUUAUAAAAUAAUUUAAAAAUAAAAAAAUAGCUUUUAUUUAAAAAAUAUUAGACCCUACUGAAAAAAAUAUAAUUACAUAUAAAUAAUUAUAAACUAACCUUAUAAACUCGAACUUGAUUUUUGAAGUUUAAAACACAAAUAUUCUUUUCUUUUUCUGGUUUCUCCUAUUCUACUGAACACAAAUCUUUCCUCUCUUUUUUCUUCCAUUCAAUAGAAACCAAAAAGUUCAACAAAAACCCAAAACUUCAACAGAAAUAGAUUUUUGGUUGGGGGUCGGGUAUAUAUACUAGGUGGUGCUGCCUGACAGCGUCGUAGGACCACCAGUGUCUCUUGACAUGUUGGCGGCACCACUAAUAAAUUAAUUUUUUCGGUUUCCCUUUUUUUCCUGACAACAUUUAUUAAAAAAUUGUAUCGAUGUCGCCUGACACAUCGACGACACCCAUUAAUUUUUUUAAAAAAAAUAUUAGUGGUGUUACCUGACCCACUGACGACACCCAUUAAAAAAAAUUUGCUAGUCUUAGCUUUUUUUUUUACACCAAUUUUUUUUAAAUUAUCAACACCUGACUCACCGUGAUCGUAUCACCCUAUCAGACCAAUGACACUUAGUAUGUUUUUGCAUGUGCAUUGGGGUGAGAUAUGAUUAUGUGAUGGAGAAAGUUUGUUCUGGCAGUUUAUCUGCGCUUUAUGAUUUUGGUAGAAUUUUCGCAAUAUGCUUCUGGCAGCAUUGCUGUAUAUUAUCUGAUCGGCAUACGACCACAUUAUGGUGUGAUAGAUGGAUGAGUUCUUUAAGCCUUAUUUGGUGUGAUUGGUUGGAUGGAGUUCGUGUGUAGUGGAUGAAGAUAAGAAUUUCUGUAUGACAUCUCUAUGCUAAGCAUGUUAUAAUUUAUGAUCCGUCUAUUUUGAUAUAUGCAUCUAUGCAUGAUUUCACUAUUUGCUUGUGGGCCAAGACACACACUAAGCUUUAUAAGUCAUCUUGUUUACUUAAUCUUUUCAGGUAACACCUAGACUUAGGAUUUGGUGGCACUCGACAGCUCGGUUCAGUUAUUACGUAUAAAACUUAUCUAGUAAUUCUUAUUUUAAAAUUCAUGGACUUUUUGAUCAUUGGACGGUUUUGCGGAUUUUAAUGGUGGUUUUCAGGAUUUGCUAAAUAUUUUAAUUAGUUAUAUUAAGAUUUGGCAAGUUUUCUUAAAAAGCUAAAACUUAGCAUUCGAUUUUCAUGCCUAAACAAGUCUAAGAAAAUUUCCUUUGCAAAAUUUUAACCAGGAAUAUGCAUUUUUACAAAAACAAGUAAAUAAAGUUGAUAGCAGUGUUGAUUUAUUAAUAUAACUUUCAAGAUUCGGCUAUAACGUGUAGACCGGAUUUAGGGUGUCUUACUAAAUUUUUUUUCUAAAAUUACAAUAAAAAUAAAUCUUACUUUUAAUGAAAUAUAAUUAUUUAAUUCAUGUACAAGAUAUAAAAUUAUUCACAAUUAUACAAUAUAUAAAAUAAAAUUAUAAAAUUUAUCCCGCAAUGUAGUGGAAGCAUUCCUCAAAUAAUAAUAAUAAUAAUGCAAGUACGACCUUUGUUUCUUCGAAGUAAAAACUAAUAACCCUCGAAUUAAGAGUCGAUUCCAUGAGGAAGCUACUCAUAAAAUAGAUGUUUUGAAGAUAUGAUUUUUAUAUAAAAUUACGAGAAUAAAAAGAAAAAUAAUAAAAUUAAGCUUUGUUCUUAUCAAUUUGACUGGUUAUUUUUACAGUUUUUAUCAUACCAUUACAAUAAAGUAAAUGCAAGAUGAGGGCGUUAGAGACAAGACUCAGUACGAGGGUACAACAGAGUCUCAAAUUUUCUGACAAAUGUUCCAUCUCUCUCCAGCAUCGUCAAUCAAUCUGUACGAAAAACCAAAACUCCACCACACACACAUAUUUUAUAUAUAAAGGAUAAAAAUCUAAUCCCAGUUUUCUUUUUGGGAUAAAAAAAUCUAACCCAGUUGCAAAAAACAAACCACUUGAUAUUUACAAUUUAUCCAUAGAGACCAAUAUGGCAAAAUAUUUGCAAAGCCAGUCCUUGUUUGGACACAAAAGGAAUCUUUCUAUAUUUUCCUUCUUCCAUUUCUUUCAAUAAUUUAGUAGCUUUUUAUUUUUAUCUCUUUCUGUCAAGUGUCACCACCACCAUUCUCAUCACUCAACCCCCACCCCCCUCCAAAAAAAAAGAAAAUUAAUAUGAGAAAAACCCAUAAAUUCUGACCAAUCAAAAUCCCCCACCUUCUUCCAUUUUUCAUCCUACAAUGAGGUUGGGUAGGGUUGGGAGGCUUUUUUCUCUCUUUGGCAACUAGGGUUUUGCUUCAAUGUUUUCUUCCUGAUGUCAUUUUAUUUUCUUUAGUAUCGGUUUUUUUUUAGAUAAGAGUAUUUGAUUCUACUGGCUUACUUUGGAAAGCCAAAAAAGCAAAAGAAGAAAAAAAAAACCCAGUUGCACAGCUAAUCUCUUGAUCCUACUACUGUUUCUUAUCUGUUUGCUGCUUCACAACAGAGAUUCUCUUCUACACAAUUUUCUUGGUACUUAAAACUUUCUUUUCUCCUGUAUUUUGCUUGAUUUAAGGUGAGAAACUGAGAUCUAUCAAUUUACAUACAUAUGUAUAUUGGGUUUGAUUUCUUGUGACUAAACCCCAUUUUGUUAAUGUGCUUGUUAGUAGCAAUUAGCAUAGGGUUCAAAUUUUGAUUCCUUUGAACACAUGUGUUUCUUUAACAAACCGAUUGCUGUUGUUUGCUUGUUUUUUGUGGAGUGGAAAGAGAAUGACGAGACAAAGGAUAGAGAUCAAGAAGAUCGCCAACACAGCGGCACGACAGGUGACAUUCUCAAAGAGGAGAAGAGGACUUUUCAAGAAAGCUCACGAGCUUUCCACUCUUUGCGAUGCCGAGAUAGCUCUUAUAGUCUUCUCAGCCACCGGCAAGCUCUUCAAAUAUUCCAGCACCAGGUUACUUAUCGGUAGCUCUUCCCUUUCAUCUCCCAUACAUACCUUAUCUCUGCUGCUUCUCCAUUUGGUUGUUUGGUAACUGUGAGAUUAAUUUGAUUUGAAACAAGAUCUGCCAAAUCAAGAGAACUGUACAAGAAUCUAAAUUCAUAAUGACCAAUGUACUUGAAUCUUAUAUUUUUCUUUUCAAAAAUUAAAAAAAGAAAAAAAACUUCUUUUAAUAAUCCAUGUCAGAAGCUGGGUGGGGGACUUAGGGUUGGGUGAUAGUUUCAUCAAAUUCUUUGUCUAAUCAAUCUUUGUAAAUUUCUAGUUGGUACUUGACUGAUGCUUUCCAUGAACGAAACCUUAGGUUUUCAUAAAAUAUUAGGGCUCCUAAUCACCAAUCCUAUACAUGAAUAUCUACAACAAUAUUACAAUGAUUUAUGUUCCAUAUGUUGUAAUAAGCGUAUGCAUUUCUACUAUUUUAGGUAAAUCGACAUGAAUCCUGUCUUGUUUUGGUGUGUUGGCUUAUCUAUGAAUAAAUGUUGUUUAUUAUCUCUUUUUUAGUAAAAUUUUAUUUUGAUUAACCAAAUUAUCCAUAUAUAUAUAUAUAUAUAUACAUAAAUUUUAUGUUUAUUUAACAAUAAGAAUUUGUUGAACUUCAAGCUCUGACCUAUUAAUAUAGAGUUCACCUUUCCUAGGAAUAUCAUGAAUAGCAUGGUUCAAUUCAUCAUUGUGUAAAAAAAACAAGAAUUCAUCUAUUAAUAUAAUAUCAAUUUAUGAAUCCUAAAAUACAUAAUUAAGUUUAAAAGCAGACAUAUAUUAAGAAAAUGUGACAACAAAUAAGAUAUGAUCAAAUCUUUCAAUAACAAUAUUUUUUUUUGGGAAAAGAUCCGCUUAUAAUGAUGUAAAACUAGUUUUAUACUCUUUCAUAAUUUCUUUUAUUGUUGAUAUUUUAACAGUCCGACUAUCAUAUUUCAUGCAUGUCAAGUUUGUAGUAAAUAAAAUUGUUUUAACUAUUUGUUUUGUUUUAAAAAAAUUCAAUCGUUAACUAUUUAUUAAUUCAUAGACAAUAUUUUUUAUCGAUAUGAUAGAUAUACCGGAUCGAUUCAAAAUUUUACAUGCAUGAAAAAUUCAAUUAUAUUGAUAAAUUCAUCGAUUGGAUGGUUAAAAUAUUAAGAGUUAAUAAAGUAAUGAAAUUGUUCCAACUUAUUGAUUUUCAUUAACUAACCCUAGAUCCUUGCCCCUAAAAAAUGGAUGUUUCUCUUCUAGCUCCAUCCUGUACUAUUUACAUUACAACACAACAAAAAGACGAAUGAUAAUAUAACAAAGGAUGUUAAGCAAAAAGCACCUUCAUUUCUACAUAACGGAAAGUGGUGGGUUAAAAGAAUGUAAAAUCAUGUUAUUUUUACAUCGUUGUAAGUGGACUCCAUCCCAUUCCAUCCUUUAUAAAUUCAUUUCUUUAGUUUGUUGUAGAUCUAAAUAUUUUUACCCUUUAUAACACAUUUCAACCUAUAAGAGCAACAUGCAUAAAUUAUGAAGUAUACCCAUUACUAAACUAGUUCUUUGUAAGAGCCUCUUCUCCCAAAAUUAAUUUUAAUCCUAAGUGGAAUAAAAAUGAUAAAUUUUAUUAAAGAUAUGAUUUAAAUCUCCCUAAUUAAUAUUAUUAAUAUAUAUUGUAGUCUUUACUCAAAAUUUAAAAAAGUCAAAUAUGAUUUAAAUCUAAGUCCUAAGCUUUAAGCCCUAAACCCUAAACUCUAAACCCUUCCCCCUCAUACUAAGACUAUAGAAUGUUCUUGUGAAUUAUGGCCAAUACCAGGUAUAUAAGCAGUGAUUUCAAACCCACAGGUUAAUCGUACUCUGGCAACUUUACGUAAGGCAGAGUUUGGUUUAUUGGGGGUGAUAGUGAAAAAGUUGACAGAUAAGUCACCUUUACUGCCACUCUAUAGAACCGUACAUGAGGUUUUCACCUCAUAUAGCUCCUCGCUCAAUUCUUUCGAAGUCAUUGGGUCCUUUUCCUCGUUCGAGAAUCUCCUCCCUUCUUCCACUCUGUCCCGAAGAGUAACUAGGACAAAUUCAGUCACGUUUUCAUGUUCCAAUUGAACACUUUCCAUUUUUGAUUAUUCUCAAAAGAGAAGAUUUUUUUUACCAAACAUCUGCGGAUCCAAUCACACGAUCUUAUAAUAAGAACAAGAGAUCUUUCUCGAUCAAUCCCUUUCCCCUCAUUCUUCGAGAAUCAGAAAGAUCCUUUUCAAGUUUGAAUUUGUUCAUUUGGAAUCUGGGUUCUUCUACUUCAUUUUUAUUUGCUUAUUUAUUAUUUUUAUUAUUUUUCCCCCUCUUUUUUUAAUUUCUUUUUUUUAUUUUAUUCCCUUCCAUCAUUCCCUAAGUCCCAUAGGUUUGAUCCUAUAGAAUUUGACCCAUUUUCUCAUUGAGCGAGGGGUACGAACUAAAUCAAAUUGAUUUUUCGAUCAAAAAUAUGAUUAUGGGUAUAUAACAACUACCUCAUUAUAAUAGUAAAAAUCUUUAUAGAUAAAUAAAGCUUUUUAUAGAAAAGAUCAGUUCUACGUAAACCCUCAAUUUUAAAUGUAAAUAUAUAUAAUCCAACAUCUUUAUUAUUAUUGGUAUCCCCCAAAAUCUAUAAGCUUUUACAUUAUGAAAUGGAAAGGAAACAAUAAUCUAACAAACUCAAAAGGAGAGAAGGAGCAAAAGGAGAAUGAAAGAUUUUUUUGAAGUGGGUUGAGAGUGAAAAUGAACCAUGGUAUGUAUAAAAGUUGUAUUGGCUAAAAAUAACACAGAUAAGUGGAUUGAAUUAGUUAAAAAUAGUUUGAAAAUGAUUCAAUGAAUUUAGACUUGACUAAAUAUAAAUGCUACUAGUUAAGAAGUUUACUUGUCUCUCAAAAAUUCAUUAAAAAAGAAAUUCAAAAACAAAAUGACUCAAAUGUAAAUUACACUAACUUUUGGGGCCUAAUGCGCAAAUUCACCUUUAUCAAUUUGGUUAUUACUAGCCCAAUGAAAUAUAAGGACUUAUAAACAAUGGUCUCAAAUUUUUUUUUUUUUAGAAAUGUGAGAUUCAUUCUUUUGAAAUAUCUCAAAUUUUCAACACCAGUUAACUGAUAUUUAUAUAGUAAUUAAAGGAUUUUCUUUUAUAAAUUAUAAGGAAAAAAUUUUUAUUUUUGCAUUUAAUGCAAUUUUUUUACUAAAUUCAAGAAAAAAAAGUUGAUUAACAAUAAUUUUCUUCCCAUAAAUAUCAUCUUGAGAAAAAGAGAUGCUAACAAAAUGAUAUUAAAGGAAGAUAAUGUGCAAUCAAUGAUUUUUUUUUGUGUGUUAAGUAAAAACAAUGCAUUCAAUGCAUAUAACCUUUCUAAAUUAGUCCUAUGUUCAAGAUUUGAUAUUUCUCUGUUAAUUCUCUCCUUUUUUUUUUUUAUGAAUUUAGCUUUUAUUUGUUUGAAUUCAAUUUAAUGUUGGGGUUGAUGUUGGUAGUUUCCCAUUGCUUAUGGUCUUUUCAUUAGUUUACAAAGACUAGAAAUUUAGUUGCUAUUGAAAAAUUGGUGGCUCCCAUGUGAAGAUUACAAAUAUUAAUGGUUGAAUACUUUAUGGUAGUUUCUAUAUGAAAAAUCCAAGUUAAUAGCUUAGAACCCAAAGUCAAAAUAAACAUGAAUUCCAUAGUUUUAACUAAAUCUAUUCUUAAUCUUUAAAAAUAUGCAUUCAAAAAUGGAAAGAAAAAAAAAAAAAACUCUUAGAUCGAUUUGAGGGAACAGGAGUGUUAAGGGUGAUCAUCCAAGUCCAAUAGUGGUGUAUAAAUUGGAUUAUAUUAUAUAGGAUUUUCUUAACUUGUGUUUAAGGUCAUUUUAUUAUUAAUUUGAUUCUAUAUAUUUUUUAGGUUUAAUACAUUACUUGAUUGAACUUUGAUAAAACCUAAUUGUUGAAUUACAAUUUACAUUAUGGCCCAGUAUGAGGCAGGUGAUUGAAAGGCGCCGUUUGCAGUCAGAAAGGAUUGAUGGAUUGGAGGGCGCUCCAUCUGUUGAGCUGCAGGUUACAACUUCUGUUUUUUCUCUUAUUGUUUGUAUUGCACGUACAGAUUUAUGGGAAAUUAUCUGUUUUUAUUUAUAAUAAUUACAAGGUAAAUGCAUUCCGAUGAUCAUGAGAUGGAUUAAGCACAACUAAGAACCCCUUUUAAGAUCUUGAACUUCUUGUGUAACUAGUGCUGCCUGUAUGAAACAUUAGAUCCUUGAAAAGGCCACAUUUUUUAUCCUAUCUGCCUGGAAACCGAACCGCAUUUUAAUGAAGUUGUGAACUGGUUUGUUUUAGCUGGAGAGUGCUACUCAUUCCGUGUUGAGUAAGGAAAUUGCAGAAAAGACCCAAGAACUGAGGUAAAUCCGAGUAUUUAUUACUGUGAUAUAUGAGGUUGUCAAUGCCAUAAUGAUAUUUUGGCAUGGUUUCGUUGAUAGACAGCUAAGGGGAGAAGACCUCCACGGACUAAACCUAGACCAGCUGAAACAACUAGAGAAAUUAGUCCAAGGUGGCUUGAGCCAAAUUUCAGAAACAAAGGUGUUUUCUUCAAGCCCCAUACUCAUCUUUGCUUUUUCAAGUUUUAUUAUUUUCCUUAGUUGAGUCAGUGGAAAAGCAUUCAUGUUUCAGGAUGAGCGAUUUUUGAAAGAGAUCAGCACCCUGGAGAAGAAGGUGAUUGAUAUAUAAAUGGCUAACUUAUAAGAAAUGGUCAAAAGCCAUGCAUGCAUUCAAAGAUUUUAAUGGCAAAAACAUCCUUUUUUACUUAACUGUUUGUUUAUACCUUGAAGGGAGCAGAACUGAAGGAAGAAAACCUGAUAUUGAAACAGCAAGUGAGUGUGUUACACCAUAUCUUGUUUCUUGGUUUCAAUACAUUUUCAUUUGACAGCCAAGUUAAUUUUGGGUAGGUGGAGAAAUUACCGCUUGUGGUCAAAGGCCAACCAUCAGAGCCAUUUCCCCAUCUUCACAAAUCUGGAGACCCCCCUCCUCCUCCUCAAGGGUAUAACACCUCUGAUAUUUCACUCACCUUGGGGUAAGCUCUCAUAUAUACUUUGUAAACUCUUUUAUCUUUUCCUACACAUUAAAACAUGGAUAUAAAAUAUGAUUUUCGAUAACAACUUUUAAGAAAAAAAAAUGCAAGUACGUGUGGUAUAUUGCUAAUAUCUGCUAUAGCCCGGCCUGAGUGCAUCAACCAAUGCCCUUUUGCAGGUUACCUUUCCCUAGCUGAUAGAAAGGUUAGCGGGGAUGUUGUGAAGAAAUGCUCCUCAUCUUUGCAUAAAAUCGUAUCUUUAAAGCUCAUCUAUACGAGUAAAUUUACAACCUGGCUCCUCUAUGUUAAAUGUAUCUAUAUAUCUAUAGGCUGAAGAUAACCAUUUAAUUAUCAAGUUCAUUGAUGUUUACGAAAACAAAAGAAAAAGGUAUUGCAAUAAAACUGACUUUUAUAUGCAAGAAAAAAUCGGCUAUCUGAUACUAUCCACUGCCAUCCCUGCAAGUAGAGAAAGGGUAUAAAUAGAUGCUAAGUGUAUGAUCAAAGUAGGGAUCGACGAGUUGGAAAGAGCUGUGGAGGCUAACUCCAGCAUUGCAGGAGCUCGAUGCAAUUAUCACAUUUCUUAAAAUUCUUUAUUUAUAAAGACAUGUCCGUAAGUGGAGAAAUUUCAGAGAUUUAUUUCCAUCACACUUGUUCGUAUACAACGUAGUGAAUACUACAAUAGUAAUAGAUAAAUGAAGAGAGCACAUUUCAAUUGGUGUUAGGAAUUUCUCUGGGUUUUAUCAGUAUUGGGUCAAGUCUUGGUUUGAGGCUAUAAUGAGCAUGAGUGAAAUAUAGUAAAUUACCUUUUGAGUAAAGUUUUGCAUCUUUAUAAAAAAAGAUACCAGCAACUCAACACUAAUAUUAUCAAGUCUGCUUUCUGCCUUGGAAGUUUCUGCUUUGUAGGGCAAAGAUGAAGCAUUCAAAGGAUGAUCUCUGUUAAUAAUCAUCUCUCAUUAUAUAAAAUUAUUAAUUAAUUUAAUUUUUUUAUUUUAAAUGCAUAUUUUUAGUAUUAAUGUUUUCUACAUCAAUUUUAUUUUAUUCAUUACAUUGAUAAUAUUUAAUUUAAUGUAGGGAAAACACAGAGAAAACGAUGAUGCCUAAAUUCUAAAACCCAAUAUUAUAAUUAAAUUUAACUAUUUUAGUUGAUAAUGUUAAUACAUAUCUCGUGCAUAAUCCACCGAAAGAGCUACUAACGGAAAUGGAGGAGGAUAGGAAAUAUUUUGAAAGUUAAAAACAGUUAUUUUAACAUUGUCAUUAUAUUGGAAAUAUUUUUAAUUAAUAUGUUUAAAAUUUUAAAUUUAAAUUGUUUUUAAAUAUGUUUUGUACAUUAAAAUUUUUAAAUAUUAUUUAUAUAAACAUUUUAAUUAUUUUAAAAAAAACUAAUAUCUAUUUAAAACAUCAUUAUAAAAAUUAAAAAAUUGUUUUGAUUGAUACAUCUAAUCAGCUCAUGCAUCGCAUUGGAUAUUCAAACUAGUUUUCUCAAUAUAGAAAUAUUAUCCAAACUAAAAACUUAAUAUUGCAUAAAUAAUUAUUUUAAGAUCUUUAAAAUAAUAUAAUUUUUAAAAAUAUAAAGAAUUAUUUGAUGCAAAUUAGAAUCGCAAUAAAUUGAUUCCUCCUCCACAUUUUCCCUUUGUUAUACAAACUUUAAGUUGUGGAGGUUAUAAAUUUUUGUGUGUAACUUUAAUAGGGAACGGGAGGCUAACCUUAAUAGAUAGAGGAAUAAUUAAUUUGUUGAAAAAAUUGUUUAUGAAAACGGUUUUAUGGUGUAGCAAAACUUUAAAACAUUUUCCUAAAAUUGGAUUUCCACUAAAUUUAGAACUUGUAUUUUUGAGCUAGCGAGUCUUGUCAAAUUCUGAAUCUAACGACUAAACCCUUCUAGCUUUUGACUAAAUGAUUUUCUUCGUUAUUCUCGAACUUUUAAAUGAUAAGAGAGCGAGUUCUUAUUAAGAACCGAAAACAAAAUGAAAAGUUUCAACCUUUUAACGGGGAAAGAUAACUUUCUUUAUGGGGAAACUAAAAUUGAAAAUAUAAUGUUGAUGAUCUAGUCAUGUUGUCCAUAUAUAAUGUGCAAGGUGCAUGUAAUAAUUUUAUAUAUUGAGGCUCUUGUUCAUAUAUGUGGCAUUCACUUGUGUCACGGGGUUAGAACUUUAGUCUUGUAAUCUAUGCGACUUUAGGCAAUUUCUUUGUUUCAAACGCGCCUAAGUCAGCCUAAGUCAAAUUCUCUAAGGCACUAGAAAUAUAGCGGAAGCAUAAUGAAACAAAAAGAGCAACACGAGAACUAAAAAGUCAUAGGAAAACAAUGCACACCAAAUGUUUGAAUAAAUGCUCUCAAUAUAUUAUUAACCCAAGAAUAACUAAAUACAAUGAGAUGAAUACAAAUGAAAGGGGAGACCUCUAUUUAUAGUUGAGCUCUCCCAAAAUCAACUGUACAAAUUAAUGGGCUUCUUCAUGGGUUCCACGAAUCAAGCCAGUUUAAGCAGGUCAAAUAUGUCCCAUUUAAUAAGUUGGUCUGUGUGCAAUGGUAACGGGUUUUGAUCCGUGGCCCAUGACACUUGCACUUAUUUGGCCGAAAGUGUCACAAGGGGUACAUUGGUCACUUGGGGAUGAGAGGUUGACUAGUUUUUGUUGGAUACAUGGAUGGUUGGUUUUGGGUCAUUAAACACUAGUAUAGUGGAGCAAGGCCUUUGGAGGAUAUUGCGGUUGUUAGAGGCAUGGCUACAAGAUCUGGUGAGUGGGACUGGGAGAAGCUCUUCGGUUUAAUACCACAGUUCUUGCUGAAUAAAAUUGCAGGUAUAAUGUCGCCCUUGGACGGUACAAGUAUUGACAGGUUGGCAUGGAAUUAGAGCGAUGCUGGUGGAUUCUCAGUGGCUCGAACGUAUGAGGGGAUCGUUGGCACUAACUGGGGAUAUUCUAACCUAGUUUGGCAACUCAUUUGGAGAUGCCAAACACCUCAACGUGUUCAUAGUUUCUUAUGGCUGGAUUAUCGAGAUGGCCUUUUGACAAAUGGUGAAUGCUGGACGAGGGAUCACGGACGAUGCAUGUUGCAAUUGUUGUGGAGAGUUGCUGGAGGCAAUCCUUCAUGUUCUCCAUGAUUGUGUCUACGCUAAAAAUGUGUGGAAUUCAUUGCUAACGAGUAAUGUUCGAUGCUGGUUUUUUCAACUACCAUUAAAUGAGAGGAUUGUCAAGAAUAUUCAAGAAGCCUUCCAUCUCAGUUUUGUUGGUAUAAAGUGGAGUAUGUACUAUUCGAUCAUUAUUUAACUACCAUGGAAACAACAAAAUAAUUUUAAUUUUCAAGGCUCUCGUAGUAGCACAGAGGAGCUGAUUCGUACCAAUCUCUUAUGGGUGAGAAGUAUAUAUAAUGCUCAGCGGCGGGGGGUGCAAUUCAUAUGGGGAUGUCUGCUAAUGCAAAUUGGGAAGCACCUGAGGAGGGUUGGAUGAAACUCAAUACUGAUGUUGCUGUAGACAGAAGUAAAUGGCAUGCAGGUAUUGCUGGUUUAUUCUAAAACGCAAGAGGAGAAUGGGCGUUGGGAUAUGCUCGACACUUGGGGGAUGUAUCAGUCUUUCAGGCAGAGGCUAGAGGAAUUCUUACAGCUAGCAUGGAACCAGGGGUACAGGAAAAUUGUUGUUGAGAAUGACAAUGCCUUACACAUUGAGACAAUUGUAGUGGUGUGACAAGUAACAAUGAUUUUGCAAAGCUAAGACAGAUAUAGAAAGCUUGUGACUAGGAUUGGCAGCUAAGUUUUCGGCACGUCGAACGAGAGGCAAAUACUUUGUGCGGACAAGUUGGCUAAUUUGGGGAAGUUACUAAUUAUGGACCUUGUUAUCUAAUUUGGGGAAGUUACUAAUUUUAGGAAGAGACUAUAAAGUGAUUUUCUCAUUUAGCAAGGGGCCAAGGCUCCUACCCCUUUGGCUACAUCCCUAGUUCUUCUUGAACCAAGUGUGAUUUUUUUUUUAGUAUCAUGUCUAAUUUACGGUCAGAAUUUGAAGUUCGUGGCUAUCCCUUUUAACAAUGAUGUUUUUAAAAUUUGAAUUUAUAUUAUUUUUUUAGGAGUACGUUUUGGUGAUAUCAUUAGCGUCGAAACCAUUUUUUUGAAAACAAAAAAUUUAGGGUUGUCGACUUCAAAAAAAAUUAAAAUUGGGAGUCGCCACCAAUCUUUUAUUGAGGUGUGAUUGGAUCACCUAAAAAACGGCUUUGGUCUACGAGUUUUAAAAAAAAACGGGUCCGGGAGUCAGUUACGUACAAGGAAGGAUUAGCACCCUUGUAACGCCCAAAAUUGGUACCUAAUUAAUUAAUUAGUGUCUUAAGGUCGAAAAAAAUAUAAUCUUUAAAACACUUAAAACGUUACGUAUUAAGACCCUUCUCAAUUCAGAGAAGCAAAAAUGUCACACCCAAUGCGUUAGGCCACAACAUUCUAAUUUCCUCCAAAAUGAAUUAGGUCAGAAUACUCGUAUAAUGAAAAAAAUUAAAAGAAUAUCCAUUUAUCCAAGAUUUAAGAAAUCGCGACCCAAUACGUUAGGGCACAAUUCCUUUAGAAUCCCAAACUCGAAUAUUCCUUUAUUAUUUUUAGANNNNNNNNNNNNNNNNNNNNNNNNNNNNNNNNNNNNNNNNNNNNNNNNNNNNNNNNNNNNNNNNNNNNNNNNNNNNNNNNNNNNNNNNNNNNNNNNNNNNNNNNNNNNNNNNNNNNNNNNNNNNNNNNNNNNNNNNNNNNNNNNNNNNNNNNNNNNNNNNNNNNNNNNNNNNNNNNNNNNNNNNNNNNNNNNNNNNNNNNNNNNNNNNNNNNNNGUAAAGAAUGAUGUGAUGCUAUAUUAAAUAUACAAUGCAAUAAUAAAUAUUACAAUGGCAUAGAAAUAAUAUAAAUAAAUGAAUAAAUAAAAUCAAUAUACAUAAUAAAAAUAAUCACAUACAAAAUAUCAAAUAAAUCAUAAAAAACAAUUCUUUUUAACAUAUAAACGAAAACAUGAAUUAAUAAUCGAAUGAAGAAAAUAAACAAAAUAUAAAGAAUAAAAGGCACAUAAUAUAUGCAUUGAAAUUAAAAGCCUUACACAUAAUUUACAUAUAUAACUUUGGAUUAAAAUUUAUAAAAGCAGAAUAUAUAAUGCAUUUGUGAAAAUAAAAUAUAAAUUAUAAAGUGUUAAAAAAUACAUAUAUUUGAGCAUUUAAAAAAAUAUAUAUAUUCAUAUAUAUAAAAAACUGGUUAAAAAUAUUAAUAUGUAUACAUACAUAUAUAUACAAAGAUAAAUAUAACAUAUAUAGAUUAUACAAAAAUAAUUAUAUACAAAUAAAAUAAAAUAAAAAUAAUUACCUCAUAUUAAAAAAUAAAUAUGCGAAAAUAUUAAUUUUUUAAAAAAAUAUAAAUACGCACAUAGAAACAAGUAUACAUAUAUAUAUAUAGCUAAAAUAAUAAUAAUUACAUAUGAAAAUAAUAAUAAUAAUUACAUUAACAAAAUUAAUUAAUUUUAAGAAAAAUAUAAAAAGGAUUAAAUUGAACUACAAGUAAACAAAUCUGUGGUAAAUAUGCAAAUAAAUAAAAUCUGGAGGACUAAAUUGAACGAGCGAAUUACAUAGAGGGGCUGGAAGGGAAAUUUUCCCUUCUCUGAAACGGUGUCGUUCAAAAGGAUUAAAUUGGAAUUUAAAAUAAAUAAAAGGGUAAAUUAAAAAAAUAAAGAAAACUUAAUUACAAAAACAUUAAAAGACGGUGGGGCUAAAUAAUAAAAUAAAAUAAAAUUCGCAGUGGUAUCACCUUCUCCCUUUUUUAAAGUCGUAAAUAAGUAAAAAAUAAUCGAAAGAAAAAAAUAGUAAGCCACCUUUAAAAAGCUGCCAAUCGUUCUUUUUUUAUUCCUCCUCCUCUUUUCUCUUUUUUUUUUCACAAUGAAGGGAGAGGCCUCUAUUUAUAGUUGAGCCUCCCCAAAUCCAACGAUACAGAUCAAUUACAUCAACGGCUGAGAUUAAAGGGAAUCUACAAAUUAAAUCUCUAAGAUUACAAAAUCAUAUAUUCUAAGAUUACAUAUCAUAUCUAAGAUUACAUAUCAUAUCUAGGAUUGCAUAUCAUAUCUAAUAUUGCAUAUCCUCAAAAUUAUGUUUUCAUAUGUGAGCCCGGGCUAAAAUUGGGUAUUACAAUUAGUAAUUGACAAAUACCGUAUAGAAAUAAAAGUAAAUAUAAAAAAGGUACACUGGAAUAUCAAAUACUUACCCCCAAGAAAAUCUUUUGUUUAAAAUUACGAAGUUAAACUGUAAAAAAUCAAAGUCAAAGAAGAUAAUGUGUUGCUUAAUGAACUUACAAAAGUGCAGUAUUUAUAAUUGUAUAAGGUAAAAUCUCUUAUCAACUAAUUGAUAAUCCCAUUCAAAUUUUAAAACAUUUUGGGUAUUCUUAACACUGCAAUCAAAUAAUUCCAAGAGAGCUGGAAAUCGGAAUGAAAGUUGGGAUUUGUGAAUUUCGAAACAUCAUUGUUUUGACUUCAGCAUUUUACCCAUGGCCGAAAAGGUCGAAUAAAAAGACCCUGUCGUUAGCGAAUCGGUAAUAAGAUAAAAUACAAGUACAAGAAAGAUUGGUCCAUAUUGAAUCCACCGCCUCUCGACUCUCCAAAUCCAAAGGCGACUCCUCCUCCAAGGAUGGGAGAAGAGAGGGUGAAAGAAGAGGCCUUGCAGCUUAUUGGGAUGUUCCAACUUCUUCCUCGUUUGGUGGUUUUCGAUCUUGAUUACACCCUCUGGCCUUUCUACUGGUUUCUUUCUUUCUUCUUCUUCUAUAUAAUUUCUGUUUUCAAAUGAGAAUACCCACAAAUUUUUGUCUUAAUUCUAUUCAUUUUAGUGCUUUGAUCUUAGUUUUAGUAUAUAUUAUAGCAACCCUUUAAUCAGAGCUUACUGUUUAUCUAUUUUUUAAUGGAACAGAGUCAAUUUUCAAAAUUCUGCUUUUUUUUUAUUAUUUUAUCACCAUUUACUAAUACUUAAAACCAACCAAAAUACUUGGGUUUUCAUGUUAGUUGUAGAAACAAUAUGACUGCCUAUUGUAAGUGUCCUUAGUUUAUGUGCCUUGCUCUUUAUUUUACAACCCAGACAAGGCAUGAAAAGAAAUGACAUUUUAUGUUGUUUUUGUUGUUGUGGAUGUUUGGAUUGGCAUGUUUUCCUGCUGAUGCUUAAAAUUUUCAGUCUGCGCCGCUCCAAACGUGAAACCCCAUCUUUGUACCCCCAUGCUAAAGGCAUAUUAUAUGCACUCAAGGACAAGAGGAUUAAUUUAGCUAUUGCUUCAAGAUCUCCGACUGCAGAUACAGCAAACACGUUUCUUGACAAAUUGAGCAUCAAAUCUAUGUUUGUUACAAAGGUGAGACUGUUAGAACUCCCCUUCUACUUGUUUAUUAGCAAGGUUGUGUUUUGAGCUGCAGUGUUUACAGGCUAAUGUAGAGUGAUGUAGCUAAAAGAUUAUCCUUGUCAAUUCAUUCAUGGGUAACCUUAUUUAUAACAAGCUGACCCAUAUGCAAAGUUGCUCUUUUGCUGCUUAUUGAUAACUGUUUGUUUCACGUUUCAAUUAUUCUGGUUUGGAUCAUUCAGGAAAUUUUUUUCAGCUGCAAGAACAAGACAGAUCAUUUCAGGAGAAUUCAGUCAAGGACUGGGAUUCCCUUCAACUCAAUGCUCUUUUUUGAUGAUGAGGAUUGGAACAUAGAAGCUGUAAGAAUGGUUUCUCCUAUAUUCUCUGCUUGCCUCUUCUUUUUUAUAUUUGGUCACUUGCUGUUAUUCUAUGGUAUUGGGUAUUUGGACCUUCUCUACCCUUUCUCUGUCAUGGUCUAUUUUGCUUGAACUCUUCUUCUUUUUUCUCUCUCUGAAACACUACAUAUUCAAAUGAGUAUGAGUAACAUAGAUAUGGCUAUUGGGGAAAUGAGGUUUGAAUUAAUGAUAAUGGCAGGCUUCCAAGAUGGGAGUGACGAGCAUAUAUGUUGAUAAUGGGGUUAAUCUGAGAGCGUUGAGACGAGGGCUAACUCAAUUCACUGAAAACCAAAAUGCAUCAGACAAGAACCAGCGGAAAUAGGAUCAUAAUGUACUCCAAAAACCCAAAUUCAUAGGGGAGAAUGGGUUAAAAAUUCAAGAUUAUUUGAAACCAGUCAUUUAUACUUAGAAAGAUUGUUCUUAUUUGCUGCAUACAAAUUACUUUAGCACUUGUGUUAGCGUUGAUAAUGGUUCCGCUCGAAAUGAUUUUGGAACAAAAUUGCAUUACCAUUUAUUAUUUUAGUUUUAAAAAAUCAAAUGGUAAAAAUAAUUGAACCGAAUUGUAUUGCUCAAAAAAAUAAAAAUAAAAUCGGUGUAGUUAAUCGAUUUUUAAAUUUUGCAUUAAAACAAAUUUUUAUACUCGUUAUUCUCAUUAAUUUAUUAUAAAAUGUUCCAUUUUAUUUCAUAAAAAUUAAAAAUAUUUAUAUAUUUUAUAUAAAAUAAAAAUUAAGAGUGUCCUAUAAGUGGGUCUCGCUCAAUAACCGACACUUCUAAUGCCAACUAUUAUGUCCUAUCUAAAGUGAUUAAUAUUGUGUUCAAUCGUCGCCUUACCUAGGGGUGUUCAAUUGGUUAACCGACCGGUUAAUCAACCCGAACUAACAUUAAUCGAAUUAACCAACCCUUUUAAACUCUUAACUGUUAACCGAACCGAAAUUUUUUCAAAAAAAAUUUAACCGAACCAAACUUUUUCGGUUAAUUCGGUUGGUUAACUGAAUUAACCAAAAUUUAUAUUUUUUUUUAUUUUUGGUUAAAACAAGUAUAAAACAUAUAAAAAAUUAACCGACUUAACCGACCGAUUAAUUUAUAUUUCCAAAAAAUUAACCGAACCGACCGAAUACUUAUAUAUUAUAAUAUUAUUUAUUAAAUUCGAUUAAUUCGGUUAGCCGACCGAUUUGGAACCGAAUUAACCGUUAACCAAACUUCCAAAAAAUUAUUAACCGGUCCCUGACCGAAUUAAUUCGAUUAACUGACCGAUUAAUCGAAUUCAAUCGGUUAACCGAAUUAAUUCAGUUUUACCCAAAAUUUGCACACCCCUAGCCUUACCUAAAACUAUGAUGGCUAACCAAUUGAUCAACUUGUCUUUGGCCGAUCUAGGGGAAGAUGACACAUGGCACCUUAAGAUCAUAGAGAAGGGUAUAUAAACCCUUAGUUCUUGCCUAGAAAAUGAUCCAUUUUCCUCUCUUCUCUCUUUUCUCUUUUCUUCCUUUCUCCCUCCUCCUUCCCCUCGACUCUAUCAAUUACCAUAGCCAGGCUACCGCACACAACAGCUCUCCGCCUUACUUUAAGCAAUAUCCUCACAGGUAAAACUCAAGACAAAACCAAUAUCAUAUCCACCUUACUUGAUUCUUAUAUCAACAAUUAGUACAGUAAGUGUGGGCCACUUUCAUUGCAAUAUUUUCCUGAUGCAACAUUCCUACUGGUCAAACUCAAGUCUAACCCAAAAUACUAAUCAAACUUAGCCAAAUCAAAACUUUGGAAGUUAUUAUUACUAUGGCACCCGACACUUUACUCGGCCGGUGGGUCUAAAAGCAAGAUGUCACCCUCUGUUGCUGGAGCAACUCAGACUAUCCUCACUUGCUUCAUUGAAGCUAAACACACAAGUGUUGAAAAAAAUCAUAAUUAUCCAUAUUGUCCAAGUGAAAUACACGUGAAAGAGGUCAAAUGGGCCCACAAGUAAUGACCUGGGGAUAUAUGUGGUCAAUUACGAAGUCAAGAUGCAAGUCUUAACUCAAAGUGUCAAAAUGGAGGGCUUUAUCUUAAUACCUUAAGGAUAGGUCUCAAUACUUGCCUCCUUUUUUUUAGAACCUCAGUUUCGAUGUUUUCAGGUCUCGAUACUUUAGUCUCAAGUCUCAAUACCUGAGAUACAACAUUUUUAAUUUAGUUUCGAUGUUUUGAGGUCUCGAGACAUGGGGUUUAUGUUUUGGUCAUAAGUGCAAAGCCCAAAGCCAAAAUAUCAUAGGGUAAACUUUAUGUUUUGGCCAUUAAACUAUUCAAAAGUUUUCAUUUAAGUUAUUAAGCUGUUAAUUGUUGAUGUAUGGCCUUCUUUUUUCGCACCACUUGCACUAAUCGAAAGCUCUCUUUCCACUUCUCUUCUACAGUUCAGUCAUUUUCUUUAAAUAACUUUGAAUGUCAUAAAUCUAUGAACCAAAAUACAAACAACUUGAAUAUACGGUAUGUUCUUUUACUUGUUAAUGUAUUUUAAUUCACCAUGCCAAUUAUAAAAUCGUGCUUAGAGUUCGCUAGCCCGACUUAGAAAAAACUUAAUAGCUGAAUGACUUAAAUAAAAAAAAUUGAAUACUUUAAUUACUUACAUGAAAAUUUUCGAAUAAUCUAAUAAUUUUAUAACAUUUUAGAAUUAAAUAGUCAAAAUGUAAAUUUAUUAAUAAAUUAAUCGCAUCAGUGUAGGUUACCGGAUAUUAUAGUUCCGGUUGCGGAUUUUAGCGGUUGGUUGGCGAGGGCGGGAUAAUUUCACCUUUGGGCCGGCGGUUAAAUUUCACUGGCACUUGUCGGUUGUCGAAUGGAACUACAGAUUCGUGACGGUUAUGCUUGCGUAUCCAUCUUGUUUUCUGAUAACUGUGUAUCCAUUUUUUAUUUCGUCGAGAUGCGGUCCGCAGACUAAAAACAGUUCUGACCGUUAGAUUUCAUCUUAUCGAACGAUCAGUAAUUGACUGUUCAUAUUUAAUUAAAAAGAUUAUCAGUGAGUGAGUCAGAGUGAUACGUUAGCUACUAUCAUUAAAAGAAAAGAAUGUUUUGAUUUCGGAGCAAUAAUUGAGGGAAUCAGAAAAUGGAGAAAACUGAUGGAAUUGGGAAAGAACAUGGAAGCACAGAAGAAAAUCAAAGUUUCAAAGAUGGAUCAAUUUGUGGGUAUAAUUCGCUUCACCACCUCUUGAGCGCAAAUCUCAAGCCUCAACUCUACCAGGUCUUUUCUUUUUCUUUUUUCCCGCUUUCCGAGUUGUAAUUUAUCUGCCUUCACUUUGUUGAUUUAAUUGGGUAUUUUUGUUUUUCUUAAUCUGGCCAUGCACUGGGCAAAAAAUUCCAAUCUUUCCUGUUAUUUUUCUUGCUUAUAUAUAUAUAUAUAUAUUGUAAAAGCAAAUUUAAUCAUGAAAAAGGAAACCCCAGUUCAAAUUGUCUAUUAUGAAUCGAUUGGUUAUUGUUAUUUUGGUCAGUUUUUGCCACUGAAAUGAUCAUUGCAGUCGAUCCUAGAAUUUGUAAACAGUUUAUCUCAUUAACAAGUAACAUGUUUUGCCUAUUAAAAGUCAAAAUCUACUGAUCUUAUUGCUGAUGAAAGUAACAAUCUUUUGGAAUUUUGUUAUGGUUUAUUAACAGGAAGUCAGCCGGUUGCUUCUGGGGCUGAAUUGCGGAAAAGCACUUGAAACUAUUGUUCCACCUGAAUCAGCUAAAGCCCUCUCUUCAAAACAUGAUUUUGAUCUUCAGGUGCCUAUUUAUUUAUCCAACAUUACUGCAUUAUAACGAUUCGUUGAUAUAGAGAUCCAUCAUCUUAGCUCAUCAAUAUUGGAAAACAAUAACCACAAGGUUGGCCUGGCUGAAAUCGUAAUACUCUUAUAAAACAAUCAAAGUGAAGGAACAAUAUAUGUUUUGGACACGUUAGAUAUACAAGGCACUACCAUGCAUUUUGACUGCAACUGAAGAUUAUGUUAAUCUUUAGGCAGGGUUAGUUAAUCUAUGUCAUAUGUUCUGAUAUUUGUAUGGAAUAUUUUUCUUCCUCCAUUUUCCGCCUUUUCCAGUUUCUAGUUCAUACAUUUGAACAUUUGGUUAUAACACUUCUAAUGUAUAAUUUUAGUACUACCAGGAUCUCCUUGAAAUAUGUUGAUUUUCAUUCAAUCCACUCUUAUCUAAGUGGUUGAAAAACAUCCCUUUUCUCAUUACAAAAUUAUUCUCUUACCGACCUGACCUGAGCAUACUUGUAGCUAUUAUCUCCGUAGAUUUUUGUUAUUAAUACAAGUAUAUUGUAGAAGGCAGUUAUAUGUGCUUUUCCAUUUCAAAUCAUUCCAGGCUUUCAAAUUUUCUGCUGACAAAGAGUUGUUAAGAGAACCCCGGGUAGUAAGGGUCGGUCUUAUUCAGAACUCCAUUGCUCUCCCAACCACUGCUCCCUUUUCAGACCAGAAAAAAGCUAUCUUUGAGAAAUUGGGACCAAUAAUUGAUGCUGCUGGUGCUUCAGGAGUCAACAUACUAUGCUUGCAGGUAUGGUCAAUUUUAUUGAUCGUUGCAUAAUAUUCUGAAAAGCAAAUUAAUGAGUCUAUGAUGCAAGUUCAGGAAGCAUGGAUGAUGCCAUUUGCCUUCUGUACACGAGAAAAGAGGUGGUGUGAAUUUGCAGAACCUGUUAACGGGGAAUCUACACAAUUUCUUCAGGAAUUUGCACUCAAGUAUAACAUGGUCAUUAUAAGCUCAAUUCUUGAGAGGGAUAUAAAUCAUGGAGAGACUCUCUGGAAUACUGCUGUUAUAAUUGGAAAUCAUGGCAACAUAAUAGGCAAGCACCGUAAGGUAAAUGCAGUAGUUUAUCUGGGUUUGGGCUUAUGUUUCUUGGAAUUUUUAUUGAUUUUGCUUAAUUGACUGGCUUCUGGCAGAACCAUAUUCCUAGAGUUGGGGACUUCAAUGAGAGCACGUAUUAUAUGGAAGGAAAUACCGGGCAUCCUGUAUUUGAGACUGCUUAUGGGAAGAUUGCUGUUAAUAUAUGUUACGGAAGGCACCAUCCUUUGAAUUGGCUAGCUUUUGGUUUGAAUGGUGCUGAGAUCGUUUUCAACCCAUCAGCCACGGUUGGUGAACUUAGUGAACCGAUGUGGCCCAUUGAGGUUAUUCUUUACCCUCAUUUCAUAUAAUACUUAACUAUCUAAAGAUUGGAUGUGAUACUGAUUUAGUAGAGAGUCAUUUAUGUAAUAUUACAAGUGCAAAUGACAUUUUGAUACAGAUGUUAGCAUUAUAUCAGUUAAUGCCUGCCUACCACUGAACUGUCUUCUACAAGUCGUUUGACAUAUUAUUCCUUUAUAUUACAGGCACGUAACGCUGCAAUAGCAAACAGUUACUUUGUUGGGUCAAUCAAUCGUGUAGGGACUGAGAUUUUCCCCAACCCAUUCACCUCAGGGGAUGGAAAGCCACCACAUCCAGAUUUUGGCCAUUUCUAUGGAUCUAGUCAUUUUUCAGCACCUGAUGCUUCCUGCACACCAUCACUCUCCCGUUAUAAGGAUGGACUGAUGAUCUCAGAUAUGGAUCUUAACCUCUGUAGGCAACUGAAAGACAAAUGGGGGUUCCGAAUGACUGCAAGAUAUGAGUUAUAUGCAGAUACGCUUGCCAGUUAUCUGAAACCAGACUUUGAACCCCAAGUCAUCUCUGAUCCCUUGUUACAUAAGAAGUCUUUUUAAGUACCUGUCUUCUUAAGUUCCAGGUACUAAUUGCAGCUUAAUGUAUGAAGUUAAUAAAUGGAGAUGAAAAUAGAAACUGUAUUGAUUUAUCAUAUUGAAUCAUCCACAAGAACAAGUUCGUUGUGUUUGUAAGUAUUUGUGCCCUUUUCUGUUUUCAAUGAGUCAGCAAUUUCUGAUCACUCCACCAGCUUCCAUUUUUAUUAAGAUGAAGAAAAAGGAAUCUUGGUGUCUGCGUUUGGUGAAAAAAUAUAAAAUGAAGUGGAAUGAAUGUCGACAAGCUCACCGACUCUCUUUUUCCCUCUUUUUUCUGUUUCUAUAAAAUCUUCCAAGUCUCAUCAUCUAAGCUUAUCCACAAUUAAAAGUAUAUACAUACAUAUAUAUAUCUACUACUUAAACAGACUUUUCAAAGCCUUUUUAGAAGCAGAGAGAUAAAGUGAGAAAGAGAGAUAAUUGUGCUUAUUAACAACAAAUACACGGCAUUAUAAUUUUGAAGGCCCACUGUGUAAGAGUAAAUGUUCAACUUAACAGUUCAUACAUACUUGAUCUCUAUCCAAAAGAAACUCGAGCUUCUAAAUUCAAGAUACGCUAUUUCAGGCUUCCUACUAGCUUAUGAACUUAUUUUAAAGCACCAAAUAAGACUUCAUUUGCAAUCUUGGCUCCCCUUUCUUUUGCCAUGUAUAGCCCUAUAUGGUGCAUCAAUUCCUGCAACAUUAAAAGCAGCAGCAUUCAAGUUAUUCUUGAUGCAUAUGGUGUGGGGAUCUCUUGUUUCCAUGUAACAAUUUGGGACAUUUUAAGAAACGAAAUACCUGAGGGUGAGGCAGAGCUCCUUUUGUGUUUGUGGCGAUGUGAAGAGGAACGUCAAAGGUUGCACAGGCACGCGAAUACACGAUAACAUCCUUGAGCGGAGCCAGAAAUCCUCGAUUCCUCACUGAUAAUGUCGAACACACGAAAUCCAGCACACAUAUAUCUGUGCACACCCCUACUACCAAUAUCUGCAACCAUCAUAAUCAUGGUUUAUAUAAACUCAUCAUAUCCAACAAUUGAUUAAACAAGCUCCACACUAGGGUUCUGAUUUGUUUUGCCACUGAAAACAAGUUCGAGGCUGCAAUGUAAAACCAUUCUUGACACUAGUAUACGCUACUAAAAUCUUCAAACGAGUUCUUACAGCUUCAAUGUGAUUGUUCUUCACCCAAUCCGCAAAAACAUUUGAACCAUCAGCUUCCAUGGAACCCAGAUACCCAUCAUAGCAAUCUUUCCGCCUGAUUGUCACGUUUGUUUCGUUUUGUAUCCAUUGCAAAGCUGCAUUUUAUUUAUUUGUUUUGCAGAAUCUUGAUUUAGAAAUUCGUUAUAUAAAGCUAAAAAGGGAGAAGUAAAUAUAUAUAUAUAUAUAUGUAGGUACCUGGAACCAAAUUAGAUUCAUCGGUGCCUUGAAUGCAGUGAGGAGGAUAAGGAUCCUCGGGCUUGUCAGGAUGAUGAGAAUCAAGAAACGCCAUAACAGGCAAUUUCUUGUCGCAGAAAAGUCUUGCCAGCCUCACUGAUUCGCUGAUCAUUCCUGAUAUUUGUCUGUUGGGUUCUCUUGGGGCCUAAAACCCAUAAUAUUAGUGCUAUAAACUUUUCCUGAUUCAAUGCACAAAGCAGAUCCUGCAUACAUCCUCUUCGACAUAUACAUGCGUGUGUAGUUUAAGGAAUCGUUUAUUACAUCACAACUUAAUCGAGUUGAUUCAACUAUUGUUUUUUUAAAGUUAGCAUCUAACAUAUGUAAAUUCGAAUACUUGUAACAAAAUAUAUAUCAAUAGUUCAAGGGUCAGGCACUUUACCAGGUUUCCAGCACCGACAGUGCAGAAGCCAUUGAUGAUAUCGACAAGAACAAGGCCAGUGACAACAUCUUCAGGCAAAACCACAAGCUCCUGCUCUAGAGGCAGCUCGUUCUUCAACACAUCAAUGGUUUGGGACACCAUUUUUCGAAAUUUAGUAACAGGUGACCUCGAAAUUACAAAACCAAAGUGAAGGAGUUUCAGUAGAGCAACUUCAGUUAUAUUGAAUUUUGAAAACGGUAGCCAUGCUAAGCUCCAAAAAGAGCCUGAAAAGUAUCUCAAUUAUUGCUGUAUUUCAAAAGAGGUUGUAUCAAAGGAUAAGACGUGGGGAUCUAUCCAAAAUAAUUUUCGAGCUUCAGUUUCAACUUUUAUCGAUUAUACUAGUUUCAGCCGUCAUGCUUGGCUACAUUUGAUUAUUAGAAGGAUACAUACGGCAUAAAUAAUUAAAUAUAGUAGGAAUAGCUUCAACUUUUUGUGCUGCUUUGGAUGAAAAGUCUUAUUUCAACAGAAAAUAUAUAUUAUGGCACAAUUUUAAAUUAAGAUUUUUUUAAGCUCAGCUGAUUCAUUCCAAUUUGAUAAAAAAAAUUUAUUUAUAGAUUCCUACAUUCAAGUUUAAGCUUCAACUUGAAUUAAAUGUCUUUUGCAUAUAAAAUUUAUAUAUUAAUUAAAGUUAAUAUAUUACUUAUACUAUUAAUAAAAUCUAUGAUUGAGUUGGUGUUACGGAUUAACUGAGUACCAACUUAGUUAUUGCGUGAUGGAUGUGAAGAAGUGAACCAUUAUCUCGGCGGUAAUGAGCCAAGCUAGUAUUUGCAGUGAACCCACCUCUUAAGUAGUCAUGCAUUAUGAAAGGAACUCUUAAUUCUCUAACACACACAGCGCUUUUGAUCAUUUCUUCAUAUGUACCUGCAGUAGGAAAUGAUUAAUAUAUCCUUUUAUUAAAGGGUUACUAUUAUUAUUUUGAUGAUUUUUUUUUAUUUUUUUCAUACUUCUGCAUAUUUUUUAAAUAAAAUAACUAAAAUUAAGAUAUUUAAUAGUUGAACACAUGUUUAAUAAAUUUAUAAACAAAUAUUUUACUACUACUACAAUAAUAAUUCAUGAUUAAAUUUUUAAAAGAUUACUUUUAACAUAAAAUGUUUUUUCUUACCAGAUUUAUGUAUCUAUACUAUUUAUAAAACCCCUGACUAAGUUGGUAUCAUGGAUUAACCGGGUACUAAUAUCAGUGAGUACUGAGCUUUCACCAAAAUUAAAACAUUGUGAUUAUUGAGUUAGUUUUCUCUUUAUAAAAAUGUUAAAAUUUAUAUAAUGAAAUUGUUAAUGUAUUUAAAUUUAUAUAAAAAUAAAAUAUGAUUAUUAUAUAAGAUGAAUGUAAGACAUUGACACCAUAUUUGGUUCGUGUGAAUAUGACCUUAUUUAGCUCGAGUUCACAAUACCAUUACUUGCUUGACUAGAUUAAUUAAAUGGCAGGAUAGGUAUCUUAUAAUAGCCAUUCAACAUUAUUACCAAAGAAUAGUUGUAGUUGGACAAAACACGUUAGCAAAUAAAAUAAAUAUAUAUAAAUAUAUAAAAAAUAAAAUAUAAAUAGAAUGAUUUAUAUUUAAUUUAUCAAAUACGAAAAACAAUCAAAACCGUAACAAAAGUUAAAAUAAAAAAGAAGAAUAGAGUUUUUACUAAACGUUGAGGCCUGUUGAAAAACAGUUUUCUUAAGACAAAUUUGGCCACUCCUACAGUACUUGGAGAAAUGUAGACAAAAUCUGCAUUAAAGGAGCAAUUGAAUCAAUUUGAUUAAAAUCAAAUCAAAUUGAUUAAAAUUAUCUCCUACUCGUAUCGAAUAGAACAUGUUGAGACAAACCUUCUUCAUGUAAAACAUGUUUGAUUUAGAUCGAGAGAAUCGUACGGUUUUAUGAAAUCAUGUGUAUAUGGAUCAAAUCCGUAGUCAAUCCUAUUUCCGAUAGGAGCAGUUGACAAUUGAAUCUAACUUUUUCCAUUAUUUUCGUAUCUGUAAUAGUGCGAAAGGAAAGUCUGGCUCCAAGUUGUUCAAGAAUAGUGGCGUUGUUAAGUUUCUCAAUCCUUUGACUUAGGAUUAGUCAGUUCUAUAUCUUGACGGGGGCAGGGAAGGGAUAUAACUUAGCGUUAGAGUGUCACCUUGAUGUGGUGGAAGUCAUCAGUUCAAGUCUGAUUAUCCAUAAACCUAAUGUGAGUUUUUCUAUUUUGCCUUGCCCCUCGCCGUGAUCGAAUAAGAAUGGAUAAGAGGCUCAUGGGAUUGAUGUGAGGGGGUAAGGAUGACUAUAUUUCUGGGAGAGAACUCCAGGUGAAUAUGAAGCGCAUAGAUACAAGUUAUGCCUUGGAGUGAAAGACAAUUCUGAACCGGCUUUGUCUACGAACAAGAAAGCUAUAAGUAAUGCAACUAUCCUUUUAUAUCAAUAUAUUUUGUAGGCAAACUUAAAUUUCGUGUUGGACUAAAAUAUUUGUAGGCUAAUUACGGGCCCGACCGAUCAAAAUAUUUUUGCAUCACCUACAUCGGUGCUCCCAACCCCAUCAAGUUUAAACCUACAUCCCCUUUGUGCACAAGACAAAGUUCCAAGCUUAAUCAUUCAAUCAUCUUUUAAGAGGGUUCCCAUAUAUAAACACAUCUCAUACUUGAUAUUUAACCAAUGUGGGAUCUAAGCUUUUCUUUUCCUCAACAAAUAUUCCUAAGUAGCUUACUUUGAGCAUCAAUUUCUCAUUCAUCAUUCAACCAUUUUGAGCAUAUGAUAUAUCAUUGUAAAGGUCACAUGGAGUAGAAUAAGAAACUAUAAUUUUAUGAUUCAACUCUCCACCUUUAUCUAUUGAGAAUAUGCCUCAAAGUUCCCAAAAAAAAUGUAAUUUUUUCAACAGUUAUUUUGGCCUUUCAGAAUAGCCACCAAUUUUUUUUAAAAUGCUUCAAACUAAAAACAUUAUUCUAACCAUAAUUUCAACAAUAGGAUACUGCUAUAGUAACAAAAUUAUUUUUUUCUAGAAACAUAAACAUCAUAAAAGAAGAAACUUAGGCUGAUGUUGAGUUUGAUUGAUUUGAAAGGAUUUAGGGUUCAAUUUUUGUGGAGGGAAAGGAUGAGGAAGAAUAUAUAUAGCAAUCAAGUGGUGGCCAACUGUGGAAUGAGGAUUGUCUGUUGUUUUACAUUCAAAUUGCAUGUGCAGGGAAAAACUAAUUAGAAAAUUGGAAAGAGAGAUAGAGGAGAUUACUCCUAAAGUUCAAGAAUCCAAGUUGUUUCUAGACUCGAAGAAGUUUGAUCGAAUUUUCCUUGAAAAUCAACUUGAAAGAAAUUGCUUGGAAUUGCUUUCUUGAUCUGAAAAAAAACUGAAGAUUGAAUGUAAAUAAGUCAAGAAAAACAAACCAAGUAAUAAAAUAACCAAAAACUGAAAUAAGUGAUGAGUUAUGGCAGUGGUUGAUCCUGAGACUAAGUUUUGGGGGUUUAAUAAAAUUUUCAAAAAUUUUAGAAGUUCAAUCAGUUUUUUUUAAAAAAAAUGGGGGGUCUAAUUGAAAUUUUUAAAUUUUUUGUGAGAUUAAUAAGAAUUUUUAAAAAUUUGAGACCUAAUUAAAAUUUCCAAAACUUUAAGAGAAAAAAAUUAAAAUUUCCAAAAAUUUUGGGGCCUAAUUAAAAUUUUAAAAAAAUUCAAGGGAAAAAUCAAAAUUUCCCAAAAUUUUGGAGGGACUAAGGUCCCUUAGGCCACCAUAAGGAUCUGCCUCUAAGUUAGGGAAAGAUGAAACUGAUUGAGAUGGAUAAAUGGAUAAGAUGUCCAAUGGGGCCAUUCGAGAUAAAAUUAUCCUAACAAACUCAAUUAUUGGCUCUAAUUAUUGACAAAUUGAAGUUUUAAGAACUUUCUCCAAAAUCUUGAAUAAAAUUAAGUAAAAUUUUUUUUUGAAAAUAAACAAGAAUUGAAUAUUUCAAAAGAAUAACUCCAUCGAGUACUUGUCUUAAUUUCAAAGAAAGAUUUAAUUUAUAAUGAAUGAAUGCCUUUAUAUAGACUACAUAAAUUGGCAAAACAAGACGUAGUUUUAGUUGAACUAAAAUUUCUUGUCAAGUAGAAAACAUAAAAACUUCUAAACAACUUAAAAGACUUAAAAAUCUCUUAAAAUUCGAAAUAAAUAAAUACUUAAAACAUAAAACUUAAUAAAUACAAUAUUGAUAUUAUAUAUAAUCAAAAUUAAACAUUAAAAGUAAGCCCAAUAUGGAUUAAACACGAAUCUAAAGUCCAAUAAUUGAGUUUUUAAAAUAGUCAAUUUAAAGCAUUUGAUUAUUUUAGAAGAAAACUUUGUUAAUUACCAAUUUAUUUAUUACUCAAAAUUUUAAUUAUAAUUAGCAGCGGAAAAGUGAUAUUUACUAUGUUUUUAAUAAAAAUCGGAGUUCAUGCCUAACUAAUUAAUAUUCAUAAGUUGAUAUCCUAAAUCAAAUUAAAUGUAGUGCAAGCUAUAUAAAAAAAAAUCCCAAAUCCUAUGUCCCAUGCCACAGUUCAAAACAAAAUUAUAUAGUCUCUAAAUAAUAAAAAUAUCAAUUAAUGGAUCUAAAACAUUUUAAUAAAUAAAACCGAGCCAAGACCCUCUGGAUGCCUUGUUCAUGUCCUAAUCUGGUGGGUUAUCUGUAGAGAUGGAAAUAAAAAGGGGUGAGCUAUGAAGCUCAGUACGAGUCCUAUCACAAGUGAACUAGUGCAGAACAAUAACUAAGCAUACAAUUUAACAGUUAUCAUCACAUUAACAUUCAUAUAGGAUAAUAGUAUUUAAACAAUUCACUCAGCAUGCUUUAAGAAUGUCAAUACAAAUGCGAUUUCAAUUUAACGGGAAUAAUCCUACCCAUACUCCACUACACUCCUCAGUAAGAGUUCCCUAGAACUCUUCCAGCCGUAACACUCCAGUUUGUGGCUGAGCCACCAAGGUUGCAGGUUAAUAUACUGCUAGUAGUUGUGAUUACACAACGAGUUUGCAGAUAAAAGAUGCUAGAUGAAUUAUGGAUACCACCAGUGUUUGCAAGUUAAUACGCUGCCAGUACUUGUGAAUACACAACUUAGUUGCAGAUUAAAGCUACUGGUAUAAAUUGUGGAUAAACCACCAGUGUUUGCAAAUUAUUAAACUGUCAGUACUUCCACCAUACAAUCGUCCCACCCCAUGCAAUACAGUAUGUCAUGCUUGCAAUAGUAUAAUGUAAAACAAUAAACAUGCUCAUCAUGUUUCUAGUUCAUAAGCAUGCUCAUCAUGUUUCUAGUUCAUCAGUAGCAUUAGUCAUGUUUAUCAUGUAUUCAGUUUAGCAAUAGCAAUAAGCGUGUUGAUCAUGUAAUCGGUGUAUAGUAGUACAAGUAACAAUAACAAUUCAUCAGUUAUUUAGUCACAGUAGGCAUGUAAUAGUCCUAAAUCAUGCAUAUACAAUAGUAAUUUAGCCAAUUAAAUCAUAGAUUCCAACAUUAUUCAUAAUACCAGGGACUCAAUUAAAUGAAAUAAAUCACUAAAACAAAUUGGGGAUCAUGCAAAGUCUAAAUUGAACAGUUUACGAAAAUUCUGGGCAAAAUUUUAAAACAGGGGCAUACGCCCGUGUGGUUAGGCCGUGUGCAAUACCUUAAGUCGUGUGGAGGGGUUACACGGUCGUGUAGCUAGGCUAUGGCCGUGUGGGACAUGCAAAAUUAGGCUUUAAGGGAGACACGACCGUGUGGGAGGUUGUCUGGAGGGUCAUAGGCCAUGUAAUAAUCGAAUAUCCUAGGGUUUCAAGAGAAACAUGGUCGUGUAAGGGAGUCAUGUGGUCCAUACUGUGGCCCUAUUUUGAGGCACGAUUUGUCCCAAUUAGCUCUAAAAAGAACACUUAAAAGGAAAAAAAAAACUUAAAACGAAAAAAUAUGAAGACCAAUUAACUAAAAUUUUUGUUUGAAAUGAUGAUUUAACGUGCCAUGUCAGCUUAACAUUACACCGUUAACAAUAAUUAACGGCUCAGUGACUAAAAUGUAAUUUAAAAAAAUAAAAGUGACUGUUUUGAUAGUUUACCCUUAUUUAAAUGAUAUUGGGAUAUUUUUAGAAAAAAAAUGGAAUAGUACCUUAAAAAAGAAAACAGCUACAGAACCGAGCCUUCAUAACAGACAUUUUUCCGUAUCACUACACUGUUUCCUAAUCACGUUCUCACACUGCUACGCUAUAUCCACCCAAAACCAAGCCAAAUCCCACCUUAAAUUCCUUUGAAACGUUCAAUCCUCAAUCUUCAGGUUCUGAUAUGAUCCCAUGAUUCCAUUUCCCAUUACCAGUUCUUUUCACCUCUUUACUCUUCCAACACAUUAAAGCAACCUCUUAUACUAAUAUGCGACAAUUAUUGUCUCCCACCAUCUCCUACCCAUCUCCACUUCUCCAUCUAACUUCCCAUCCUUUCCCUCCAAAACCCCACUUCUGUCCUACCCACAGGUUGAGCUUUUACCCCCCACCAAAAAUGGCUUCUUUUUCUGGGUUUUUGGCUAAGUCUCAGAUGGGCAUGACUGCUGCUGCUGCUGCUGGUGAUGGUGCAAAUGGGUUCUCUUCACUGAUGGACUAUGUUGGGAAAGGAGGACUAGAUGUAGGAGAUGAUUUACUUGUUUUGCUUUAUCAUAUACAGUUUGCUUGCAAGAGAAUUGCUGCUCUUGUGGCUUCUCCCUUCAAUUCUGCUCUCGGGAAACAUUCAGCUCUCACUGGUGCCACAUCCGGGGCCGCUGCUUCUGAUAGGGAUAAGCCAAAGCCGCUUGAUAUUGUGGCAGUAUGUUUAACUAUGCUAAUUUCGUCAUUGAAUUUCAUGAAAAUAUUGCUCUUUUUUCCCUUUAAGUAGUAUUUUCAUGGUGCACUGGUAUAUUGUUGGGCAUAUAACUCUUAAAUAGUUUGGCUGCGAUUAUAAUUGACAUGAAUUCUUAAUAGUAUGAAUGAUUGCAUCAUUGCAAAUUAUUAGAGCAAGAAAAGAGGUUGAGUUGAUACAGAAACAGAUUGAUUUUAAAGAUGCAAAUCAGUCGAACUUUAGGUUUUCAAUGCCCCUUUCAAUUUUUUUUUAAACUAGAGUAAAAGGAAUUGAGUAGGGAAAAAAGAAUUAAAGUUUUCUGAUAUGCUAAAAUUUUGGUUUUUUUUCCUGCAGAAUGAAAUCAUAUUGUCAUCUCUUAGAAAUUCAGGAAAAGUUUCAGUGAUGGCUUCAGAAGAAGAUGAUGCUCCAAUUUGGAUCAAUGAUGAUGGUCCCUUUGUGGUUGUAUUGGAUCCCCUUGAUGGUUCUCGAAAUAUAGAUGCUUCUAUUCCCACUGGAACAAUCUUUGGGGUAUAUAACCGGCUCACAGAGCUAGAUAAUCAACCGACGGAAGAGAAGGCAUUGCUGAAUUCGCUACAGAGCGGAAGAAAGCUUGUAGCUGCUGGCUAUGUCCUCUAUUCAUCUGCCACAAUCCUAUGUGCUAGCUUUGGCUCAGGAACACAUGCAUUUACCUUAGAUCAUUCAACGGGAGACUUUAUUCUCACACAUCCAAGCAUUAGAAUUCCGCCUCGAGGUAAACGUACUGGAAUUUUGAGGGUUAAAAUGUUAUGCUCAUGGAAUUCAUUGAGAUAUCUGAUAUUUGCUUCACAAAUUCAAUGGUAUCCUAUUUGGAUUUUCUUACUGAUGGUCUUCAUUAACAGUUUGAUUAAAUGGGAACUCUUAAUCAUAUGAAAGUAUGAAAUUAAUAUUGUUUUUUUUAUCCCAUUAAUAAUUCAAGCUCGGCCUACUUGAUGAUUCCAGGUCAAAUAUAUUCUGUCAAUGAUGCAAGGUAUUUCGAUUGGCCUGAAGGUCUAAGGCAAUACAUUGAUACAGUAAGACAAGGCAAAGGCAAAUUCCCUAAGAAAUAUUCGGCUCGGUAUAUAUGUUCGUUGGUUGCUGAUUUCCAUAGGACCGUGUUGUACGGUGGAAUAGCAAUGAAUCCAAGGGACCAUCUGCGGCUGGUUUACGAGGCAAACCCUCUAAGUUAUCUUGCAGAGCAAGCUGGAGGCAAAGGUUCGGAUGGUAAAAGUAGGAUACUUUCGAUCCAACCGGUGAAACUGCAUCAAAGAUUGCCUCUGUUUUUGGGUAGUUUGGAAGAUAUAGAUGAGUUGGAAAGUUAUGGAGAUGUUCAACAGAAAGUAAACCCUGGGUAUGAAGUUUAAUCACUUUCGUUGUUUUAAACAGAUUCAUUGCUCUGUUUCUCUAAAGUUCACUCUUGUUUCACGUUGUUAAUACUUUUAGCCUGAAGAUCACAUCACAAAAUAAAAUCUUCAAAUGAUGUAAGUUCUCUAAAACUAUCUCCAAAGGCUGCUUAAUCUCCAGCCUUUUCACUCAUCUUGUCUCCUAUAGGAAUCAUGGUUCAGUGACAGCAAAAUGUGCUGUUAUUACAAUGUCAACAGUCAUGGUUAAUUGUGAAAGGCAAUAGGCUCUAUGAUUUGAGACAAAUUUGACAAGCUUUUAACCCACAACGUCCACAACCUGAUGUCCUGCACUAUCGCACGUAAACCGAAUCUCGAUAACAUAAAUGCCAAAGGUUGCAUGUCCUCAUCUAGAUACGGAUCGGGUUUGUUGUUUUGAUGCGUAUUACCAUGAAUUGCCAUUCUAUGACCUACUCCUCAAUUAAUGUCGAAUAUAGGGUAUUGAAUGUUGCCAGAAAUCAAUGGAGGGGCAAAUUGAUACAGAUUAUCCGAAGGUAAAUUAAACUGAAGAUCGUCCCUCUAGAGAUGCUGAUGAUAUAUCCGUGUAAAGCUUGCAAAAUCUCGACACUAGUGGGAAAAUAUUCACAGGCAGUUUGGGUGAACUUGGAACUUUAGCUACCACAUUUCCCUGCUCAGCAUGAUCCAACUCCACGUACAACUCUGCUGCCAUAUUUUUAGAUUUGCAAUUAACUGGUAAUUUGUCUGGACAUCUUUCAUCAUCAAUAAGCUUAAGCCGGUUAUACAUGACGGAUUUGAUGAUACUGAAAAUCUAUAAAAGAUUGUGGAUAAUAUCUUUCCGUACUGAGCUGCGAUUUUAGUGCUAAUUUUUAAUUUCAACUCAUCAAGUUUGAAAUAUUUUUCAAACUUCAUACUAAUUUGACGUCAGAUUCGAACACAAUGACAUUUUCAGUGUAACAAAUUUAUUAGUUCGGUAAUUAUAAAAAAUGAAAUCAAUAUUAAAUUUAACUGAACUUAAAUAGUAGAAGUUUAGACAGAGGAAAAGUGGAAAACUGACCGCAAGACCUAGGGAAUGGGGCGGCAGCAAUUGCUAUUGCUAGGGCCACCAAGAAAGUCAGGUUUCGAGAUGAAGAGAGCUCUUCUAUCGCCGAUGGGCUAGCGUCGACAGCGGGGGACUAAUGCUCCGUUGGGGAGUAGUGGAUGAAUGAGACUACCAAAUGAGAGGGUAAUUGAAGAUGAAGAUAUCGCACUCAAGGAUAGGGAUGUGGUUACUGAGACUAUGAAUGGGUGUCGUCGAUCAAAUUCUCGUCGCGGGUUCAUCAGUUAAUAGAGGAGAGUAUGAGUAGGUCGAUUAUUAUUAAACUACUAGGUCGACGAAUUGGUUAUAGUGCAUUUCACAAUAAAUUUUAUGCCCUAUGGAAGCCAUCUCGACACUUUAGGUUGAUGGAUUUCGAUAAUGAAUACUUCUUGGUGCGAUUUCAAGCGAAUGAGGAUUAGCUGGCUAGAGGGCCGUGGGUUAUCUUUAGGAAAUAUUUAAUGGUGCAACCAUGGCGGAUGGGGUUUGAUCCGUAGCUCUUUUGACAGAGGUGAUGGCUUGGAUUCUGUUUUCAGGGCUAUUAGGUAAUUUAUAUAAGGGGAGCCUAUUAAAAGUGAUUGGCGAACUAGUUGGGUGAAUUAUAAAGAUUGAUGAUAACACAAAGAUUGAAAGCAGAGAACAGUUUGCCUGGAUGGCGAUAUGUAUUGAUCUAAAAUUCAUAUUGAGGAUCAAUUGCAUUGAGUUGAGUACGAGUCAUUGUUGAAUAUAUGUUAUUGUUGCAAAUGCUAUGGCCACAUGAAGGAGGUAUGUCCUAAGAACAAAGACUGGGUGGUUCUAGAUGAGGUGGUGGAGAUAGCGAAGGAGAAACCGAUUAAUGUUGCUAAGAAAAUUGAGGAUGAGGACUUCGAGUCGACCACAAUAGACAAGUAAGCAACGUGGUACGUCAGGCAUUAAAGAUUGGGGUGGUGUGAGGAUCGGAUUAAAGUCCAGUGUUCUUUUGGAUAUGGAGGUGGAUGAUGAAUGUGCGCAUCUGGCGCAAUUUGUGCAGGGAUUGGGAGAUGAUAGACCGGUGGGGAUAUCACCGUAAAGCAUGGGCAGCAAAGGUGUAACUGAAUGCUGAUUUUUAGCUAAGGAAAAAGGUAAGCGAGCAGUGGCUUCUGAGCCUAGACAUAAUAGUGAGGGGAGUAAUGCCCAUGCGAGCUUCGUACUACCUCUAUCUUUGGGAGCCGAAAUGACAAAUGUAUUACGACUUGCUCCUUGGUAUCCAAUGGCCAGAUGGAUGGGGAGUCAAUUUGGUUCUCUACUAAAAGGGUUACUUCCAUCUUGAAUCCUCAAUGUCAUACGAUUAUUGUGGUUGACGAGAAUUUAGACCAGAAUGUUCAGCGGGAGGAAGGAUCUAUGGAAGAUAAAAUAGGGGAGGAGGAUGUGACAUUGGUUGAAUGUUCUGAGAAUGAUGUUAACAUAAUCAAAUGGCGAGAUGACCGGAAAGAGAUCCCUUGUUGUGGGGUGUGCAUGCGAGGAGGUGUUGCUUUAGUUAUUGUACGUUCGACUAUGGAAGGUAUUGUUGAGCGAUUGGAGACUACUGGGGAAUGUGAUAGUGCCGAUGGUAAUUUUACCUGGGACGGUGUUUAACAGCUGGGAUCAGGGCCGUCAGAGAGAUAGUAAGAAUUAUCAAGUUGUUGCUUAUCUCUUUUCUCAAUGUGCUUGUUAUGGAGUUUAAUAUUCUUAGUUGGAAUUGUAAAGGGGCUAGACAUCCCCAAUUUAACCGUAUGCUACAAGAGUAUCUGAAGAUUCACAAUCCAGCGGUAGUAGUGUUGCUUGAAACUAGGGUUAGUGGUUUGAGAGCGAACAAGGUUGUUAUGAGUAUCAAUGACUGUUAGUUUAGCAGUUGACAGUUAGUAUAGUUAGUUAAACGGUUAAGAAACAGUUAUGAACUUUCUCUAUUAAAUGGGCAUGUAUCCUCUCUCCAAAUCAAUCAAGAAAGAAGUUUACUUCACGUUACUUUUAUACUUCAACAUGGUAUCAUGAGCAACAGGUUCAUAAUUUUUUUUCUCUUCUUCAUGGCUUCUGAUCCUGUACUUGGGGAUGAUACUCCUUGUCACUCUUCUAUUUUUUGGGUAGAUCCUUCGCGAGGUUCUGGAAGUGCUGUGUCACACACAAUCCAUUCCUUUUCUAAGCAUGACACUAUCAAGCUCACCGAGAGUAAUUUUCUUUUCUGGAAACAUCAAAUCUUGCUCAUUCUUGAGGCUAUGAUCUUGAAGGUUUUGUAUAAUGUACUGUUUCGGUUCCUUCCCUCAUUGUUCCUGGUGUUGAUGGUUAUUUGGUUGAUAACCCGUUGUUUCUUGCUCACAAGAAACAAGACAAAUUUCUUGCGUCUUGGCUAUUGUCUAUAGUGUCAGAUGAGAUUCUAGUUCAUCUCACGUCCGCAAAGAGUAGUUUUGACAUUUGGUCCGCUAUUGAAAAGCGAUUUGGUGUGAAGUCUAGCAUUAAGAUUUCAAGAAUGUGACAUGAUCUGUAUUCCUUCAAGAAAGCCAGUCUUUCAAUUAAAGAAUAUUUUUCAAAGGUAAAACGGCUGAGUGAUAGCCUCAUUGUUGCUGGAAGUGUUGUAUUUGAGCAAGAACAGAUCAACAUUAUCUUAGCUGGACUCUUGUCAGAAUUUGAGUCUGUUCGUGUGAUUGCUUCAGCUACACCGAUGUCUCUAGAUCUAUUGACUGAGUUACUUCUUGACUGUGAAGCUCGACAGUUGGAUAUGUUGACUGAAGUUCCUAUGCAAGCAAAUGUAACCUCUUAUUCCAAGAAUUCUCAUUCUUCCAAAUCUACUGAUGGUUCAAAUAGUUAUGGUUCAAGUUUUAGACAAUGUCCUAGGGAACAUGGUAGAGGCUGGUUUCGUGGUCGGAGUCGCAGCAAUAGCAGGGGGUGGACACGUUCCAAACCACAGUGUCAGUUGUGUGGUAAGGUUGGGCAUGUUGUUCAAACUUGCUAUCAUUGGUUUAAUGAAAACUUCUCUGGUGUGGACACUAAUGUCUCAAAAACUGUUAACUAUCAUUCUUAUGAACAAAGUUCUUCUUCCUGUUGUAACUUUCAUUCUCAAGCUCCUGCACAGGCCUCUCGAUCUCCUACUACAGGUUCUUCUUUUUAGGCUUGGUAUCCGGAUUCUGGUGCCAUGAACCAUGUCACUCCAGACGUGGACAAUCUCUCGUCCCCUUCGCCUUACACAUGUAUGGAUAGGGUCUUUAUAGGAAAUGGUGAACGAGUCUCGAUAGCUUAUGUAGGCUCCUCAUCGAUGGUCUCUAGAUCUAGAUUGUUUCAUCUUAGAAAUGUACUUCAUGUACCUACUGUUUGCGAAAAUUUAUUGUCUGUGGGUCAAUUUGCUAAGGACAAUUUGGUGUAUUUCAAAUUUCACCCCUAUCUGUGCUUUGUGAAGGACAUUCAGACAAGGAAGGUGCUCUUGGUGGGCCACAUGCAUAAAGGCCUCUAUAGGUUUGACGUGUCUAUAGCUGAUUCUUUCAAGUCACCUGCUGCACCAAGGGUCAAUUCUGUGAGUAUGUGUAAUACUUCGCGUAUCUCAGUGCCUUUGUUGUGGCAUCAACGGCUCGGGCAUCCAUGCAACGGUGUUCUCUCUAAAGUUUUACGAAGUUGUAAUAUUUCCUUCAAAAAUAAUUGUCUGCCGAGUGUUUGUUCUGCUUGCCAAUUAGGCAAAUCUCAUAAACUUUCGUUUAGCACGUUUACAACAGUGUAUUUUGUCCCAUUUGAGCUUGUUGUGUCUGACGUUUGGGGACCAACUCAUGAGAAAUCAAAUGGAUUUUCUUACUAUGUGUCCUUUGUAGAUAUGUACAGCCGAUAUACGUAGUUGUAUUUUAUCAAGGCUAAGUCUGAGGUAUUGAACUGUUUUCUUCAUUUUCAACGAAUGGUUCAAGUUCAGUUUGGGUUCUCCAUAAGUAUGGUUCAAACAGAUUGGGGGUGAAUAUCAGUCCCUAUCUGCUGAGUUGUUCAAAUGUGGCAUUCAAUAUAGACUUACGUGUCAUCAUACCUCGGAGCAAAAUGGUGUGGUUGAGAGGAGACAUCGACAAGUGGUUGACAUGGGGUUGACACUUCUAGCACAUGCACCUCUUCCUUUGAAAUUUUGGUCCUCUACUUUUUCCUAUGCUGUACAUAUAGUCAAUAAGUUACCCUCGUCUGCUUUUUAAGGUGCCAAUCCUUAUGAAAUGUUUCAUAAAAGUCCGCCUGACUACUCCUGCUUGAGCAUUUUUGGUUGUGCCUGCUUCCUUUAUUUGCAACCAUACAAUAAACACAAGCUACAAUUUAGGUCUAAGUGCUGUGUGUUUCUUGGCAUUGAGGCUAAUCAUAAAGGGUAUAGAUGUCUUGAUGACAUUGGUCGUAUAUUUGUGUCUCGACAUGUGGUUUUUGAUGAGACUCAUUUUUUAUUUCAGCAACGCCCUCUUUUCAAGACUUUGGUUAAUUGUCAUCAGCAACCUUGUCAACAACCAUACAUUCCUCUUGUUGCACCUACAGUUCCCUCGAAUACUAUGGUGACUAGUUCUGACAACUUGAACCUUGUGCCUGAUUUUACACCAAGUCACCCUAUUCCAAAUAUAUCAGCUCAGCCAUCUGACUCUUGUGAUGAACAAUGUGAGUCUUGCCUAUAGUUCAAUCUGAUUCUCCAGUCCGGGCUACUGAGAAUGUUCAUCCUAUACAAACCCGAUCUAAGUCUGGCAUCUACAGGCCUAAGGUGCUUACUUCAGUUGUGACAACUAGGGAGCCAAUCUCUAUAGAAGAAGCCUUUCAGAGUUCUGAGUAGACAACAGCUGCACAAGCUGAGUAUCGGGCUUUGAUUUCAAAUAACACCUGGGACCUUGUACCAUUACCUGAAGGUAGAAAGACGGUCGGAUACAAAUGGAUAUUCAAGGUUAAAAGGAAUGCUGAUGGCUCGGUUGCACGGUACAAGGGCCGUUUAGUAGUUAAGGGAUAUCUUCAAGAAGCUGACAUUGACUUCCACGAGACGUUUAACCCUGUUGUGAAAGCUACUAAAAUUUGAGUGGUCUUGACACUUGCCGUGUCUUUGAAAUGGUCUCUCCGUCAGAUUGAUGUUAAUAAUGCAUUCUUAAAUGGUGAUUUAAGUGAAGAAAUAUAUAUGGUACAACCACCAGGUUUUGAACAACAAUGCGGUAAUGGCCAGCAGCUGGUAUGCAGGUUGAGGAAAGCUUUGUACGGGCUCAAGCAAGCCCCUCGAGCUUGGUUCCACAAGUUAAGGGAGUUCUUACUUGGAAAUCAGUUUGAAACUUCAAUGGCAGACAAUUCCCUCUUUAUUCAUAAAGUUAGGAAUUAUUUGAUGUAUGUCCUCGUCUAUGUUGAUGACAUCGUGGUUACUGGUUCUAAUUCGAGAGCUGUAGAUCAUUUUAUUACACGUCUCAACCACCAGUUUUCUCUAAAAGAUUUGGGGAGGUUAAACUACUUUCUAGGUAUUGAAGGAACUGAUACGAGCCAAGGAGGUGACACUCAAGGGGUUGUUUUUCCUAGUGGUCCAAUUACUCGAAGCAAGGCACGACAAUUAAAAUUAAAGAUGAAUGCUUUUGUCCAAGACUUUGUUGCUACAAAUUUAAUUCAUCCUGUUCGUGACAUUGACAAAUACGAGAAUGCAAUUCACUGGACCAAUCUUGGAAUAGUGAAAGCCCAUAAAUUGGUGGAUUAAUCUUUUAUGUAUAUUAUUAUUAUUAUUUACUUAAUUCUCAUUGGUUGGGACACAUCAUUUAUGAGUUAAGUAAUUUUAUUGGUUAGGUUAUUAUUUAUUUAUUUUCUNNNNNNNNNNNNNNNNNNNNNNNNNNNNNNNNNNNNNNNNNNNNNNNNNNNNNNNNNNNNNNNNNNNNNNNNNNNNNNNNNNNNNNNNNNNNNNNNNNNNNNNNNNNNNNNNNNNNNNNNNNNNNNNNNNNNNNNNNNNNNNNNNNNNNNNNNNNNNNNNNNNNNNNNNNNNNNNNNNNNNNNNNNNNNNNNNNNNNNNNNNNNNNNNNNNNNNNNNNNNNNNNNNNNNNNNNNNNNNNNNNNNNNNNNNNNNNNNNNNNNNNNNNNNNNNNNNNNNNNNNNNNNNNNNNNNNNNNNNNNNNNNNNNNNNNNNNNNNNNNNNNNNNNNNNNNNNNNNNNNNNNNNCAAUCAUUGGCGUUUUUGGUUACAAGUUAACCAAGGAUUUCAUAGGGUAAAUCUAUCCUUUUUAUUAUUUAUUUAUUUAUUAUUAUUUAACUAAUUUUAUUUAUUCUCGUUUUAUUUCUAAUUUGUGUUUCUCUUGUGUCUAGAUCCGGGUUUCCGUAUCAGUUGGUAUCAGUUUCAGGCCAUUCGGUGUUAUUUUCGAAGCUAAAAUCAAAUCCGAAACGAGUCAAAAUACCUAAAACACUUUUCAUCGGUUUCUUCGAUUCUCUUUUUUUGUGAAGUUUGUGUUUAUUCUCCUCUUAUUCUUUAAAAAAAACAAAAAAGCCAAAAAAAAAGUGAGUAAAAAGCGCAAAAAAAAAAGCAAAAAGCAAAAAAGCGCAAAAAAAAAAGUUGCCUACCUUUCAUACGUAGGUUUCUUCUUUUCCUAUUAUUGUUAUUAUUUUUAUUUUAUUUUUCCCAAAAUUGAAUUUUUUCCCCCUUCUUUUCUUGACUCAAGUAUAAUUAAAGCUUCAAUUUUUAAAAAUCUUAAGACACCAAACGUUUCUGAUUUUUUGUUUUCCUUUAAAUUGGGUAGAGUUUUCUUAAGUUUUCUUCUUAUUAAAAGCUUUUCUUUGACUCUAGAGUUAGGGAUCGUUGCAGGUCUACGUUUUUUUUUGUUUCUCUUACGUUUUCUAACACUUUGUUUCUUCUUGUGUUAACAGAUAUUAAAGGCACGCACAAUUUCUUCAUCCAUGUAGCCUCCAUUAUAAAUUGCUUCGUCAAGUUUAUUGGCCUAUUAAAGCAAUUAGGAUCUUCAUUGUUUCUUUGAAGUUUGCACCUCCAUUAUUUGAUCUUGAUUAGUAACCCUCUCCAAACAUAUUUACAAGUUUUGAAUCAUUCAGAGAGUUAUUCUUUUGAGAGCUAACGAGUGAGGUUAUUAUUAUUUUUUCUUGUUCCUGUUUGUGUGAUUUUUUCACAGAUACCAUGCCGAUCACUAGAUCCCAAACUAGUAAAAAUGAAGAGGAUGAGCAAAAAAGAGAUAACAUUUUCCACACGAGAUGUUUGAUUGGUGGACAACCUAGUUCAUUGAUCAUCGAUAGUGGAAGUUGCACCAAUGUGGUGAGUUCUUCCCUUGUUGAGAAACUUGACCUACCUUGUGUGAAGCAUCCAAGGCCAUACCGCUUACAAUGGCUGAAUGAUAGUGGGGAGGUAAAAUUAUCUAAACAAUGCUUAGUUUCAUUUUCUAUUGGUAGAUACUCUGAUAAAGUUUUGUGUGAUGUUGUUCCAAUGCAAGCUGGGCACAUAUUACUUGGACGGCCAUGGCAGUUUGAUCGACGAGUAAAUCAUGAUGGUUUCCUUAACCAAUAUACUUUUGUGUUCCUUGGAAAGAAGUUUACUUUGGCUCCACUUCCUCCUCAAGAAGUCUACAAUGAUCAACUCAAACUUGCUAGUGAGAUGGGUAAGGGAAGUGAGGUAAAAUCAUUGAAAAAGGCUGAGAGUAAAGAGGCCCUUAGUGUUAAAAGCCAACUUAAAGGCCCAACAUUGGUGAGUGAUUGCACACACAAGUCACGAGAUGAGAAAGUGAGUUAUUCGGCUAGGUUUCGAGAUAUCAAAUUUGCUCUUUGUACAAAACAAACAUUUGUAAUUAUUAGGUUUAAGGAAAACUUUAUUUUGACUAACCUUAAUACACAUUUGCCUAGUUGUUUUGUUGAUCUUUUGCAGGAUUUUGAGGAUGUAUUUCCUUCUGAAAUGCCUAAGGGAUUACCUCCUUUACGAGGGAUUGAACAUCAAAUUGACUUUGUGCCUGGUUCGAGUAUUCCGAAUAGACCAGUCUAUCGAAGCAAUCCUGAAGAAACUAAGGAGUUGCAAAGGCAAGUUGAAGAUCUCUUAGAGAAAGGGUUAAUUCGUGAGAGUCUAAGCCCUUGUGCGGUCCCUGUACUUCUCGUCCCAAAAAAAGAUGGUUCUUGGAGAAUAUGUAUUGAUUGUCGUGCUGUCAACANNNNNNNNNNNNNNNNNNNNNNNNNNNNNNNNNNNNNNNNNNNNNNNNNNNNNNNNNNNNNNNNNNNNNNNNNNNNNNNNNNNNNNNNNNNNNNNNNNNNNNNNNNNNNNNNNNNNNNNNNNNNNNNNNNNNNNNNNNNNNNNNNNNNNNNNNNNNNNNNNNNNNNNNNNNNNNNNNNNNNNNNNNNNNNNNNNNNNNNNNNNNNNNNNNNNNNNNNNNNNNNNNNNNNNNNNNNNNNNNNNNNNNNNNNNNNNNNNNNNNNNNNNNNNNNNNNNNNNNNNNNNNNNNNNNNNNNNNNNNNNNNNNNNNNNNNNNNNNNNNNNNNNNNNNNNNNNNNNNNNNNNNNNNNNNNNNNNNAACGACUCUUUGCUAAUCUUGAAAAAUGCACCUUUUGUAUGGAUAAGCUUAUUUUUUUGGGUUUUGUGAUAAGUUCUACAGGAAUCCAUGUGGAUGAGGAGAAGGUAAAGGCAAUUCAAGAAUGGCCUAUCCCUAAAACUGUUUCUGAUGUAAGGUCUUUCAUUGGGUUAGCCGGUUUCUACCGCAGGUUUGUUCGUAACUUUUCCACAAUUGCUUCACCUUUGACUACACUUAUUAAAAAGGAUGUAUCUUUUCAUUAGACAGAUAAGCAAGAAUUAGCAUUUAAUGAACUUAAAGAUAAAUUGUGUAAUGCUCCUAUUCUUGUUUUACCUAAUUUUGAAAAGACCUUUGAGAUUGAAUGUGAUGCUUCUGGUGUAGGUAUAGGUGCCGUCCUCAUGCAAGAUAGUAAACCAAUAGCCUACUUUAGUGAGAAACUUGGUGGAGCACAUUUGAACUAUUCGACCUAUGAUAAAGAGUUGUAUGCCUUGGUAAGGGCAUUAGAAGUUUGGCAACAUUACCUUUUACCAAAGGAGUUUGUGAUUCACACUAACCAUGAAUCACUUAAGCACUUAAAGGGACAAGGUAAGUUGAACAAGCGACAUGCGAGGUGGGUUGAAUUUAUUGAAUCUUUUCCUUAUGUUAUAAGGUAUAAGAAAGGUAAAGAUAAUAUUGUGGCUGAUGCUCUAUCAAGGAGGUAUACUUUACUUAGUACUUUGCAUACUAAGUUAUUAGGUUUUGAGUAUCUCAAAGAUUUAUAUGCAACUGAUUCUGAUUUUACAAGCAUUUAUGACGCAUGUGAACAUGGUGCAUUUCACAAAUUUUAUAAGCAUGAUGGCUAUCUUUUUCGAAAUAAUAGACUAUGCUUACCAAAGUGUUCAAUGCGAGAAUUGUUGGUUCGAGAGGCUCAUAGUGGUGGUCUUAUGGGUCAUUUUGGAGUCACUAAGACUUAUGAUGUUUUACAUGAGCAUUUUUAUUGGCCUAACAUGCGAAAACUUGUUGAAAAAAUUUGCUCUACUUGCAUUACUUGUAAAUAAGCUAAAUCCACUGUGAUGCCUCAUGGUCUAUAUACUCCUCUUCCUGUUCCUAGUUCACCUUGGACUGACAUUUCAAUGGAUUUUGUAAUAGGUUUACCGAGGACAAAGCGUGGAUGAGAUAGCAUCUUUGUGGUUGUGGAUCGAUUUUCUAAAAUGGCUCAUUUCAUUCCAUGCCAUAAGACUGAUGAUGCAACCCAUGUUGCCGAUCUAUUUUUCCGUGAAGUUGUGAGAUUACAUGGAAUCCCUAGGACUAUCGUUUCCGAUAGAGAUGCAAAAUUUCUUAGUCACUUUUGGAAGGUGUUAUGGGGUAAGUUAGGUACUAAACUACUUUUCUCUACUACAUGGCACCCUCAAACUGAUGGUCAAACCGAGGUGGUAAAUCGAGUUUUGGGAUCUUUGCUUAGAGCCAUAAUAGGUAAGAAUGUUAAAUCUUGGGAAGAAUGGAUACCCUAUGUUGAGUUUGCUUAUAAUCGUUCUGUUCAUUCUUCCACAGGUUUUACUCCUUUUGAGAUUGUAUAUGGCUUUAAUCCACUUACUGUUUUAGAUUUGCUUCCUUUACCUUUGAAUGAGAUUGCUAAUUUAGAUGGUGAAAGGAAAGCUGAUUUAGUGAAAGAGAUCCAUGAGAAGGCUCGUAAAGCCAUUGAGAAAAAGAAUGAGUCUAAUGCACAUCGAGCUAAUAAAGGGCGAAAGCAAGUCUUGUUUGAACUUGGAGAUUGGGUAUGGGUGUAUAUGAGGAAGGAACAAUUUCCUUCUAAGAGAAAGAAUAAACUUGAUGCACGAGGAGAUGGACCAUUCCAAGUACUCGAGAAAAUAAAUGACAAUGCUUAUCGCAUUGAUCUUCCUGGUGAGUAUAGUGUUAGUGCUACUUUCAAUGUUUCUGANNNNNNNNNNNNNNNNNNNNNNNNNNNNNNNNNNNNNNNNNNNNNNNNNNNNNNNNNNNNNNNNNNNNNNNNNNNNNNNNNNNNNNNNNNNNNNNNNNNNCCUUUUGAAUUUGAUGCAGGUUCAGAUUCGAGGACGAAUCUUCUUGAAGAGGGGGAGAAUGAUACGAGCCAAGGAGGUGACACUCAAGGGGUUGUUUUUCCUAGUGGUCCAAUUACUCGAAGCAAGGCACGACAAUUAAAAUUAAAGAUGAAUGCUUUUGUCCAAGACUUUGUUGCUACAAAUUUAAUUCAUCCUGUUCGUGACAUUGACAAAUACGAGAAUGCAAUUCACUGGACCAAUCUUGGAAUAGUGAAAGCCCAUAAAUUGGUGGAUUAAUCUUUUAUGUAUAUUAUUAUUAUUAUUUACUUAAUUCUCAUUGGUUGGGACACAUCAUUUAUGAGUUAAGUAAUUUUAUUGGUUAGGUUAUUAUUUAUUUAUUUUCUUAGAUAAUUUUAAAGAGUUUUAUUAGGAUUCAAUUACUCUUUAAAGAGUUUUUAUUAGGAUUCAAUUACUCUUGAAAGAGUUUUAUUAGGAUUCAAUUACUCUUGUAAUUUGCCUAUAAAUAGGCUUGUUUUCUACACAUUGAGGGGAGAAUAAAAAGAAGAGUAUUUGUUUUCUUUCAAAUUUGUGUGAGGCAAAUUUUUGGGAGUAGAGUGAUUCUUCUCUUGCUAUUUAGUUUGGAGUUUGUUACUUUCGAAGGUAUUUCGGAGUUGCAAAUAUUCAAAUUUCUUUCCCGUUCAUCGGUGUUUCUAGAGGUUCUUCUUCUAGGGGUUUCGUAGGGAGCCGCUCAAUCAUUGGUGUUUUUGGUUACAAGUUAACCAAGGGUUCCAUAGGGCAAAUCUAUCCUUUUUAUUUAUUUAUUAUUUAACUAAUUUUAUUUAUUCUCGUUUUAUUUCUAAUUUGUGUUUCUCUUGUGUCUAGAUCCGGAUUUCCGUAUCAGUAACUCCCACCGCAAAUGGACUCAUGCUAAAUCAGAAGAAAUACAUACUGGAUCUUCUUAAGAAAACAUCGAUGGAAAAGUCAAAUUACUCUCCCACACCAAUAGUCUCCACUUGUUGUUUGUCCGCUCGUGAAAGAAGCAUGGUUGAAGAUGAGAGUUUCUUCAGGAGCAUCGUAGGUACUCUCCAGUACAUAGUGAUUAUCAGACCAGACAUUGCAUUUUCUGUAAACAAAGUCUGUCAGUUCAUGCAUAGACCACUCGAUACACACUUUAAAGUUGUAAAAAGGAUUUUGAGGUAUUUACAAAGCACCUUAGAUUAUGGUCUUCAUUUCCAUCGUACAUCUAAGUUUGUGCUUGAAGGUUACUCGGAUUCCAGCUGGGUAUCUGACAUCGAUGAUCGAAGAUCCACAUCGGGUUACUGUGUUUUUUAGGGAGGAAAUCUGGUUUCGUGGAGCUCUAGGAAGCAAUCUGUUGUCUCCAGCUCUACAGCCGAAGCAGAAUACAGGAGUUUGGCAAACGCCACUACGGAAAUAGUCUGGCUUCAGUCAUUGUUAACUGAGCUAUGUGUCUUUACUCAGAGGAAAUAUUUGGUCUGUGUGAUAGCUCCGCUGCAGUUACUGUUGCCGGCAACCUAGUCAUGCACUCAAAAUUCAAGCAUGUGGAACUAGACAUAUUCUUUGCAAGAGAGAAAGUAGCAGCAGGAAUAAUUCAAGUUGGACAUGUGUCGAGUCUGAAUCAGGUUGCUGAUUUGUUAACAAAACCAUUGGCUGCACUUAUGUUUAACAAGUUCAGACAGCAGCUGCAGGUGGCUCCAAAUGAAGAACAAGUCAGUCAAAGGAAAGGAAGUCAGGACAACAAGGGAAAUGUUAUGAGUAUCAAGGACUGUUAGUUUAGCAGUUGACAGUUAGUAUAGUUAGUUAAACUGUUUAGAAACGGUUAUGAACUUUCUCUAUUAAAUGGGCAUGUAUCUUCUUUCCAAAUCAAUCAAGAAAGAAGUUUAUUUCACGUUACUUCUAUACUUCAACAAAGGUGAUUAAGAAAUCCAGCUUUAAUUGGUCUCAUAGAGUGGAAGCUAAAGGUUUUUCUAGUGGGAUUUGGAUUCAUUGGGAUGAAUCAGUGCGCGUCGAGGUUCUAUGUAAUCAUAGCCAGUUUGUGCAUUUUGCAAUAGUUUCGAAUUCGUUGCAGCAACGAGUUUUAUGUACUGCAGUUUAUGGUAGUUCAAAUAACUGGAAAUAGAGAUCCCUGUGGACGGAACUGAAUGCAGUAGCACAGGGUAUAGUUAAACCAUGGGUACUUUUGGGUGAUUUUAAUGCUUUGUUGCAUACAGAUGAGAAACAGGGUGGGUUGGUGAGGCGUAUGGCAACUUGCAAACGCUUUCAAACCUUUCUAUUUGACAACAAUAUUAAGGAUUUGGGGUUCAAAGGACUUAAAUUUACAUGGUGUCAAGGUCGGGUUCACGAGCUGCUCAAUCGAGUUCUUUAUAAUGCAUCAUGGGAACGACGAUAUCAGUUUUCUUCUGUGUAUCAUCUCCAGCACAUUAAAUUUGAUCAUUGGCCUCUUCUCUUUGUGUUGAAUGACUCUAGUCGACCUAGUGGGACUAAGACGUUUAAGUUUCUUUUUUCUAGUUGGUUAUUUCACAGUGGCUUGAUACGUUGGUUAAGAUGUGUUGGGAUGACAAUUGCUCACUUGUUGAAUUGGUCCAAUAGUUUGUGGUUGAUGCGUCGGAUUAGAAUGAGAAAGUUUUUGGUAGUAUUGGUAGGCGAAAAAGGGAAUUGAUGGCUCGAUUACGAGGUUUGCAAGCAGCUAGGAUGCUUAUAGGAUGCUGGGAUCUAUGUUGCUAUUGUUUUGGAGAGUUGGAGGCGAAUGGGGACUGGAAAUUUACGAUGGCGCUGUCUGGAGCUAGGAUGGGUGAAGACGAAUGUUGAUGGGGUUGUGUCGGAAAGAACUUGUCAGGCGAUGACUGGGGGCUGUUCCAGAACUAUUAUGGGAGCUGGGAUGUCGGGUUCUCCAAGAAGAUUGGAAUCACGUCGGUGCUCCACUCGGAGCUGUGGGCGGUGUUAGAUGGAUUAAAGGUGCCUUGGGCUAAGGGAUUUUGAUAGGUGGUUAUGGAGAGUGAUAAUAUUGAGGCCUUACAAUUACUAUGCCGAGGAUCGAGAGGGGAACAUGUAUGCUUGCUUGUUCGAUAGAUUAGGGGGAUGCUUUAGUGACACUGGACUAUCAAGCUAGAGAAUGUGCCGAAAGCUUGUAAUAUUGCUGCAAAUUUUAUGGCUAAGUGGGUACAGGGUACUGGUGAUGGUUUGCACUUAGUGAAGAGACCGUCGGAGAGCUGUUGGAGGUCGUUGCUUUCUGACGUAGUCAUGGCUGUCGGAGUUGAUAUAGUUGAAUAGUAGAAUUUUAGAGUUUUCCCAAUAUUUUAGGCGGCUCGAUUACAAAUAAUUGAUUAUUAAGAUCUAAAACAUCUAUUCAACAAAAAAAUUCACGAUAAAAACACGUGUGACUUUGAAACUUUUUCAUAUACCCAUUGGUUUCUCUAUCGAAACCCUUAAUGUUGUCCUAAGGUAAGAAGCAGCACACCACCAAUCACCGUCCCAAAUCCUUUUUGUUAGUGAGUGGCAUAAAACGGUAAAUUUGAUCAUGAAUCAAGGGCCUUAUCUCAAGCCUCUCAUCUCCUUCCAUCCUCCCCAACCUGCUUCCAUUCCGUCUCAAUCGCUUCACCUUAAUUAAUUAUUUAUUAAGCCCAGAAUUUCACUUUAAAUUUUGUUUCAUUAUAAAUUAUUGUUUUUUUUAAUUCUUUAACCUUAGUUUUAAUUUCUCUUCCUGAGUUUCUCUAUAUAUUUAAUUAUAUAAUAUUCUGUUGCAUUUCUUGUUUUUAUUUUUCCCCUUUUGGGGGAGAUUUUGUGGUAAUUUGUAAUGUUAAACGAAUGGCGAAUUCGAAUCACCAGCGAACGCCAAUGUACGGUUCAGGUGCCGCGAACAUGCAACGGAACAUUGACGAAGAAGAAGACGAUGACGUUCCAGGCGGAGCCGGAGGAGGAGGGGAAGAGUCCGUGGAUAACCCUCAGAUUGGAUUUCAAGAAAACGGUGCCGUUGUUGCGGUUAUGAAUAAUGGCAUGGACGAAGCUUCUCAUGCCCACGUUUAUGGUCAAGGAUCUGAUUCAACCUCUGCUCCUGGUAAUGGUGGUGCUGAUCAGCUCACUCUAUCGUUUCAAGGGGAGGUUUAUGUCUUUGAUUCCGUUUCUCCUGACAAGGUUCGUUUUCCUUUUCAUCUGGGCCUUUUAGUUUUGAAUUUGAUUCGUAUGUUUGUUUUUUAAAUGUUGAAUUUUUUAUUAAAAUUGUUCACUUGUUGCAUCUGGUUUUAGGCUGAUUGGAUGGAUUUAAUAAUUUUUUUGUUAGUUUGGUGAAUUAUGUGGUGGCCUAUCCUGUUUUAAUGCUAAUUUAGCUGAUGACUCAUUGGUUUUUGCAUCUAUAUUCUCGUUUAUACAGUCAAUUACUGAAUUGCUUUGUUUCUAAAUAAUGUCGUGGGUUAUGCAAGAAAGAUCCUCUCUUUUCUCCUCAAUUGAAGUGGAUGCUAUUAGGGCUUAAAGUUUCAAAUAUGAAGUAAGAAAAGGGAAGUCAUGAUUUGUGGUGCUUGAUAUUUUCAGGUACAGGCGGUGUUGUUACUUCUAGGUGGAUAUGAAAUCCCUUCAGGCAUUCCUGCAAUGGGGACAGUGUCUGUUACUCAAAGGGUGCGCGUUAGAUCAAUCAUCCUAUCUAUCUUGUGAUUAGUUCUUUUAAGAGGAUUCUGUUUUUGUUCCUUUUCUUUUUUUUAACAUCUUUAAUGGCAUUCUCCUAGGGCUUAAGUGACUUUCCUGGGAGGUCAAUUCAGCCACAGAGAGCUGCUUCUUUAAACCGGUUCCGGGAGAAGAGAAAAGAGCGGUGCUUUGAGAAGAAAAUCCGCUAUACUGUGCGGAAAGAAGUGGCCCUCAGGUAUUUCAACAAUUGGUUUCACCUCUUUUUCCACAUUCUUCUUUCUUCAAGACAAGAUUGUUCUUCAAGUCGCUUGCUAACAUUCUAGGUGUGGUUUGUUAGGAUGCAACGUAAGAAGGGUCAAUUCACAUCAUCCAAGGCAAUUUCUGAAGAAGUAGCCUCAGCCUCUUCAGGAUGGAGUGGAACACCAGGUUCUGGGCAAGAUGAGAAUAUUCAAGAAGUUUUGUGAGUAGCUUCUCCCAAUGAUCAAAUGAUGUUGUUUUUAAAAGAAAUUAUCAUUGGAUUGAUAUCACCCCUCAGUUGAAGUUGUAGUUUUCACUUCAGCUAUCAUUUGUUAUGUUCCUAUAGAUUCUCUCCUUUAUUUUGCAUGUUUUUUCUGUGUAGAUGUACACACUGUGGAAUCAGCUCUAAGAAAACUCCUAUGAUGCGUCGUGGACCUGCUGGUCCAAGGACUCUUUGCAAUGCAUGUGGACUCAAGUGGGCAAAUAAGGUUUGUCUAAACCAGGAAAGAGUUGUUCAUAAGUCUAUUCCCCAUUUAAUUGCAUGUAGAUUGUGAACUCAAGAGAGAGUACUAUAAGAUGAUUGACAAUCUUCUUUGUUGAUAAUGCGUUCUUUGCAAUUCUAAUGAUAUUUAAUCACACAAAUUUAUGAUUAGUCCUUCUGAUUGUCAGAGAGGUGUAUAUUAAGAGUUUGGCAAGAUUAUAACCUUAAUAUUCAGUUCUAUACUUCCAGUUGAUUUGUUUCUGGCACCACUUAAACUUAAUUUGUUUGAUGACUCAGAAGUAAACAUAUCCUUUAAGCAAUACAUCAUGUCUUCUGCAUUCUAGUAACUUGCGGAGGAUGAUUCAUGAUUCUUAUAAUCUUCAAUAAUUGCUUGUAAUUCUUUGGUCAUUCACUUGGGAAGUUCUCAUUUGCAGGGUGUUUUGAGAGACCUUUCAAAGGUUUCUACAGUAGCAAUCCCGGAUCCAACUGUAAAGACUGCUGAGCAGGUUUUGCUAGCUCAGAAUAACAGUAUUGAUGAUUGUUAUUUAUUACCUUUUUUCAUUGUGAUAAAAUCCUGAAUGCCCCUUGAAUCUGAUUACAUUGUUACUCCUUGGGUGUUUAUCAGAGUGAUGCUGAAGCUAACGAGUCAGAGGCUGUAACUGUAACUCCAGAUGUUGUAUCUUCAUCUAAUGGGGAUAACUCCACUGUCACUGCUGAAAGAUGAUUAACAAGAUCCUUCUGCUGUGGUGAGUGCUAUGUAACUUGAUGUUUAAGGGGCACAUGUCGAACUUUGUUGUAAUAAUUGAGUUCGUUUGACAACUGUAUAUAUGGUUCAUUGCCGAUCAUUAUGUAACUGCAGAAUUGCGAAAUACAGCCUACAUGGUGUCUGUAGGAAGAUUAGAAAUGAUUUCUUCCUUCAAUAUGCGUCGAAACCAGAGCUUGUUUUGACAAAUUCCUUUCCUUUCCUUGUAAAAAAGUGGAAAUAUUAAGAUAAGCUUGAACACAAGCAGCUGGGAAAAGAGGCACAUUCAUUUCGCCACUGAAUGUCCCAAGUCUUGAGGCUGCAAUUCCUAAAGAAUGUCUGCUUAGCUACUUUCUUAUUAUUCUCAGUUCUGCCUCCUGAUUGUUCUGUUGUGUCGUGUGUUUUGUCUGUACACUUUUGUACGUUUGGCAAUACAUGCACUGGAUGUGUUGUAUAUGUGUUGGUUGUGAUUUCGUAUCGUGUUUAAACCGGUCAGGUAAAACCCCUGCUACAGUAGCUGUUAUGGGUCUUUUCUUGCCUUCCCCAUGCUGCUCUACAUAUCGGUUACCCAGAGUCCAGGCACUAGCUGAUUCAACAUUUUGGUUAACCAUUCUUGUCCAAUUUGCAACAUUUUCAACACUAACGAUAUUCAGCAUUAUAAGAACUAGACGCUCACCUAAAAUACUGCAGUUUAGGGCACUCCAUUGCAAUUUACCGAGGUUUUUAUUAUACUUAUUAGCUCCUUUUUUUGCCUACUUGUUUUUAUAAUUUUUUAAUUUGAAUAAAUGAAAUUAUUGUACUUAUUAUCUGAAAUAUAGGGUAAAUAACUGAAGGUAAUUGGAAAUGAUUGUUUGCAAUUUUUUUUAAGGUACAAUUAUAAUUUGCAAGUAUAAUUAAUACAUUUGUAUAAACAGAAUUUCAAAUUCAAUCGACAUGUAUUAGAAUCAAACUAUAUUCAUUUGAUGAAAAUUACAGUGAAAAUGCAAUAAAAUUUCUAAAUGGGAAAAUAUAAAUCAAAAUGAAAAUUCCAUUUUGUAUUAUUUACUAAUAUAGAUAACGUUAGAAAUCGUAGUAUGAGGUGAAUUCAACUACUAAAUUUUUUUUAUUUAGUAUUAAAUAAAGAUAUUUUAUUUAUUUGUAAAUUCUUUAAAUGUUUUUAUUCAUCCCCAAUAAAAAGCUUAAAUAUAUCUUCAAGGAGAACCGGAACGCUAUUGCUUUGGCUACAUUAGGAAGCAAUUCCAAGCCCCAGCUUACUCGGAUAGUGCUAGUUUUAAUGCUUUUAUCAUGUUUGUAAUGAGCCAGCUUAGGCUAUUGUUUCCAUAAUUUAAUAUAUCAUGUUCCUCUUUCUAACCAAAAAUGAAAGAAAAAUAACUUAUAAAAGAAUUAAGUCCUUUUUUUCCCAUUAUAAAAGAUCAAACCCAUUCAUCACAUCUAAAAAAUGGGAUAGAAAAUAAACUUAUCCCUCCCUUAUAAUUAGCUAUUGAAAAUUUUCACCGGACUUCAUAAAAAUAAAUCCACAACCAUAAAAAUGGGGGCAAAUUUCAGUCUUCAGAUCAUGCACAAGUUGGAUGACAGCAAAAUCUAAAACUUUUACAAUGAAACAACAGUAAUUUUCAUAGCUUUUAUGAUUAUUAUUCUUCAACUUCUGCCGAAAUUAUGGAAUCCAAAAUUGCAAUUAUCCGUUUCUUUACAGGCAAAACCAAAAAACAACCAGGCCAACGGACACAGACUCCAUGGCUAACAUUCUUGAUCCAAAUGCAUUAUCACCCAAAUAGUCGGCUGUGUUUACUGCCUGAUGUUAACAAAUAGGGGAGCGAAAAGAGAUUGCGAAAAGAAUGGUUAUAGGAACAGAAAACUAUCAUUUCUGACAAAAAAAAAGAGCAAGUUACUUCUUCCCGGAGUGAUAAACAAUGCAAAUAACCCUAUAUUAUGGCAGUAGAACAAGGAAAUAUAUGGAGUCAAAAUAAAAUGCAUAAAAGCUAGGAAAUAACACCAACUUACCGAUAUGCCAGCUUUGGUUGGAGGAGUUCUGAAGAUCUUGAGGGAAAAAAAUUAGACUAAGCAAUCAAAUGAAUAUAACGCCUCCAUAUUUGAUAAAAGAAACUUGGACCAACCUGCACAGUUUCACGUUCAAAUGGCUUACAGAUAAACUGUGGGAUAGAGGCCUGGCAUGUAAUGGCGCCCAUUUCCAUUUGAAUCUGCAUUGUCAAACAAGUGUGACUGUAGUUCGCCCGAGUGAGCUGACUUGCGAGGUUUUGGGUUUUUGGAAGAAGCUGUGUAAGAAUCAUUUGAACUACUACUUAUAGAAUACAUUGAUGAUGUUGGCAGUCCAUGAAUCUCCGGCAGCCCUGUUGGAUCAGAACCCAGACUAUAUCCCCUCUCAACUGUUUCAGCUUCCAAUGGCAAUUCAUCCAAUGUCUAUUCAAAACGAUUUAAAUAAAUAAAUAAAUGUGGCUGCAGCUGCACUUAAUGUUGUAAUUUAGUAAGAAAUUAAAAAUUAAGCAAUAGUACGCAUUAACGUGAAUGCAGACAAGGAAAAAGACAUUUGGGUCAUGUCCUCUUCACAAACAGAUUAAAAGUCUAGUGAUUGCUCUAAUAAUCAACAUAUGUAGAUAUGCAGUUAAGAGAACCCACCCUGAAUGCCAGUUGGAGAACUCGAAGUGUUUCUCGAGUACGUUUUCUCUUAGAAGCGAUCUCAUCAGGUUCUUGUAACAUUUCUUCAAACAGGUUUUCUCUGUUUUGGAUGAUAAGACAUACAGGACACUCGAAGGUAAACAAAGAGAUUAUCACAGAGAUAAAUAAUUGAAAUCAAGUCAAAUGGCAGAAAGCUUUAUAUCACCUGUAGAGCUUUUUGAUAAAGACAUUGUGAAGUUCACGUUUUGUAUGGUUUACCUAGACAUUGAUAUCAGAGAUCACUACUCAUGUAAUGCUUCAGCUUAGCAAUGCAAUAUUGCACCAUAAACUAUCAUUAGAAGACAUGGCUUAUACGGUUAUAUUUACAAAGUUACAACAGUUUCAGGUUCCAAAUAAGAAAUAAAUGAGCAAAUUUCAACCAACUAGCUAGCUCCAUGUUACAGAAGUCAAGCUGGAUACAUUCACACAAUCAUGUAUUUCAUCACUGUUCUAACAUAACUAAAAUACAUCAACCACAGACAAAAGAAAUGGUAUCCUAGUUCAAAUUACAUGAUAUAUGCUCCUCUACAGAUCAAAAUAGUUGAGGAUAGAGAUCAACAUACUUAGCACCAAAUAUUGUUUACAUCAAGCCACACAGAUGCUGAACUGAUAAGGUGAAAAUUUGAACUUAAUUUCACUAGAAAGACUUACAAUCUUCUAACUUGAAUACCAUAAUGCCUUCUUUCUUUUGGCCAGACCCAUAAUGUGUUUUUGGAUUUCAGUCAUCAGGAGCUUGAAUGUGAACAUGGAUAGAUAGCAGAAAGAGACCAAAAAAUACACAAUUAGCAAAUCUACUCAGGUUAAACUUACCAAGAAGUGCAUAAUUGCUUUGGGCACAGAGUCCUCUAUGUUCUUCCUAACAAUGUCAUAGUAUGAUCUUAAGAGCAGUUUGGUAAUAGCAAUUUCAAUAGCUUGAGUUUCUGAACGGUCUUCUGAAGGCCUCAAUACAGUUGGGGGCUGAAAAGAGUAAAAAACAUGCUUGUCAAGAUCAGAAUAACAUUCUUUUUUUAAUUUAGCACUGGAUCCUUGAUGAAUUUAUCUGAUGUGUACGCACCUCUCUGAGAUGGAUCAUGGAAAAGGAAUGUUCAGCAUCAUGAACAGGUUCACUAUAUGGCUUGUUGUUUGUUGAGCUCUCUUUCACUGAUGUGCGGUUAUCACUGCCACCAAAUAUUGAUGGAAUACCCCAAGUUGAAAUACUUGUGCUUCCUGAAAAGACCCACACUCAUUUUACUCUUAUGCUGCUUGAUAAUUAAUCAAAAUAGGGUGAGAACUAUAAACACAAAAUUCACAUUGGAAAAUCAGCCAGAUCCCUUUCAAAAGGAAAAAAGGGAGAGAGAAUCCUCAAUAUUUGGCCAUCCUACAUAACUAUCAUAAAGAACAUCAGAUAUUGCAACAACAAAUUCAAAACGACAGCCUAAAAUGCAGUACCAGUAGAUGGAAGUUUUUCACCAUCUGCAACAGGACGGACUCCCUGCACAAAAAAUGAGUAAAAGGCUUCUCAAGUUAUUUACGUAGAAAACAGACAGAUGAAGGAGAAAAAGUUAAUGGAAAAAACGAAAAAGAACAGGCAGGGAAGGAAAAGCAUAUAUUGGGCAGCAGAAACACAAAUUUUCAUGCCUGAUCAGCAACGAUUCCAUUAACUUGUCUUGCAAGAAUAGCCCGAGAUUUAUUACUUCUUUCAGAAGUAAGUGCCUUAUCAGGCUCUGAACCAUCCUGAUUAAGUCAACAAAGAAACACAGGAAAAAAUGAAAAGGAAUUGGGAUUGGUAUUGGUAUUUGAAAAAGAACAGAAAUAAUACCAGAGAAAUUACCAUAAGUAGAAACCUACCUUUGAUCUGAUAGGUAAAGGAACUCUGGAAUUCUUUAUCUGCUGAUUGGCAAGUUCUACAGCCUUGCUCCCACCAAUAAAACUUGGGUGAGAAGUAUUUAUGUAAUCCAUCUGCAAAAUUAAAUGGCAUAUAGCACAAAUCACUACAGAUCUUUGAAAAGAACAUAUGAAUGUAACCAGUAUUGCACUCAACUGUAUCAACUUCAUCUCUUGUAACAGGAUUAAGAAUAGAUACAUAAAAUAAUAUAUAAAAAUAAAAUUAGCAGAAAUACCUCCAUUUCAAUAAUAUGUCCUAUCAUUGUCUCAGAUGGUUCGAGGCCUUGUCGGAGAAAGUUCCCAAUAACUUGGUCCAUAUGUCUUCUCAGAACAGGAAAUCGCUGCAGUUCAUUCACCAUGCAGCGAUGGCUAAUCUGGAAAGAGGACAAUUCUAUUAUAAAUCUAGAUUGUGAAGCAAUAAAGAUGAGGGACUACAAUAAUAAUCUGGAAGAAUCACCUUUAUUAACUCAUCAUAUAUGAACCUUGCACAUUGAAGGCUUGGAUCUAGCAAACGUGCUAUUUGCCUUCGAACAAGCACUUCAAACGGAACCUAUACAUAAAAACUAGAAUUAUAACCAAUAUUCACUGAGAUUAACAUGAAAUAACCCCAGGGAACAAUUUGGAAAACAGCAAUGUAGAUCUGUAUAAAACAAAAAUAAUCUUAGAUUAGACAUUUGAAUUAGAAGACACUAUAACCUACUUCUGGAACAAAUAGUGCAGAUCGAGGACCAUUCGCAUUCUCAAUGGCAGUUCGAAUGCCAUCGUUGGUCAAGUCUUCACAUGGAUCAACCUCCUGUGAAACAAAUCAAUUAACAUGGAAAAUAUUUACAUAAAAACCCUCUUACAAAGACAUGUUAUGCAUCACCAAUUUAUAAAGUUGCACUGCAGGACUCCUAAUGUCUGUUUUAAAGAAAGCAGUAGCUCAUGCAGGAAGUCAAAGGUUUUAUUGUAUUGUUAAAAAAGGGAGGGAAGGUGAGAAAUUAAGAUCAUGAAACCAGAUAACCAAUUAUAUAGAUAAGGUUGCCAUUAUUUAACUUUCUUAUCCUGCCGUAGUAGAGAGACUACGCAAAAUCACUCAUGGGGUAGUGAAAUGCACAUAUCAGUAGAUUGAAUAAAAAUAUUAAUCGUAAAAGAUAGUAUUUUAUAACCAAUAUUUUGUACAAUUACGUGCAUAGUAAUUAACAACUAACUAUUGUAAGACGGUGUGAGGAAACACCCUAAAGACAAAGAGAUGUAUAAUAGAAUGCACAUCUAACUUCAAAUGGAAAGCGAAUCCAACUAACUAGGCAAAUAUCAAAGCACAAAUAUCAGUCUACAGUCUACGCACCUCUAAGCUCUUGACAAAAAUUGAUUGGAAAAUGUAAUGAAUUCUUGCUCCACCAGACAGCUCACAUGUAGACAUUUCUUCAUUUCUCCCCUCUACCAUUGAUGAGAAUGCUGGUUCCAACAAACCAUUAUGGUAUCAUUACCAAUUUAGUAGAUUGUAAAUGAUAGGUGUUUCAGAAUAUUAAUUUUACAGACAGCCAAACAAAAAAUUUACCUUCACAGUACUUCGAAAGAAUAUUCAGGAGAAGAGCUCCCUGGCCAGCCUAUAGAUUAUAAAACCAUAAUUUUGUCGUAAGAAAAUUAUUUCAGUUACGACUCAACAAGGGUCGUGGUAGACAAACAAAUAUACAUGCCUUUGAUUCUGUAAUUUCUCCAUAGCUUGCAUGCUCCUUUGCCACAGAAACCAGUGCAGAACUAAUGCGUGAUUUCAGGCCAGGAAGUAUUGCCUUUAUAUGUUGUACUAAAAUCUACAUUAGAAACAGCAUAGAAAGACUCAUCACUUAGAUAAAAGAAAUACAGCACAACUAGGUCACAAGGCUCAACUAGUAGGAUCGCAAGUCAGUCCCCAACUACUAGCACAAGGCCUUCAACAGAUGCUAUAAGCAUGAGGGUGAUUUGAUUAAGAUAAAAGGCAAAAGGAAAGAAGAAACACUCCAAACAUAACCAAGCCUACAGAAAAUUGCUCUAGAUAAGAGUAGAAUGAUGCAAGUUUACAAUCUGGUCAGAAGUAAAUGGGAGAUUUUUCUACCAAAUGCAUAGCACAGAGGAAAAUUAAUAGGAUGACAGGGUUAAGUAAACAUCAAUAGAAAGUACGAACACUAGAAAAAAGCAUUGACAUUUAGAUUUUUUUCAAUUAUACCCCAUAAAAGUUCUGGAAACUUCAACUAGCAAAUAUUUUACCUGGUUCAACUUCUUUGCCAAUUGAGGAACACCACAACGAUCAGCUAGACUAGUAUAUACCUGUGUAACAUCAAAAACGAAUAAGCCAAUUGUAGAUGGAAACUGUAUCAAACAAUGAAACUAAAGGUUGGCGCAGCCAUACUGGACGACUGCGGAAGAACUUCUCCUCUGCAACAAGGGCAUCCUUGAUACUCCGGUUGAGUAAAAUAUCCUGUUUAGAAGACAAUAUUAGAAGUGCAAUCAAGUUGUCAGCACUAGUAAAAUAAGGUACCUGAUAAUCAGUAUAUGAAGUACAAGUAAGAGCAAAAAUGAUAACUUAUUAACCAUUAAAAUUGCGUUUAGUUGCUUUGGUAAAGGGAAGAAAUAAAUGGGUUCAGGAAGUAGAAUUACCCAUAUGAAAGUUCUUGUACAUGGUCCGAGUAACCAUUAAAGAAGUCAUAUAGAAGCAAAAACAUGAUAACUUACUAACCAUUAAUAUUUCUUACAGUUACUUUUGAGGAGGGAAAGAAAUAAUUAGGUUUUUGAGGCAGUAGAGUUACCACAAGAAACAAAAUGACAGGACAUUUAAAUGGACAGGAAGAUCUCAAAAUGAAAAAUGACUAAAAAGAUUGACAUAUGUCUUAAUCCAAAGAAGAAAUAUGAAGAAAGACAAAAUUGCCUUUAGAGCAUCUUGAAUUAAUAACUAUGGCAUAAAUUUUAAGAAAAUAACUGUAAAAAUGAGAAACCUUCCACAUUAACAAUGUACAAGAAAUAAUUUAUUAAGAAAAGUUUUAUAAAAUACAGAUUGAUGAAUUAAUAUCUUUAUUUCUGUUAGGUUCCAUGGUUACCUCCUGACUUCGAUUUACAACACCUACAUAACCAAGUCGAAGAGGAACCACUUUUCCAAGCAACAGGUUACGAGCAUCAGUACCUCGGUCCAUUAUAUCCAACUAAUCAGAAACCAAAAACAGCUUAAACAUAAGUUUGUCAUAAUUAGAAAGGAGAUUUUCACGUUGACAGAUGCACCUUUGUAAUAACACCAAUGGUUCUAUAACCUGCCGAACACCAAAAAAUUAGAAAGAUUGUUCAACUAAAUAAAUAGCAACUCAAUGCUGAAGUGAGAUUUUGAUAGUAGAAAUUACCAUCAGGAUCAGCAUUUCCAGCAAUUUGAAGUGCAUCAGAGUUUGCCAAGUCUGAAUUUGCAGGAGUAACAGCAAGAAUCAGACAGCUUGGCUGUUUAAUAUACGACAUGAUCAUUGUUCUAAUUCGAGCUUCAAUGUCUGAGGGCUGGUCACCCACAGGAACCUUUGUGAUUCCAGGAAGAUCCACAAGAUUGAUAUCAAGAACAUUUGGGGAGAAAAUCUUAAGUCGAAUUUGCUUGUCUGACGCACCUUUGUUUCCUCCAGCCUCCCUAUCUGUCUCAGCCUGAAGUCAAUAGAUAUUUAUUUAAGGAUUUUACAUUAACAGAGAAAAAGGAAACACUCAACACCACAAAUUAUAUAUAUUGUUCCUUGAUUUGAUAAAACUAUUAUUAACUAGAAAACAAUAAAAAGGCUAGAGUUUUUCAGAUACCCAAAGGGUGAGAGAAAAAUUCUACUUACGAUCCUUAUCCAAGAACAGCUAGAUUAAGUGAUUCACUUUUCUACUCAUUGUAACCAUCAGUGCAAAGCCUAAAGCCAAAUAAUUCCUUCUGGCAAGCUCCCAAUUUCCCUAAUUACAAAUUUCAGUACCACCAGCUACUGCAUCUUUGUUAUUCAACAUAGAAUCUAAUAAUAUCUUUCUCGCUUCAAUAUUAUAUAUAUAGCAAUUCUAAUACUCCUUAAGCAACCAGUUUGCAAAGGAAAAUUUAAAAAUGUCAACUUAACAAAAAUACAAAUUAAAACCCCAAAUUUUUGAAUUGUAUAAUCUAAAUGAGUAACUUUUGAAUUUCUCAAUCAUAAAAGGUAAGCAAUAAAGAACCUGAAUCUCCCUGCGAAUCUCAGAAAAGUCAUAGAAGCGCUUUCCAGGCAAGUGAAGGAACUCGCCAUACUCCUCCUCAGAACCAUCAGGUUUACGCUUGGUCUGGAGGAGCUGAAGGACGAGAGGGCGGCGCGUGCAGAUAUCAGAACCGCGAGGCAAGAAGUCACGGCCAACGAGUGACUCAAGUACGCUGGACUUGCCACUACUCUGGCUUCCGACCACCGCCACCUGCGGCAACUCUAUGGUGGACUGGCUACCCAGCUGCGCGAAGAUGUCUUGUAGCUUGUUCACAAUCGGUAUAACGGAAGAUCCCAAAGGAGCCGCGGAUAAUUGAGGCGGCGUCGAUGCAGCCGCUUCUUCAGCCAUUGAAUUUUAAUGAUUGAUCGAUUGAUGAAAAGAUUUACAGGAUUUUAUAUGAAAAUGCUAUCAAGCUAGGUUUUGGAACUGACUCUUUAUUUUUCUUUUUCUUUUCUAAUGCUUUGUGUUUACUAGAGAUAAAAGAGAUCUUGAAGCUUUGAUCGUAUGAUUGAACUUGAAGCAGACUAUGUAAUUGUGGCUUGGGAAUUAUAUUAAUUAAUUUAUUACUGUGGUAUUCAUUUUAGCUAUGCGUUCUCCAAUGCUUCGGGAAAUCAAUAUGAAGUUCUAAUUUUGGUAUUUAUAUUAUAAAUAAAUAAAGGUUAAAAUGUGCUAAAAGAUCUUGUACUAUCCAUGGAUUUGGAUUUUAGCCCUUUAUUUUUAUUUUAAAGCUUUUGCUAUUCAAUCUCCAAAUUCCUAUUUCUCAGCAACUGCCCAGUUGUUUAUCUCCAUCAGUCAAAAAUAGGGUUCCUAAAUGCUACCGACCCAAAGCUUAAAAGAACAUGUUGCCAUCUUGGCCUUCCCAUUUGGCAGUCACGAUCUAACCAUCCUAAGACUUGCGUGCAGGUUAGCUCGUGCAGCUCCGAAUGUGCAGUUUUCUUUCCUAACCAAAGCGAAGUCUAAUGAUUCCAUUUUUUCCACUUUUAAACUUUGAUGUCCCGAAUAAUAUCAGAGCUUACAAUGUGGAGGAUGGUGUGCCCGCGAAUGAUGUUUUUAGUGGAAACCCAGUGGAGAGAUUGGACCUUUUCCUUAAAGCAACUCCUGCAAACUUUCAAAAGGGCUUAGAUGUUGCAGUCAUGUAAGCUGGCAGGAGGUGCUAGCUGCUUCGUCACGGAUAUGUUUUUGACAUUUUCCGCAGAUAUGGCCGAGGACAUGCAAGCUUUUCGGACAUGGUGGUGGUGACGAAAAUGGUGGCAAAUUCCAACCAAACUUUGGAAGUUAUUCCAGGGUUAUCUCCAAUGCACGUUAGACAUUCGAAAGAAACGUUCUUUUCUUACACAUUGAGUAAAAUCGGGUGUGUUUUACCUCGAUCUACCGCCAUUGUUAUGAAUUUCUGCCAAGAACUCUAUCCCACAGCACUCUUUGAUGAUCUCAAAUCCAUGUUUCCAGCUUUGCUGAAUGUUGGUUUCUUAACGCAAGAACUUCCCUUGCCUCCAUUACCACCAUCGGAUUCAGAUGCGGCAGAGUGUUUAUCAUGGUUAGACAAGCAAAGUUCCAAGUCUGUUGAGUAUAUUAGCUUUGGGACAGCGGCAACGCCAGCAGGGUUGGAGUUAAGAGCCUUAGCGGAGGCAGUUGAAGAGAGGGGCAUUCCAUAUCUUUGGUGUCUCAAGGAUGACCAUAAGCAUCAUUUACCGAAUGGGUUUAUUAAAAGGAUAAGCAAGCAAGGGAAACUCGUUUCAACAGGCGUGUUUGUGACACAUUGUGGGGCGAACUCAGUGUUUGAAAGCGUCGCAAAUGGAGUCCCAAUGAUCUGCGGACCGAUGUUUGGGGAUCACUGGAUGAAUGGACGUGUGGUGGAGGAAAUAUGGGGAAUUGGUGCUAAGAGUUGAGGGGGAUGUGUUCACUAAGAGUGGGGUACUCAAGAGCUUGAAGAUCGUUUUGGGACAUGAACACGGGAAGCAAAUGAGAGAAAGGAUUAGAACACUGAAAGAGCUUGUUUUGAAAGCAACAGAACCAAGUACAAGUGCUUCACAAGACUUCAAAACUUUAGUAGAAACAAUUUUAAUUUCUUAAUCUGAAUCCAUUUUUCUGAAAAUGUAUCUAAUAAUAAUAAUUCAUAUAAUAUUAACAUUAUAUUCCGGCUAUCCCUUAAGCAAUGAAUUAAGUAUAACAGUUUCCAUCCAAUCCAGGAUAUUUAUGAAACAUCCCUAUAGAUUAAGUUAGGUUUUCAUUUUGAAUCUAGUCUCCCACUUCUAAAUCAACCCCAGGUCGUUAAAAUGAGUUAACAAAAAAUAAAAGCAAUUAAAAGAGGUUUUCUAAGGUCUAGCCUCCACCAUUUAUGCCAGUUUCAGAAGAUAAACUAAUCAGAAGGGCGGUUCGAAUUCAAGAUGGGUUUCCAAGCUUUUAUCAAGUUUGCAUUGAUGCUCUUGCAUGUUAAUCUUUUUUUAUUAACAUGUUGAACAUGUUGAACUAUGGGUUUCCUAGCUUUUAUUAAGUUUGCAUUGAUUUGCCUUGAUACUCUUGCGUUGGUUUUUUUUUUUAUUAACAUGUUGAAUAGUUAGGAUUUUGUUGUUUCUUUUGUUUAGUUCUCUUACCUUUUGUUAAGUAUGACUUCUAUUUUCAGUCAAAUUUGAGAAAUAAACUUACGACUCCUAUUUUCAGUCAAAUUUAAGAAAUAAACUUUUAUUUAAACUCUGUUUAUUUGUUUCAGUCAAACACUGAUUAGUUUAGAUUAUUUUAUUAUUAUUUGACAUAUGAAUUUAGCCUAUAAAUAGGCUCUUUUACAACCUUAGUAAAUACACCCAUUAGAUUAGAACUCAUAACACAUUCAGAGAAUUUUGUGUUUACAUUUUGAGGGUUCUUUGUUUUUCGGGUUUUCGGGGUUUAGUUUUAUCUCCAUAUUUUGUACUCUUCAUUCUUUUGCCAUUAUAGUAAAAUUAUCUUUGCCCGUAAUUUUUUAUCCUCUUUUGAGGGAUUUUUCCAUGUUAAAUUUGUGUGUUCAUCUUCUCAAUUUCUUCCGCUAUUUUUAUUUGUUUGUUACUUAAUCGGGACGAUCCCUAACAAGUGGUAUCAAAGCUAGUUCAAUUUUCAUAGAUCAACCCAUUCAGAUAUGGCAACAACAAGAUUUGAAAUUGAGAAGUUCGAUGGUGAGACAAAUUUCAAUCUGUGGCAAGUUCAGAUGAUGGCAAUUUUAGUUCAAUCCGGUUUGAAAAAGGUUGUUACCGGGAAAAAGCCUGAGAAUCUAAAUAAAACAGAAUGGGAAGAGCUUGAUGAAAAGGCCUUGUCUGCAAUCCAGUUGUGCCUUGCGAAUACGGUAUUGCAGGAGGUAUUGAUGGAGAAGACCUCAUCCGCUUUGUGGAAAAGGUUGGAAACUCUUUAUGCGACUAAGUCUCUGGCUAACUGUUUAGUGUUGAAACAACGUUUAUUUACGUUUCGCAUGAACGAAGGUGAGCUUCUUAGAGAUCACAUCAGUCAAUUCAUUACUCUUUUAAAUGAUUUAAAGAACGUUGAGGUUCAUAUUGAUGAUGAAGAUCAAGCUAUGGUAUUAUUGUGCUCUUUACCCCCUUCAUACAAGUCUUUCAGGGAGACCCUGAUUUAUGGCAGAGACAAACUCUCGUUCGAAGAUGUAAAAGGUCAUUUGUUGAGUAGAGACAAACUCGACAAUGAGCUUCAUUUGGAUAGCAAGGCAGAUAGGCAAGCUUCCGUUUUGAUAGCAUCAAAGAAAAUAGACAAAAGGUGUUGCUAUUGUAAAAAGUUAGGUCACAUCAAAGCAGAUUGUUAUAAACUGCGAAAUAAAAUAGCUGCUAAGAGUAACGAGGAAGAUGUAACUGGUGCUAAUUUGAUCGAUAAAAGCGGUGAUGAUUUCUUGUUAGUGUCAACGAGCGAUAACUCCAAGCUCACGUCUGAGUGGAUCCUAGAUUCGGGAUGUUCUAUCCACGUGUGUCCCAAUAGAGAAUGGUUCUCUACAUACAGUUCGGUUGAAGGUGGAUUUGUGCGCAUGGUAAACGAUUCAUCUAGUAAGGUAAUUGGUAUUGGUACUGUUAAAAUUAUGAUACAUGAUGGGACGAUUAAGACACUUUCAGAUGUCAGGUAUGUACCUGAUUUACGAAAGAAUCUCAUCUCCUUGAGUUUUUUAGACUUGAAAGGAUGCAGAAUCAACAUCGAGUCAAGCGGCAUUAAAGUAUCUCGUGGAGCUCUCGUUUUGUUAAAAGGUAAAAGAACUAGCAGUCUUUAUAUUCUGGAAGGUUCUACAGUGAUCGGUGAAAUUGGACGUCCCUUGUCCGUUACAGAGUCGAAGUCAACUCGUUUGGAGUGGAGGCAACUUGGUCAUAGGAAGGAAAAAUGUAUGACCGUUUCGUUGAAGAGAGGUUCUCUUUUGGAUGCAGGUUUUAAAAGUUAGGGCACUGUGUUCGUGAAAAUCAGACCCGGGUUAGUUUUGAUUUGGCAGUGUACAAGUCGAAGACUAGAAGUCUUCCAGUUUCUAAGCACAGAUUCAACUCAGUUAAUUCCCUACAUAGUUCAAGAUAGGCUCGUGGCGGGCUUUGGCAAAGAUGGCGUUGUGGAAAUAUGAGUCAAUGUGGAGACUUGUUAAGUAUGACUCCUAUUUUCAGUCAAAUUUGAGAAAUAAACUUUUAGUUAAACUCUGUUUAUUUGUUUCAAUCAAACACUGAUUAGUUUAGAUUAUUUUAUUAUUAUUUGACAUAUGAAUUUAGCCUAUAAAUAGGCUCUUUUACAACCUUAGUAAAUACACCCAUUAGAUUAGAACUCAUAACACAUUCAGAGAAGUUUGUGUUUACGUUUUGAGGGUUCUUUGUUUUCGGGUUUUCGGGGUUUAGUUUUAUCUCCAUAUUUUGUACUCUUCAUUCUUUUGCCAUUAUAGUAAAAUUAUCUUGGCCCGUGGUUUUUUAUCCUCUUUAGAGGGGUUUUUCCAGGUUAAAUUUGUGUGUUCAUCUUCUCAAUUUCUUCCGCUAUUUUUACUUGUUUGUUACUUAAUCGGGACGAUCCUAACACCUUUACUCUUUUUGUUUUGACUUAUCAUAUUAACGGCAUCCUAGUUUAUAACUUUAAAUUACAUUUCUUUGCUUCUUAACAGACGUGCUUCAGUUCAUUCAAUUGAAACUAAUUCGAACUCUGACACCAAGAAACUGGUUACCUACCGGGUAAUCUUCUCAUUUAUUUUCCUGUUUGAACAUGAUUUCAUGGGGAUGCUUCAAUGGUAAUAUUGCUACUCAGCAAAUGCAUGAACUUCUUCCGUUUGAUUUCUCUAUUGACAAAAUGUUGGGUUUUCCUUCAAUUAGAUCUUCCUUUUAUUGAGUUAUAUAUUUGUGUUGAGUAAUAUUUUUCUCGUAUGAUAUUAUACAUGUUCCUUCUGUUACUAUUACAGCUCACAAUAGGGCCCGCUAUUUUGUCUCGGUCCUAGGGUUGAUGGCACUGGCAUCCUUGUCUCUGGUGCUGACAUUCUCUGGGAAUCUCUUGGCUUAUUAGACGCGUGUCUGUGGAGCACACGGUCCUUUUUUAUCUUAAGAUUGACUCCUCCAGCGAGCCUCGUACCCGCUAUUCACGAGCGUGGGUAUCUUGUAGGGCUCGCGAUCCCUUCUAUGGACAUAGCUCACGAUCUCAUUCUUGCAAGGCUUACGCGAGCUCUCCUUGGGAGCUAUUUUUUCCAACAUCUAGCAUUCCAACAGGGUCCCUAGCAAACUACCUCUGUAGGCGAACAUUCUUCUUCCUGGUCGGGUCUAUCCGGGUCAGAGAUACGGAUCCUAUUAGGUCAUUUGGGCUGGCGAUUACCAAAUCCUAACAAUCCAGUCCCCCCUUAGUGAGCCUAAAGGAUGUUAUAAAAUGGUGGGCCUUAGGUCCAUUUCGAACAUAACUUACAAGGUACGCCACGGGUCGUGGUGCAUAACAGUUACCUUGCCACGAGUGAAUCCAGAUAUUGGGUGCGCACAUCUAACCGUUGAGAGACGAAUCGUUUCUUCUUACUCACAUUUGGGUCGUUGGUUCAUUUUUGGCCAUCCGAACGGUUUAAGAAAACUCUCCCUAAAAGGGGAUCUUCGAGGGUUUAGGUUUCUUCACUGUUUGGUAUUUUCUGCAAAUUAGAAUUGAGGUAAUUUUCACAAAUCCUUUCUGCUUCUUAGUUUCUAUUUCUGUUUUUUACUCAAAUCAAGGUGAAGAUGAGAGAAUCCCACAACCAUAUCGUCUCGGUCCAUCCAACUCCAGUCGUUGUAACUGAGAAGCCCUACAUCUGCACCACCACGCCGGAGAAAAUGGAACGGGCUCUAGCUAUGUGGGGAAUCAAGCUUCCCCACUUUGCCUAUGAAUUUUCCAUUCCUUCAAGGUCUCACCGUGUGUGCGAGGCAACGGAUGAUAGUUUCCUUCUCCCGUUGCACGACAUAGAGGCGAGAUUCUACCUCCCCCUGCAUCUCUUCUUUUGUAACCUCCUCAAGGAUUACCGAUUCGCUCAUGGCCAACUCUUUAGUUUUUUCUAAUGGCUAGCAAUGGCGUACUCUCUCGAUAGCUGCCAACGCGGUGAAGUGACGAUGCUCUUUGUCUUUCAGCACCUGUACCAGUUGAAGGGGACUAAUGUGAGGGGUCGGCGGAGUUCUACUACUUUUCCCCUCAUCGGAAGGUGAGGACGAUCAUACGAAAUCAGUAUAAGAAUAUUUGACUGAAACGGGGGAAGUAUAUCCAAGUCCGCAGCAUCCUUGGCUAAGAUUUUGGGUUCCCUACCAGGUGGUCUUCCCCUAGUGAAGACAUGCGUGCAUUUCAAAAGAGUAUUACCACUGAUGAGGUUUUCACGUAAUUUUAGAGGUUGCGCGUUGGUCGCCUGCUGGCUCUGGAGGCGGUCCUGACUGCGAGGAAUAUCUUUAGAUCUAUCUGGAAGAUCUCAGCUCAAAUGGUUGGGGGGUUGGUGAUAACCAAGAUGUCGCACAAUCAAUUGGUGGGCGACCAACAAAAUAAUACAAUAUUCCUUUAUCUAGAAUACUAAGAGGGUGGAGGCACACCUUAUUCUGCAUUAUGGUUUGUCGCCUCUCUUAUAUGGGAUAGGUCUGUUGGGCUUGUCUCGUGUGCUGGAUAUAAUUAUAUGUGUUUUCUGAACUUUUAACCAAUACAUAUAAUUUUAACCUACCCAAUAACUAUUUUUCUAUUUCCCAAAAUAUUAUUUAUUUAAAUUUAUUUAUUUAUUUAUUCAAUUAAAUUACUUUUUCAACCCAAUUCUAAUUCCAUUAAAGUCAUAACAACUUUACCGCAUUAAAAUUUAUGAAGAAAUACAUUUAAUUUCCCAUUCAAUAAAACUAUCACAACUAUUUUAUUAAUUCUCACAUCAAAUUUUAAUAAAUUAAUUUCAAUCAAUUAAAUAACUAUUCAAAAAAUUUAAUUUAAUCUUUAAGUCAUCUUUUUGUACUUAGCGAGAAAAUGCAUUCGCUGCAGAUAGUGAUGCGACUUAUUUCUCUUAAUCGUCAUUUUCAUUCAUUUCAAAUUAUCAAUUUUACAUGCAAUUUGUUUGGGUUAUGUCGAGCUAGUAGAGAGACCGCUUUGACAUAUAUAAUAAGAGCUCAAAUAAUUUGUAAUUGAGUUUUGACUCUUUAUGUCACACACCGAAAUUGGGCCUAGAAGUUUUGAGGGUAAUUAGGGGAUUUUGGCUCCAAGUGAGUUCGAAAAUUUAGAAGUAUGGUAACCCAAAAAUAUAUUCGACUAUGGAUUUUAGAAAAUUAAAUCAACUUUUGAAAAUAAUGUAGAAAAGACCUUUGAUUUAAAAAGUGGAUUGUUUUGAAAAUUGAGUUGAAGUUAGGAGUACCACAAAGCUAAAUAUCCUAAAUUUUUAAAAAUUGCCCUAUUUUUCUCCCCACCUACCGGAGACUCACGAAAACCUCUUCUACCCAAUUGUUUUUGCCAUCCCUUGAAAUCCCCAAGAAACAUUCACUUAUUUCAAUUCUUUUGGUUCCCAUUAACUUCCAAGCAUUAAACCUCCUUAGAAUUUCAAGAAAAGCAUAAAAAAACAUCAUUGAUUUUACCAUUGUGCAACUUGUGGGUUUUCUUAGAUUUACACCAAACAUCUUAUUUUCUUCUAGUGAAGGUAAUGUUUCGUUUUCCUAUUAGUUUUUGAUGAUAUCUAGCCUUUUAAAUUGAGUUUUUAUCUAUUGAAUCCAAAGUUUUGAAUAAAUGUUGAAAUUUGGGUCGUUAAUGGUGAAAUUUGGGAUUUUGAAUGAAAUCGAUGUUUCAAAGUGCUUUUCAACUCGUUUUGAUGUGAUUGGAAGGUUUCUAAGCUCUCCUUAAAGUUUCAUUAAAAGAUUAUAAAGUUUUAUUGAGUUUUCAUGAAAGAUGGUCAUUGUAUGUCAAAAUUUUGGAACCGUGAUUCUGAGUAGUUUGGAGUCGUUUGAAGAUUGGGAAUUACUUUUAGAUAAGUAAUUAGAUGAUUGGAAUAAAUUUGAGGCAAAUGAAAUGAGUCAAUAUUAAGAUAUUUGGGUUUCAAAUUUGCAAUUCAAAAAUUUUAGUUCUAAGAGAAGAAACCUUAGAUCUGCGUUUUGAUUGUUUAGGUCUGGUUAAUUUUGGUGAAGAUUUAGAACCGUUGGAGCCUUCGACGAACAAGGCAAAAGAAAACGAAACGUUAGUUUAGGCUUUCGGCGACUAGGCAAAAGCGCAAACGGUAGUGUUUAGAAUCAUUGCUUGUAGACACGAUUCAUAGUGUUAAAUGAGAUCUUAGGAGUAGCUUAAACCACUACUCUAAGUUCCAAGUGUAAGCUUUCCUAUUCCCUUCGUUAAUUUUGCGAGAUAUGUGAUUAUGCGAUGUGGAUUAUGUAUUUUGAUGUGUUAGUGUGAUAUGAGAUAUGUGUUUGUGAUAACUAUUGUGAAUGUGUUAAUUGUAGGCAUGUUAAACAUGCCAAAUGACAGUGAUGAUGUUGUGUUAAAGAUGUAAAUAUGUAGUGAAAGUGUGCAGAAAAUGGUAAGUAUAUACAUGUUUUAUUGUAGAUAUUUUGGCCUUGUGACCUUUUGAGACCGUUAGAUAUAGUUGGUAUGCCAUAGGAUAAUGUGAGUACUCAUCAUUAUGUUAUGUUUUUGGGGAUUUGAGGCCCGGGACAGUUUUGGAGCGAUAAGGGAAUGUGAGUGCGACACCCCAAACCCGGCCUAGGAGUCAGGCCCAAAUCUGGCGUGUUACAUUGAAUUGUUUUUCGAAAACCAUGUUUUCAUUAAAAACCCUUCUUGAAAUUUCAAAACUUCUUAUCACAAGCUAUCGUGAUUUAAAAAGUUAUUCCUUUUAAAAGAAAAGUUAUUACCUUCAAAACCUUGUUGUUGCGGAAGCUUAAUUUAAAGCAAAUGAUUUGCGAAAACGUGAUAUAUAAAAAUUAAGUUGUGAAAGCGUAGUGUUUCGAAAAUAGUUAUUGUUUUGGAAAACCGCGAUCUUCUUUCAACGGAUAGAAAACAUAAUAAAUUGACAAUCCCAAUUUUAAAACCAGAAAUUAACAGAGGCCUUAUUACAACCCAAAUCAAAAUAUAAGUACUUAUAAGUAGGUAACUUAAAAGAAAAUCGAAAACAAUAACAGUUGUGUGGCCAUCUCCGAGUCCCUCGCAACACCGAUCCUCCUAAUGCUAAGGAUUACCUACACAAUUAAUAAACGGGGUGAGUUUAUGAAAACUCAGUGUGUAAUCCCCUUACUAAAAAACAGUCAGUAUACAGAAACAGAAAAAAAAUAGAAAUAGUCAGGGCCAAUGCCCUUUUAUCAGUAACGGUACUAUCCAAUUUAGAGCAUACGUUGGCCAAAACCCACUACAAUAUCAUUUGCGUCACAGCCCACAACAGAAUCAAUUGGGCCUAGCCCAUUCUCAACAUCGUUAAUAGAUGGCCUAGCCCAGAUCAGUAACAGAACAGAACAAUGUGGGCUUUAGCCCAAUACAGAACAAGGUAGGCCUUAGCCCAAUGCCAUAUCAGUACAGUACAAUCUUAGCCUUAUAUAAAAUCAGUGUGGGCCUAAGCCCAAAACAGUAUCAAUGUGAUGCAAGUAUGCAACCCACCCCAAUCCAGCCCAACACACCACUCGUACCAACCUUACACACCAUGUGGGGACAAAGUCGACCCACCUAGCCCUACACAGUAAUAUUACAGCAAAGAUGCCAGUAAUAAUUACGCAGCAAAGCUGCCAGAACAGUAUAUGUGGCAAAGCUACCAGUAACAACACUUCCUCCAUAACAGAAUCCCAACCCCAUGCAAUAUAUUGUGAAUGUCAUGCUUAACCAUUACACGUGUAUGCAAUAUGGUCAUGCAAAGUAACAGUCAUUUACACACAUAUUAAAAACAUACCAGUCAUUCGACCAUAGUCAAGUCAGUCAAAUUCAAAUGACUGGUAUGUAAAACGGUCAUUUUACCCUAUAAAGGUAUUUCGGUAAUUUUUUAAACUAAAGAUAUUUUGGUAAUUUUGCAAAUUCAGGGUACUUUAGUAAUUUCACAAAUUGAGGGGAUUUCGAUAAUUUUGCAAACUGAGGGCAAUUCGAUAAUUUUACAAGUCGAGGGUAUUUCAGUAAUUUUGUAAAUCGAAGUAUUCUAAACAGAGAUAACAGUGCGAAUUGGACUAAGGCCCAUUCUCGGCCCAAAUGAGCCCAUAUUCUAAACAGAGAUAAUGAUGCGAAUUGGCCUAAGGCCCAUUCUCGACCUAAAUGGGCUCACACCCUCGCACAUUUAGCACAGAUAUGAGUCAAAUUAGCAAAAUAGUCACAUUUCAUAUGCAAGGAGUUUUGAACUCAGGCUCCUUUGUAACUUAAUCCACACCACUAGCCACCUUACCAACUAACUCCUUAUGUAACAAAAUAAGCACAACUAAAUAUAAGCCUAUGAGCCAAAGUCUAAGUUAAUUUAAAGAAAAUCAAAAUGAAUUACAAGCGCCAAGACUUGAACCCAUGCUCCCUUGCAACUUUAAUGAUGCAUUACCACUAGACCACUCACUUCCUUGUAUCAUAUUUUAACCAAACAAAUUUAUAAGGCCUUCCAGCUAACGCCAACUCCCCUUUAAGGAAAAACUAAAAUUUUUGCUAAAGCUCUGGUUUGAACCCAGGACUUCUCCAACACUCCCAACUCUUCCCAAAUCACUUAGCCACUAGACUAAACAUGCAAUUAGUAAAAUUUCCUCACACAACUAAAAUCCAAUUGCUCCGAUACUCAAAGCCCAUUUCUCCUAGGCCCAAAAUUCGGGGCAUUACUGUGAGCUUAACUCCAUGUACCGGGAUAUGUUGGUGUGUUGAAGAGUGUUAACUAAAUGCUACGCUUUUGGGAUAUGUUCGACUCAUUGAGUCAUUGGUGUGUUGGAGAUCCAUGUAUCCAAUGUGUGGUGAUAGAGCCCACUUUUAUAUUUCAUAGCCUCAAGUGCCAAUUUAAUAUUAAAUGAAAUGUUAUGAAAUGUGAUGCAUGUCUAAUUAUGUGAUUUCAAAGUAAAAUGAGUUGACAGUUGAUGCAUGAAUAUUCUAGUAUGCCACUUUGGUUAAAUAUGUAUGAAGUUGUUCUUUAGAUGUUCUCAUUUAAUGUAUGAAAUCAUGCUUAUUUUGUUAUUUUUUCGAUCAUUCGCUGAGCUUGUUUUAGCUCAUCCACUCUUUCUAAACAUUGUAGAUAGUUAGCGUUGUAGUGUGAGCUGUGUGAAAAUCCAGGAAGUGGUCCAAGUUAGGCUUAGAUUUUGAGUAGGUGAAACUCAUAUUUUUCUUUGAACUGUGGAAAUAAGGCAAUGUGGUAGACAUUUUGGUUGAUUAUUAUUAUGUCUUAAAUGGUUGAUACGAUUUUAGACUCUUAGGAAUUGGUGGAUGUUUGAUAUUAUGUUAUUGGGUUGUCUUGGCUGGAAUUAUUGGCAUUACUAUAAACUGCAAAUAUGGACAUUUUGAUGUUGAAUACUAAAGUUUUGGUCGCAUGUUGAGGUGGCAUGUGAUUGAAUAUGUUAAAUGACUUGUUUUGCUGUAAUUUUUGUUGAUUAGUACAGAGGUAUCUAUAUUUGGGGAAUAUGUAUUGAUACCUCCAUGUUGAAACGAAUGUGCAGGAAGCCAGUAGCUUAAAUUGGUAUUGAUACCCUUAUUCGAGUAUCGAUACUUGGGGUGAAAAUAUAAAUACUUUUUGCUUUGUAUCAAUAGUUUGUUUGGUUUCAUUAUUUUGCAAAUAAAAAGAAUGCUAAAAAAGUAUCGAUUGUUCUAAUAGUAUUGAUACCUAUCUUCAAAAAUAUCAAUACCUGAGAUUGAGUAUCGAUACCUACGUGUUUUCUUUGAGAGUUUUUGUUAGAUGGUCCUCAUGCAUGAUUAACUUGUUAUUAAUGUCGAUAAACGUUUGGUAAGUCAUUUUAAAUGUUGCCUAAGGUGUUUAAGACUCAAUACUCCUUUAAAUAUUUGAGAAUGACGAUGGUUGCAUGUUUUUGAGAUUGUGUGAAUAUGUGUGAGUUUGAUGUUUGAUGUAGCAUCUUGUUACUCGGGCCAGGCGAUCAAGCCAGGUGCAGGGUGUUACAUUUUAUCUAUUAAUUACACAUUAUUUAAUCAUGGAGUCAUUCCACUAAAGUAUCAUGAUUGAAAUCUCCCAUAUUAUAUACCAUUAUGAAAGCAAUUUAAUAAGUGCUUGUCCAAUGACUUUCUCAUAAGUGUGUUAUACUCAUAGGAUAUCCUUAGUCUUUUUGGGUUAAAUUUAUUCACCCAAUAGGAUCCUAUUUUAUCUCAUGGUAACCAUUACAUCAUUCUUCAUGAAAAAUUCAAAUUAACAAAUAGUUGUAACACCCCAAAAAAUCGGGUUACUAGAAUCGGAUAAGUAGGAUCGGGUUAGCAAAUCAGAAACCGUAAUUAGGUGAGAUAAUUAAAUAAUUAUAAUUGAAUAUUUUAGGUUAAAAAAUUGAAAUUAGGUGAUCGAGAAUUAAUUUUGUUAAAAUGAAUUUUAAAAAUGAGAUCGGAUUUGAAAAUAAAUUUGAAAUUGACUUCAAUUGGAAACUAAGGACCAAUUUGUGUGGUUUCAAUUUGUGUGUUUAUAGAGCUAAGCAAGAAAUCAUAAGAUCUAUGGUUUUAGAGUUUAGGGUUUGCUCAUUUUCGACUGGACUAUAGACAUGUUUAAGUUCGUCUACUAAUACAAGUUGUCUUUCCAUACUACGAUCCGACCACAUAAUGUCGUUUAGUAUUAGUUAAACAUUUAGACAAUUAAUGAGUAACAUUUGUUUCUAUUUUACUUUGCGUGCAAAAACCAUUUGAAGGCAAAAUACAAAGUAUAUUAAUUUAAUUCAUGAAUAAUUUUAUUAAUCAAUCUAUUCGAAAAAAUUACAAGUGUAGUUAGACGAAAAUACUACACUUGGGGCACUAGAUCCAACAAGUAAUGCCGUGACAAAUUGGUUGAAUUGUGUAAUAAUUGUAUGUUUAAUUUUUUAAUUAAAUGUUUAUAUUGUUUAGACUCACACUGGGCUUUUUAAGCUCACAGCCACCCUAGUUUACUCCUUACAAAUAACCCUCAAGACUAGGCUCGGAUUUGACAUUCGGAGGUCUCAUUAUGGAUUUUCAGGCAUUAAAGUUUUUUAAUUACUCUAUUUAUUUUUGGUAUUAUUUUAACUUGGGACUAUAGUUUUUAUUUAAGUAUGGACUAUAGUAUAUGAUAUUUUUAUUGAAGAUUUUUGCAUGUAUAAGCUUUGACGGAAACUGGACGAAUUUAAAAAUCGACCCAAUAAACAAUAAAAAUUUGACUUUUUCUACAAAAAUCAAAUGCAAUAUUUUUAAUACAAAGGUUUUAAAUGGGAUUUUCCGACAUAAAACUGAGCUUUAUUUCAAAUAACACGACACUUUAAUAAAUUGAACUUAGCAAUGGAUGACCUAACAAACUGAUGUUUUUGACUUUAUGCAACCACACCAAGUUUUUUGAGAAUUUAACAAAAUAGUGAUUUUACAACCGGACGUUUGUACUUAGCCAUUUCAGUGGCCUUCAAAUUUUGGUCAUAACGCCUAGGUCAGGUUUAAGAUGUUACAUUACUUGUAAAAAUCAUUGAGGACAGUAUAGUAUAGAGAUAAUGAAUAACAUUUGUUUAUUUCUAUGAAUAAUCAAUUUGAUUAUUUUAGUAAUUUAUCUAAUAUAAUGAAAUUAUUAUACUGAGGGGGAUCCUAACAUUCUCCCACUUGUCCUAGUGGAGUAAAUGAAUCAUAUUCCGCAUCUUAUAUUGCCUGACAUGCUUUACUAAAACUUCUAGCCACUAGAACUCAGUGAAGACAAUCGUCGCGUUGUGAAGAAUAUCACCAUAUAAGGCUUUAGCUAAAUUUGAUAGGUGCUUUGAGAGACGCUCUUAUUAUGGCUAUAAAUGAACAAAGGGUUCGAUGAACAAUUUGAUUUUUGUUCGUUUAUACUCGUUUAUCAAGCUAAAUAAAUAAGAUUUUAAGGCUCGUUUGUUAAACGAACCAAACACAAACAAAGCUUGUUCAGUUCAUUUAUGUUCAUAAAAAAACUCGUUUAUGUUCGUUUAAAUCUCGUUUAUUGUUUCGUUAGUAUAUAUUAAUAAAAUUAUUAUGGUUUGUAUGUUUUUUUCAUAUAUAAAAAUAAUAAUGUUCACAAAUAUGCUUGUUUAACUUAAACAAAUGAAUAUGAACACACAAUUUUAAAUAAACGAAUAUGAUAAAAAAUUUAAAAUUCUUAACGAACACAAACUGAACACGAAUAAACUUAAAAAUAAACAAACGAACAUGAACAAAAAUACGUUUAUUCAAACUGCGGUAACUCUUAUGAAGAAUAUCACCAUCUGACAAGAAAAGAUUAUUACCAUCUCGAAGUCGCCAGUGUAAGCCUUUUAACAACAACUCUCUUCAUUGCAAAAUACUUUUCCUUGCCCAGUUGUCUGCAGGCUUUUGCUUUGCUCUAAGGAAGUAUUCAUUCUUGCAUAUUUAGGUUCCAGUGUAUUCUUUAGAAGGGAACGGUCACCUUUCAAGAUCCUCCAAGCUUGCUUUGCAAGUAGGGCUUGGUUGAAUAGCUUGCAGGAUUUGAUCCUUAGACCACCUUUUGGGAAUGGUUGACAGAUUUGAUUUCAAUUAACGAAGUGCAAGCUAUUAUUAUUUUCAGUCUGGUUCCACCAGAAGUUCCAUAUAAUUCGGUUAACUGUUGAGCAAAGCCCUUAAGUGGCUUUGAAACAUGACAGGUAGUAUAUAGGAAGGCUCGUCAAAGUGGACUUGAUGAGUGUUAGCUUGCCUCCAAGGAGUUUGCUCAAAUUUAUAUUUUCCUAUAUAUUUCAAGAAUAAUGAUCCCAUCUAAAUUAAUGCUAAAUUUACAAUAAAUGAAGUUUAACUCAGGUGGAUGGAUAUUAGCAAAAAAACAAUCCAAGUUUAGAGCAAAAUCAGCAUUUGUUUUUUUUUUUUUUAUGCUUUUUGCAUUUACAGCUAGCAAAAGUGAUUAAAAUAAAAGAUGCUCGUAUAUUUAUGAAAUCAAUAAUUAAUCCAAGUUAGCUGCCCGACGUUUAUCCUUUCCCAUUAUUUAAUUGGGAUAAAUUUUCUUCUUCUUUUGUGAGAUGAAUGUGAACACCCUUUAAACUAUUCCAACUCCACAUGAUGGAUGCAAUAUAUAUAAUUUAUAUACAUACCUGUCUAGGGAUUAAGGAUUCAUUUCGUUGCUUUCCGUAUUAUUAUUAUUUCACAUCCUCGCCUAUAAACUAUGUUUCUUUUUCUUGACUACUCUGCCCAUGAUAGCCCAAAUUAUUAUUUAAAAUAAUGUUAGUAUUAAAUUGCAAAACUUUUGUCCGAUACCUCUUUUGGACAGAUCUAACAUUGACUAUCAAGACUAGGAAAGAUGGUAACUUGAUCUCAUCAACUGUGUUGCACUGUUGGGAUUACGAAUAGUCAAAGCUGAAAUUAAUAGAUAUGAUCGAGAUUUUGGCAAAUCCCAUACUUGAAGGCAUGCAUGAAAACUUAGUACUUUGCGUUGUACUUAAAUUCCGACGUUUUUGGUUUCUACGAAGAAACAUGUCAUCGUAUCUCCCUAUUGGACAUGAGAAUCCUCAUCACAUGCGUCUGCCUGAUCAAACCAUCCUAAUAAACAAUUUACACUUCAUCCUAUAUAAUAAAAAACUUGGAGAGAUGUAUACGUAAUACCAGUCUAGGGAUUAAGUUAUUAUUUUAUAAAAUUUGAUGUUUUUAUAGAAUUGUGGGUGCAUAUAUAUAAAAACUGAUAACCAACCAGUGCUUAAUUUAAUUAAAUGUAAAAAUUGUAAGCUUGUGGCUGAUUAGUACGACUGUUUUUUCAGUACGUUUCCCAUUUGACUAAGCUCGAAAGAGGCGUGCAAAGGCAGAAACUUGUGGGCGAUGAUUGUGUCUUCCACAUGCAUCCUCUGCCCUUUGUGUAUGUCUUAUUAUAUUUGUAUGUAUCUUACUGUUAUUAAUUUCUUACCUCAGUAUUUAAUCAAAGAUGCAUGAUCAUUUAUUUUUAUUUCAUGUAAUAUAAAAUAAUUAAAAUGUUUUUUAAUAAGUUAACCUACGCUUAAUUCGCUUUGCAUUGGCAUUGCUGUUAGUAUUGGAAGAUGUAGGUUCAAGCAUACUGAAGUAUGUUUAUCCUCCUAUUUAAGGGUUGAGGGGAGAUUAAAGGUAGUUCUAAGCAUUGCAUCAAAAAUAUGUGUUUUAAUAAGAUAUUUUUUAUUUAUAAAUUUUAAUUAUAGAUAAUAAUAAAAGUGUAAUUCAAUAUUUAUCCAACUUAAUCUACCAUUUUUUUAAUUUUAAUAUAAUAUUAAAAAUAAUAGUAUAAAUUACAAUUCAAAAUAAACUUCAAUAUUUAUUCAACUUCACCUAUUUUUGUUUUAUAUUUAGUUGUAAUAUAAUAAUAAAAGCAAUAGUUUAAAUUAAAAUGGAGUAUAAUUAUAAAGUAUAAUUCCAUAUUUUAUCGUACAUUAUCUAUUUAAAUUUUUUUUAUUUAGUUUUAAUAUAAUAAUACUUCCUUAUGUUCAAGUAAGAAAUAAUUUAAACCAAUAAGAUGUUUAUUUAUAAAUUAAUAUAAGAUUUUAAAUUAAGAUUUAAUGCAAGGUGUAAUUCAAUAUUUAAACUAUUAGUAUAAUAAGAAAUUGGUUGUUUAUAAAUUUUAAUAGUUUAAAUUAUAAUGAAAAUGCAUUUCAAGAUGAAUAUAAAGUGUGCUCGCAAGCUAUUUGAGUUCGACUCGAAAAAAUUCGAAUUCAAUUUAGUAAUUAUCAAACUGAGCUCAAGUUAUCGACUAAGCCGAAUUUGAGCUUAGUAAAACUUGACUUGAACGGUUUGCGAGCCUUAUCGAGCUUUUUAUCUUCUUAUAUUAUUAAAUUAUGCCAUUGCCCUUAAUAUAUAUUUUAACCAUGAGUUUAAUUAUUGAGUCGAGUUCGAUCUUAAGUACAAAAAUUGGUAAACGAGCUUAAUCGAGCUCGAGCUUAAAAAUAGAUGUUUGAUCGAGCUCUAGCUUGGUAGUCUUCGGGUUUGGCUUGGCUCGAUUACACCUCUAAUGGGAGAACUUAUGCCAUUUACCCCAAUAAAACUUUAACUUAAACACUCAACCCAAGCAUUUUUUAUGUAUAUAUACUUUAUUACCUCCAUCGAUUGGUUAUCUAUACUUAUCUAACCUAAUUCUUAUAUUUAAGCACUUUGUUGAGUUGUGUCACCCUUAAUCAGGUCACCAACUCAAUUAUGAAAUUACAAAAAUACUUCUUCUUUUAAAUUAUAAGUAAUAUUAUUACAAUGUAACCUUUUUUUUAUA
rnacentral:lncRNA from 1 species